UUUUGUUUUUUUUUUCGGCCUUAAUUUUUGGUUGGGGCCGUUUUUUUAGACUGAAUGAAAGAGUCAACAGGAGAAGAAGUUAUACUCGGAAAAAGGUUGUCUUCCUAACGGCGGGUGGGCCUAGGCCCAGUACAUAAUGUGCUAGCGUUGGCCCAAUUCUGCGCUUGCCAUGGAUAAAUUCUUAUAGGAAACAAGGGACAAUCAUAUAAAAAAGAGACAGGGGAAAUAUGAUUUUUAAUGAAUUCUGAAGCACCCAGAUAUUAGAAUCUGCAAUUAAGUCGGUAGUCAAGAAAAGCAAGGAAAAAAUCAAAUCAAGUUUGAAGGUAAAACAAAUAAUAUUAUAAUCACUGAAACAUCUAAUGAGAAGUGUAGAACUAGUAAAUUUAGCCUCUCUUUCACGACAAACUUUACCAGCCAUCCAAUGUAAUUGUGUAAACUAGAGCAAAGGGCAGGGAUGAGUACAGAGUUGUAUAAAAACAUUGUAAAAAUAUCUGUACUUGUUACACGCAGUAGCAGCUUAAUCAACGAUGUCUCCUCAUCAAAAAAUAAAAAAAUCAGCGAUGUCAACGCUCAACUGUAGCAAUUUUGAUUUCUGAACUGCAGUGUGUGGUCGUUCUAAGCAAGCAAUGCAUGCUGCGACUGCGAAUGUGCUGAGAUCCCCUGGUCCGGGUCGUCCUGCUGCACUGUAUUAUGGAGAACUGAUGCGAAGGAACCGGUGCUAGAAGUUGCCGAGGCCCACGCAUUCCGACGAUCGGUAGUGCCCUGACUUCAUGUAUUUGUCGUCGACCCUCAUCCUGCAUAAUGAGCAGUAGUGGAUCCGGCAUGCCCAGCAGAAAAUAUAUUCCUCAUUCUCCUGGAUGCAUAUGGUCAUUGGUCAGAUUAUGCAUAUACAAACAUUGGCAAAUCAGUGCUUAUUACAUUGGUGAGCAGUGAUAUCUACCCCCGUGCGAUGAAACAAAUAUUUAAGGUUGGAAAUAUAGGUCUCGGUUGGUACCUUGAAAUUUCUCUGACGACAUUUGGGACACCUGAUGGUGCUACCUAUAGGGGUCAGUUGAACUUUAGCACUGCGGCCAAUUUGCACUUCUUCCAUGUGCCUCUCAAACGGCGUUACAUCGCUAUACUGACAUAACUCAAAGAGCACACAUUCGUUCCUGCAACAGGCGGAUUUGUACAAUACUUUGUCAAAUCAAGCUUGCAAUCGUGCAUAAAAGGUAUGCCAGUGCUGUAUCAUGGAUGCCUUAGAGUGACCUACCGGAAAUGGUCAUAGCCACUGAUGGCCCUGCCACAGCGGAAGCAGAGCAACUGACCACAGUUGCCGCACGACAUCUUGUUGCACCCUUCUGAUUUGAUGAUGGGCAUUUGGCAUUUUGGACAUAGUUGAAUUAGAAUAUCACUGAACAUUUUUCUGAUGGUGAGCAAUUCCUGCACCAUCUCCUUCUGGGACAUCUUGCCUGACGCCUGCAGACAAGCAAAUUGUACGCAACAAGCAGGGGAUGUUCAGUUAAAUGAUAGUAUUCCGAAACAGUCAACACAAAAGUCAGCAGUAAGUCAGUAGCAGAAGCUUGUCAGGCCCUCAGAUCUUUAUUACAGUACACAUCAAGUGCACACUGUAUUGAAUGGUCUAGUAAAGUGCCUCCAGAUGUAGAAUACACAUGUUACUACAUGAAGAAGAUAACCAACUGCAAAGAGCAAAUGAAAAAGAGAUUAGUGAAUAUCUUGUACCUGCUGGCGUUUGAUCUUUUCUUCUGGAGUUAUGCACUGCUUAGCUGGAUGGCAUGGUUCCUUACAUAAAGAGCAGAAGAUAAAGGAGCAUUUUGGGCAUUCCGCGUCGUUGCUCUCAUCUUCCAAGCAUCCAAUCCCGCACCUUGGACAAUAAACCACAUCUGACAUUGAGUCCAAUGUUUUCUGAAGGAGAAGCCUAUCCCAACGUUCAAAUUCUUCUUCUGUAAGAAGCCUCUUCAGCACAUAUGGUGGAAUUGAAGCUUUGCACUUGGUACCAGGGCAUACCAACUGAAACACACUACCUUCCUUGACAUGCAUUCUGCAUAAGGUCUCCAUACACUUCAUGCAGAACAGGUGUCGGCAUGGAAGCCUGAUGAAAUUUGAACCUAAUUGUUUUAUCAUUAAAGUUAGUUAUAAGAGAGAGAAAAUAAGUGUUGGCAUGAAAGCCUGACGAAGUUUGAGCCUAAUUUUUUCAGAAUUAAAGUUACUUCAGGAGAAUGAACCUAUAGUCUGUUUCACAAGUAUGCGUUGAAAGUACAGGUUCAAUAGCUCUCAAGAGAUUCUAUGUGAAUCAAUAAAAUUUCACCCAGUUUAUUAUCGGUUACAAGUUACAACUAAGGCACAAUUUCACAAGGGAAAGGAGUAACAUGGAUGCUACAGAAUAAGUGGCAUGCUAUACUUAGUAAGGAAAAAUUGGAGGAAAAUGGAAAGAACGUACCUUUGCUUUGGUUAAGGCAUAUCAUGCUCAUAUGGAGAUCCUCGAGAAAAGCUUGAUAGUGCUUGUUACUACUGUAACUCAUCAUCAAAGGGAUUACAGACUCCAAUGAAUUUGUUCUUGCGAUUGCGCGGUUAUCUCUAUUGUGGGUUUCCAUAUCCAGCCCUAGUGUGGCCUUGACGAAUCACGAAGCCACUCAACCCAUUGAUACACGACCUCCUGCCCCUUCAGCUCUGCCCAUAUGGUGUCAAGCAUCUCACAAAGCCGAGAAACUUGAGGCACAUCCAUCCACUUAACAGUGACAGUGAAAUAUGGGGGAUCUUUGUGAGGAUAUGACCGCGGAAGUAAGCAUGUCAAUAUCAGAGGAGGAAGGUACUCGAAGUUGCACUUGUAAGAGAACAUGUCUGAUCCAUCAACAUGUCCUGUACCAUCAGAGCAUCCAUCAUCUGGGGAACACACAUUAGCAGAUGAAAGCUUUGCACACACUUCAAUGCCAUCAGCCACAUCAUAACGUGUGUAAAUCUGGAAUAAAUUAACAAACCAUCAAAACCAAAUUGCCAGCUUACUAGAGCAACUGAGGAAAAUUCAUGGCAACUGAAGAAACCUGGAAAUAACGGAGGCCUCCGUUGUUUUCAAAUACAGCCAGAUCAUGCCCAUAGAUUGCCACCAAUACCAUCAGCUGCAGUAAAUGAUGAACGAGUAAGAAAACAGGUACUCAGGCUCAGCGACGCAUUUUUAAAGUGAGAAUCUUUAGAUCAACCCCAGACAGAACUUAUAAGCAGAACUGUUCCUAAGUUAUAAAUAUCACAGUACAAUUAGAAGAUUUUUUUUUCUAGCAAUUGCUAACCAAUUAAGCAAUAAAUAAUCGCUCAUCAGUCAUCAACCUUUUUAUGUACAGAUAAGGUUUCUUCGAACUUGAAAUAAAAUAAGUACAAGCAGCAGAUUUCUUUUUUUAAAAACGUCACAAAAGGGGGUCUUGGUUGGGGACCCAAAUCCCUACGAGUUAGUACAAACCUGAAUUAAAUCCUAAAGUUUCCUAGAGCAAUUUCCUCUACAUAUUCAGGACCAAACUUUGCAAGUUCUGUUCCCCCAAAACCCCGCAAAUCCGGACAGCCCAAACUCAUCGUGACAGAUGACAAUUCCUGCAACUUUUGCAAUCGAACCAGCAGAUUAGGGAGUGUACUACCUCGUCCUCCUGCCGUUGCUGGUUGUCUCGUAUCUCAUCCUCCUCCUCCUGCACCUCCUCACGGCUGAUUUUAAGUGCCGCUGCAGCAUCCGUCGCCGCCGCCUCCCCCAGUAUCCGCUCCGCCUCGGCCGGCGCCGCCCAUGGGGAGUCCAGGUCGAGGAGGACGCCCUCCUCGCCGCCUGCAUUGCACAUCAAAUCAGCGGCGCGCGACGUGGAGGGGGACGAGGAGGAGGAAGCAUCGGCCGACGAUUCCGGGGUGGGGAUGCGGUAGGGCUCCAAUGCCCGCGCCGAUGCGGCGCCGGGCGCUGCUGUCUCCAUGGUGCGAGCUCGAACUGUCCCAGACUCCCAGUGUCGUACGUGUCGCUCCCCUUGUUCUUUUCAGCAAAGCCGCUUGGUUUUCUUGGUUUUUUUUUUUUGGAGAAGUUUCUUGGCUUUAUUAUCCGGGGCCCGGGGGCAUGCUUCUUCUUCAUUUUUCUCUUUGUGGGACCGUGCUUUCAGACUGAGGUGAAGGAAGAUAUGGGCCUAAGCUGAUGGCGCAAUGUGCGCAUUGGCCCAACAGUUCGACUUCAAGCCCAGGUGAGGACAAGGGGCGCAUAGUUCGGUUUGGACUUUGGAAUAAAUUCAGGUGUUACCAGAUCUCGCAACGGGGGCACAUUGGUCGUAUUAUGAUUUUAUAGGACGUCUUCAGAGUUACAUAAAGCUCCAAAAGUGACACAUAAUAAAUUUACAGUUGGUUGGAGCCGCGCGAACGCGUACCCCCUCUGCUACGGACGUCCACUCCACUCUCCUACUUGAGGAGAUGAGUGCUCCUCCCAAGUGCGAUGGAGGCCUGAGGGUGUUUGGAUCUUUAGUCCGGUUUAAAAUUCAUAUCACAUCGAAUAUUUGGAGGCUAAUUAGAGAACUAAACAUGAGCUAAUUAUAAAACUAAUUACACAGAUGGAAACUAAUUUCCAAGACGAAUCUAUUAAGCCUAAUUAAUCCAUCAUUAGCACAUGUUUAUUGUAGCACCACAUUAUCAAAUAAUGGACUAAUUAGGUUUAAUAGAUUCAUCUCGCAAAUUAGCCUCCAUCUAUACAAUUGAUUUUGUAAUUAGUCUAUAUUUAAUACUUCUAGUUAGUACCUAAACAUUCGAUUUGGAGCUAAAAAACCAAACGGGACCUUAGGCCAUGGUCCCUUCAUGAUCGACCAUCGACCCCGUCCAGGUAAGGAUAUGGUUCAAGGUACCUCCGCCCCAUGUUCUGCCUCCUCCCUCCUCUCUUCGCAAACAGUACGUACUAAAUCUAUGUUUCCAACGUAACGGUGGAUGCCUCACGAAUCUCGUAUGGGCCUGCUCGGCUUCGUGGGUCGCUUAAGGCCCAUCAUCUUAGCCCAUCACAGGCUUCUACGUGGUACUAUUUGUUCCCUAUAUCUCAUUUUUCGAAGGAACUCGUUUGUUUGUCAUUUUGGCGUCUCCAUUUGACGCAAACUUUGCCAUUGGCUAAACCUUAGGACCGUUUGAUCUUGAUCGGGUGGCCCAGAUUAGUCGUUCGCUAAACCAUCGUUUAGCGGCGAUUAAUUUUUUAUGUACUUCAAAUCGAAGUCUUCAGUACUAGUAGACCUUUUUUAUUUACUACCAGUAUCUUUCUUCCGCGUGCUUGAAAAUGCUACACAUACCUCCUCUUGGCUGUGUAUGUUAGGUAACCUACUUCCUUAUCAUGUGUUUUUUUGUGAUGAAGACACCCAAUCAUGCAACUUGCUCAACCAAAGGCAUGGCCUGGAGUGUAAACAGGACCCAAGGCACAUCGAGUAGAAAAACACGGGCAGCUAGCGAAUGAGAAAAAAGGAGGAGACGAAAUCACAAAAAGGCUGCAUCACAAUGUCAAAAAGGCACGACACAAACGCAACUUGACCUCCAUUUGCGUGCAUAGUCUAAAGCCCAAAGGCGCAGCGAUUGGACUGGACAGUGGACACAAUGGUAGCAGGAACCCGGUGAUAACAGCACUUGCAUCACACUGACGCCAUAUACUCCACUGUUGGCAGUAAGCCUAGAGCACUAAAAAAACAGUAAGACCGAAACACCAAAUAACAAAGUACUCAGUACUUAAGAGUCAUUGUUUUAUAGUGUGUAUAUACCAACUGGCAAAUGAAGGUAAGUUACAUUUCAGGUUAACUCAGUGAGUACCGGCAAUCUUGACUCCUUUUGUGAAUCUAUGACUGCAUUGCCGAACACUGCCUGCCUGCCCAAAAACAGUAUCCCUUUGGCUCUUUUUGUAUGUGCACACUAGCCUAACUGAUCUCCCUUUUUACUAUUACGCCGAUGAUGAUUCCAUCGACGUAUUCGUGUUGAAUUUGUGCUCGUCUUGAGCCAUGCACUUGUACAAUUAUACAAGUAUAAUGCUGGUAGUGAUCGUGGCCGUACGAUCAGGCUGAGGAUUUUUUCUAUCUAAAAUCAGAAAAGGACGAGGAUAACAUCUCAAUACCCCAUCUGGUUACUACUUGUAACAACAGAAGAGUAACCGGGUUCGUGGAGCAUGGCCGGGGCGGGGCCCGCUUGGAAGUAGCACGACACAGGGUCGUCCACCAUGGCAGGGAGUGGGUCCGGGUGGGCGACUGGACACUGUGGGCCCAUCGGGUACUGGUAGUCCUCCAUGGGGCCCCACAGGCCCAGCUCCUUCUCCAGGUCCUCCAACCACCACUCCGUCCCGUGGCUGGUCGUGCUGGCGGCGGCGUUCGGCUCCGUUGCAUUGCUCUGGCACGGCGCCGGUGCAGUCCCGGCCGCGACGGCGCCAGCUCCAGCGCCGUCGCCGCCGACGCCGUCGAUGAUGCUCCACAGCUCGUGGUCGAUGUCGAUCUCCGGCAGGUCGAGCAGCUCGUCCACGCUGGGCCGGGCGGGCGCCGGCGGGGACGUGGACGAGGCGCAGGGCGACGUGGGCACGGAUACGUCCGGGCAGUACGGAUCCGGAAUCUGGUCCACCAGCAUGUCGAAGCCGAAGCAGGCGGGGUCGUCGAGCAUGGGGAUUAUCUCGAGCUUCUCCAGGCCCAGCUCGUCGCCGGGCUCGUCCUUGCUCGCCUUGCUCUGCUGCUCCCCGGAGUCGCCGCUGGAGCAGUUGGUCGUCGCCGUCGUCGUGGAAGAGGACGGCGACGGCGACGGGGCCGCCGCCGCCGGCACCCCAGCGCCGGCGGCUUUCUUCUUCUUCUUGGAACCGGCGGCGCCCCCGCGCUCCUCCGCGCCCGGCGACACCCGCUUCUUCAGGUGCGUGUUCCAGACGUUCUUGAUCUCGUUGUCCGUCCGGCCCGGCAGGCACGCCGCGAUCUUGGACCACCUGGACACAAAAUCCGAUCGAGCUCUAUCAGUCUCGGCUUCAUCCAUGGAUUCGAGAACAGCAACCGCGAAUUCUCCAGGCAACGACGAGCUGCACCGUACUUGUUGCCGAGCAGGCCGUGCAGCUUGAUGAUGGUCUCCUCCUCCUCGGCGGUGAAGUUGCCGCGCUUGAGGUCCGGCCGGAGGUAGUUGAUCCACCGCAGCCGGCAGCUCUUCCCGCACCGCAGCAGACCUGUGCCGUGCAAUUCAAAACCACCAUUAGAACCCCCCAUGAAUGCAUGGAUGUGCGGACAACUGCAGAUGAGGGAGGAUUUGCUAUGCUUGGUACCAACCUGCUUGCUUGGGCAGGGCGCGCCAGUUGGCAUGGCCGUACUUCUGAAUGUAGGCGAUGAGGCGCAUGUCCUCCUCCGGCGUCCAGGAGCCCUUGUUCAGCCCAACCUUGGCGCAGCACGGUGCCCGGCCCUUCCCCAUCGUUCCUCCAAGCUCCUGCUGCCUCCGCGUGAUCGGCGGAUCGAAUCGAUCGCUGCCUCGACGGCUCGAUCUCUGGUUCGAUGCUAUUGCUGCGACGACGGCGCCUCGAUCACUUGUGUGUGCGUGUGCCGGGGCCUGUGCAGAGCUGCAACCGGGACAGUGGCAGGGCCAGGCGUAUAUAUACACACGGCCCCGCGCGCGCGCGCGGGUGAGAAGAUAGAUGCCGAGUGCGCAGGUCGCGCCCUCUUGACGUGCGCGACGCCGACAGCGCGCGAUGGGUGACACAAGCCGCGGCCGUGUCGCGCUCGCCCCUCGCCCCCACCCCGCAGACUGCCCCCUCACCAAACCCCCGCGUCACUUGUCAGCCUGCCACGACGCGAGCCCUGCCAACACCUGUGCCCCGGUUGCACUCCUCGGGCGAAUUCCCAACAAAAAAGCUCUGGAGGGGCCUGUACUCCCCCGUGGCGAUUCGCGUCGCGCGGCCCCGUUGAUUUCCGGGGGCCGGCCGGCCGGCGUGCCGACGACGACGUCGCGCGCACGGAGGGGGGCCUCUCGGCGGCCGCGACCCGCGAUCGAUCGCGUGGGGCCUCGUGUGAUCUAGGUGGGGGCCUUGACCCUUGCUUGCCCAGCUGGGUGUCUGAGGUGGCCGCGCCGUCGCCGCUUGGCAUCGCGGUGGCGUCGCCGGCGACUGGACAUGUGCGGUUGCUUGGUGUGGCCUCCGUUGGACAACGGCGACAUGGUUGCAUCAGACCGUUUUCUUUUAGGUUAAGGAAAAAUAGUAUCCGGCCUCGAUCAUCCACAAAAACACAACACCAAACUGACAUAAUUCGCAGCACUCAGACUGCACCAGAAGCACUAAACCUCAAACAGCACUCAGACUUAAACUGAAAAAACAAGCCUACAAAGCACUAAGCUUGGAGCCUGUUCCUGAACUUCCACCCAAACUUGCUGAAGAUCUCCAUAACUGUGACCUCCAACAACAUCAUCAGACCGUAUGGGGUUAUGGAGGGUGAUCACUGAUCAGGGGAAAAGGCAAAAGCAGUGCUUUGGGAAAGCGAAAAAAAGGAGAUUAAGCACGACAAUGACGGUUAAAUAUCGCUUCCUUUUUUUCCGAUUCGUCGAAAUCAGCACGAAUGGCAGGGGACAGACACAGAGAGCAAGUUGGGCACUUUGCUUGGGAUGAAGGCUUGGAGCGGCCCGUCUCCGUGCAACCUUCGAUAGGUCCAUCAAUAGAGCUUACUAGCUUACAAAUAGGGUAAUUUAGAGUUAGGUCCGACUCCUUCACACACUACACGGAGGAAUUUAGUAGGGGAAAUUAAAAAGGCGGAUUGCAACGGGGUAACAGAUAGUUAAAUGAUCGAUUUUGUUUUAUGCGUUUUAUACUACCUAACUCAUUGACAAUGGGGAAUUUGGGAAGUUCCUUGGUACGGAUGGAUUUGAAUGUGGUCCACAGCAAGUGCAAUAUCCACAACUAAUUUGGACGUGUUGAAAACAUUUUUUUUCAUGUUUUUUCCAUUACAUGCUGCUCUCUUUAAACUGUCAUUAGUUUGGUGUACAUAUUCCAUCGAUGGAUAACACAUUAAAAGAUAGGACAAUAUGCGCUAAUUGGAGUAUGUAGUACUGGGUGUUUGUUGGACGGUUGCAUUUUCAUAAGGAGAAAAAGGAAACGUUGACUAGUUAAAUUUGGAAAUUUAUAUAAUCUUAAAUCUCCAUAUAGUACAUUAAUCGCAAAAAUGAUGGCAUUUGGUUGGUACGCACCGCUGACACUAUUUGAUUUAUAUUCCCCCCUAGUUAGCAAGAUGUUGAUAUCAGCAGCGCCAUAGAAGAGAUUGGCAAGUAGUAACCUAACGGAACUGAUCCUUACCGGCCUCAUGUUUAUGCAUUUUUUGUCAGAGAAGCAUUUUUAAAAUACGUUCUUAUGCAUAUAUUUGCUUUCAAGACGAUGUCCUCGUAUCAAUCUCCCUUCCUUCCAAGACGUAGCUACUACCUACUAGUCACUGUUGAGAGCAAGUAGUAGAAAAAGAGAAGACUACCUACCCGUUACCUUUCUUCUCUGUACGGAUCCUCGAUCUUGUCGUUGUUGAAACAGCAACAAUCUGAUUCGCUGAAUUUAAAUUUAAACCUCCCGACCUUAUCUCACUUUGAUUACCAUCCCUAACACGAAACACGCGCCGUGCCUGUUCUAACCCACAAGAACACGCAUCGAUCGGCCUAGCUACGCACGGUUCGUAGACAUGGUCAGGUACCCAAGGACAGAUUGGCGUUCAGCCUCACUUAUCUGUCCAUCCAUCCCGAUUUGUGAAUGGACAGAGUCAGGUAACCCCGGCCAAUCAAUGCGUGUGUGUUGCAUCCGAGAUCGAACAGCUGAUGAUCACUUCAGAGCUCGGGGUUCUUACCGCAAAGCGCAAGCGUUCUCGUGACGGCGAAUUCUCGUGUAAGCUUUGGUUAGCUGCCGAAUUUAGCAGGAGAACGCUUUGACCGGCCAACUACAUGCACGCAUAGCUGCAUACUGAUGAACGGCCGGUCAGCCGGUGCCACGUCGCCUUAAACUAUUUGGUUGCUAGGUAGAGCUAGCAAGGAGAUGUUUAUCUUAGCUUAUUCAUUGUGUGAUUGUGUCAGCAAGUAAAUAGUAGUACUCUAUAGGAGUAUACCAACUCACAAACCUCACAUUUGGAAUUGGAUCGCAAUCAACUGUCUGCUUCGUCCGUUUUAAAAAAGUAACCGCACGCAGCGCACAUGCCUGAAAGUUUGCCAAAAAGAAUGUUUCCGAGAGCAAAUACUGAAAUUCGUUUAAAAAAAAAAGAGAGCAAAUACUGAAAUAGUGUACAAUGAACUGAAGCUGUUCAUCAGUCUUGAGGUCGACCACUAUAUAUACAAAAAAGAUUUUACAGUAGAGUAGUUGACGCAUCUUCUCCGGCUGCAAAUUGCACGCGACUAGAACAGUUCCUUCGUCGUCCAAGCAUGGUGCAUGCAUUGUAUCUCCGGUGAUUGCCCGAGAGAAGAGAAACUUAAAAAAGGAUUUUUGGUGAAGACUAAACUGACGCCCCUUCAACAACCAGUCGUCCCUUUCCAUCAGACCAUCACCCGGGAGAGGUUGCAGAUUCCUGCAUGCAUGUGUGGCAGCAGCCACUGGCUGGGAAGUCUCAGUUAGGGUAACCAAACAUUUAUUGCCGUUUUACCUUCCCCGCACCUAACCCUUGACGUUCUUUUCUCUCAUCGUGGAAACCACUCGAUGUCGCAUUUGGACUUGCUUGUAUUCGUCCUGCGUCGCUGUGUACGAGUGUAGAAGCGAAUAAAAAAGAAUGUUGGAGGCAAGUUUCUUGACCUGCCGCUAAGCUAUCUGCUGAAUUUGCUGAUCUUCUACCUAGAUUUGAAUGACAUGUUAGCUAACCUCAUCGGUGACAUGCUAGACCGAACAGCGAUCGCCGUGACAAUUCGCAGGCGUGCACGGAAGCAAGAGGCUCCUAGCUAGAGUGCUAGGUGCUAGCUAGCUAGCGACAUGCGACGAUGUGAAUAUUUUGAGUAACGGUUUUGCUACAUCGAUCGGUCACGUACCUGCUGUGCUUACUGUAUGAUCCCGUCAAGAUCCGUGCCCCGGACGGUCCUCACUCCAAGGCCAGGAAAACAUGCCGUGCAUCAUCAGUGGCGAAGGUUAAUUAUCCGGGUUCGAGGUUUACGGUACAUGAGCCACUUUCGAAAAAUGUCAGGUUGAUGAUAGGGGCGGACCUAGAGCAAAUCUUGAAUGUUGGGAGGUGUGGUAGCAACGUCAGUCCCAACAGUAAACAAAAAAAAAAAAGCUACUGCAGAAGAGGGGGGAGGAUGAGGCGAACAUUUCAGAAAUGUUUGAACCAGGCGCACCUCAGUUGCUUAGGCAGGUAUUUGGUUCAAAUAUGUAGGCAUGCAACUUUGUGCACAAACCUUGUCUAACGUGUGACAAACCAACUAUUGGCCAUACUUUAGGCAUAGUUUAGCAAAAGAGAAGCACGCCUAUCUGAUAAAGCUAGUGAAAACAUCUUAGCUUGAUCUAAUAAAUAAUCCCAUUUAGAUUGUGAAAAUCUUCCACAUUUACGUUUAUUUUUAAUGUUUGAUUCUUUUUACUCUGAAACGUAAUGUCGAUGAUCCAUAUAUUUGCGGGAUCGUAUCAUAUAACCCGACGAAUACAUGCACGCGUGCGCACCAGCAUCUACAAGAGGAACACCAUGUAUUUGAGUUCUAAAAAGAAAGGUAGAGCGAGAAAAUAUUUGAACUCAUUUCCUCAACCACUACAUACUAAUAAACGGUACUUUAUUCCUUGGUCUUAAAUAAAUAAGAUUUAGUACAAGCUAAUAAUUAGUUCUCAUGGGACUUUCAUCUCGCACCGGUCAAAAAAAGAAAUGGUUAAUUUUCUUUCUUUUUUAAAUUAAUUUGUUUGUUGUCCUAAAGGUUAUUUAGGGUGUGUUUGGUUGAGCCGUGGUUUUUGGAAAAGUAAAUGUGAGCUGUAGGCUGUGGAAAAGUAGUUGUGAGCUGUGGAAAAACCGUUUGGUGGAAUAGCUGUGGCUUUUGGGAAACACUUACGAGCGGACCCCACAUGUCAUUCGUAGUCCACCCCACUCAACCAUCUCCCUCUCUCACUGACGAACGAACCCUGCUCGUCAGCCCCUUCUUCGUCCUCCUCCUCCUGCUAGGACUGGGGGACCUCGCGCCACCGCCAGGAAUCACCGCCGGGAGGACAGGAAGCGGCCGGAGAGGGCCGCCACCGUCUGGAAUCAUCCGCCGGGAGGAGAGGAAGUGGUUGGAGAGGCGCGCCGCCGGUGGGAAGGACGGCCGGCGGUGGGGCAGCGGUGGGGAGGGCAGACGGCAAUGUUCUGUCACAGGCGUGUGUUCUGUCGCGCGGGGAGGAGGAGGACGAACUGGUACGCUCAUAACUAAUGGCAGUGGGUAAUUUUGAGGAAAACUUGGACGCCACAGUCGGUGGAAGCAGGGGCUUAGGUGCUGUGAGAAUGGAACUAAAGAGAAGCUGCUUUUGUGGAAGCAGGUGUUUGCAGUCCACCCCUUUAGUUAGUUUUUGAUUUUUUUUUGGAAGUCAAAGCAUUUUCAAAAGCCCAACCAGAAGACCGACCAAUGAGUAAUCAACGAUUUUCAUGCGCACAUGAAUGUACUUCAAAUUGAAGAAGUUACUCAAUGACCCAACAACUACAGUUGUUCCCAAGGAAAAGACAAACGGAAAACAGCACAUGAAUAACGCGAACUGAUUCUAUCACCCACUAUCUCCUUAAACAAAGUUUGUGGUGUUCAGUGCUAUGCUGUGUAGACCAUCAAGGAGAGACACGCAAGGACUUGAUAAAGGUACCACGUGUGCGUUACAUUUCCGGCCGUACACUAUGACCAACUUGCACAGCGGAUCGAAUGAUGCUGCUGCUCUACUCAAAGAAAACCCAAAUGUUAGAAUUUGGAAAGCGGAUGAAAACGAAACUCCCUGACCCUGUAGCUACAGGGCUCAGCAUCAGCCAGCACAGUAGUUAGUGCAGUGGUUGGUGCCAAGUGGUCGCCCGCACAGCGAUAAACAAACACCCGGGGCCUUGACUCCGUCUCCCCCCAUGCAGGCCAUGCGCAUGUACUCCCCGGUCCUAAAAUAAAUAUUUUUAAAUUUCAGAUAUAUUAGUAGUGGUGAAAAAUAACUAUAUUACAUUUAACUAAGUUGCGUUGUUUGUUUGGUUUUCUGAAUCGUGAAUAAGUGAACAGACAUUGAAAUUAGAGAAAUAACAUCAAUUGAUCAUUUGAUUAAUGCACAUAUUUCUCCAUACAUUACUUUUUAUUAUUGGUGAGGGUGUUGCUCAAAUUAGAUAGGAUCACUGGGAGCUAAACGAACAGAGGGACCGAGGGAGUACUAGUACGGCCAAAGCAGCCUUCAGAACCGCCCUUUGCGAGCCCUUUUAGCAGCAUAACAAAACGUGGCGCACAAAGGCAUGGCGGCAUAUUAAAUGGCCGGUUCCUGCUCGGCAUUUCAGCAGGAGGCGUGCGUCGCCGCGGAUCGGAAGUCCAGCCAUGAUCUUUCUUUGGAGCCUUUCCGGUGCCGGUAGAAUUGAUGAAGCAUGCAGCAGCACUGGGGGGUCGGGACGCGAGACCUUUUGGACCGGAGCAGCGGCCGGCCACGCGCCCACGCGCCCACGCGAAAAAAAGGACCCCCAAAAGCGGUGUGUUUUUGCGGCAUCAGCCCCCGUGUGAAUCCGCCGCGGACACCCGCGUCCGUGGCGCGGCAGUUGGGAGGACGAGACGAUCCGCGGUUGAUCCCCACAUCAUUCGUUUGACUGAUCCGGCCAAAGGGGGCGCGCACGGAAACGUACAAGCGCAUCACGGCAACGGGCGCCGGGCGGGCUCGCAGGCCUCAGGUGCGCCGCCACCUCCGACACGUGUGCCGGCCUGCUGCGCCCCGGCGGGUGACUGGGUGAGACCCGUAGUUUGGCGCCGCGCGUGAUGGGUGCCCUGCCUGGUCGAUGGAAUUAAUUGGCUGCGCUACUCGAUGCUUCCGGUCCCGGCGCGCGGCGAACGAAGGUCUCGCUCUCGCCGCCACCGCCGCGGCGCCCGUUCGCUGCGGGGCGUACGCGCGCGCACGUCGACCGAUCACGGUGUCAUCUUGUGCCCGCGCGCCCGCUGCAUGACUGCAUCAUGGCCAUGGAUUCAACGGGGAGCGGUCGGGCCGUGGUGCGCCACACGGAUCAUCGAUGCGUCCAAGCGCCGAGAUCCGACACGCUGCAUCGCCAGCCCUCCCGUGUCAACGUCGGUCUGACUCUGACCCCCAGCAGGUUCUUCUGUCCGGCCUCAGAAAUGGUACAGCAAGAACGCAUUGCUGGCGUCGUGACAAUUGGACCAUCGGACCUCAGGAAUGAGAUGCACACCUAGAGAGAGCUGUUCAAAGCAGUUCUACUGUGGCAGUGAAGCACCGGUCCCACGAUCGUCGCCGGUCGGCGUCCAAGCGUCCGGCCACGGCGCUUUCGCUUCCGUCCAAGUCCACUUUCCUUAUCUGAACUUUUGGUACCUGUCAGUCACAGAAUCUACAUGGCUCUGAUGGCUCGCCCGAUCGGCCGAUGUGAUCAGCCGGUAAUUCGUGGUUGAUUAAACUUCAAGGGAGCAAUCCUCGCCAAGAAAAAUGAUCUGUCAAGCAUCAAAUAAUUAAAGCGUCCACGAUAAAGUUUGGAUCGACGAAAUCAAAUUCCGCAUUUGUUUCUCUGUUCAUUUUCCUUGCAACGGAGCAAAUAAAUCCAGUGAGAGGACGUAUAGCCCCCCAUUGCUCGUCAGUCAUUCCACCCUAUCCUUUUUGGGUUCAGCUUGAUGACGAUGGUACAAGCAUCUAGUCACAUAAACAAUGAAUAACCUUUGCAUUUUACCAUGACGCGAGUUUACCAUGCUUCACUACUCCCUUCCUCCCAAGAAAAUAAGUGAUUCUGGAAUUCAAAAUUUAUCCAAAAAAUAAGUCAUUUUUUAUCCCCAUUUAGUAUGUCCAUGUCAUGUGGUACUUAAUUAGCACCAAAUAUGACUAAUAAAUACUAAAGAUAAACAAUAUUAUUUUACCUCUUAAUGUUGCUACAAUGAUUUUAUUUUUUUAGGGACGGAGAGAGUAGAUGCUAGGAACUGUCAUUUAUACGUUGCUCUGCUUGGCGCUCGGGCUCUCUUCCUCUUCCCUGGAAAGUUGGAACCGAUGAUAUUUUGCAUUCCAUAUUACUUCUGUUCCAAACUAUCCUAAUGAAGUUGAACAAUUUGACGAAUUUACUGUUACGGAAAUGUCUUACAUAGAAACAAAAAACAUGGUCACCCAUUGGUUCUAGCUCUUUUUCAAAAGAUCCGUAAAUAAAAGGACACCACAAAGUAAGCGAAAGGUAUAUUUCUAAAACACAUCAAGUACAACAUAGCUGCUCCCUCCCUUUUUAUUUCACCUUUUGAUUAUGCGCGUCUUCAAAUAAUUAAAAGGAAAAAAAGGAGCAACUUAACUUUCUCGUUAGAAAUGUGACACUUUAGAUGACAAAACAUGUUUUCUCCUUUUCAGAAAAUAACACUUUGGACCAUAAAACAAUCAUCAACCAGUAUAUACAAAUUCUGAAUCUUGAGUUUUUUAAUAUAACAAAAGCACUAAUAUAAUUGCCACGCCAAGUUGACGUAUCUAUUACCUGCUUUUAAAGAUAUAAUGAUGCAUCAACCGGUGCGAUAAUCAUCACUACGUCUACUUGUCUUCCUCAACCGACGCCGAUGUGCACUUUUCCACCAACAUUUUUGUAUGUCCUACUUGUCCACGAUGCAUCUGCCAAUGAGUGCCUCCGCAAUGUUUUGCAGAGACACUCUUCCGGCCCAUUGGCUUCGGAAGAAUUCGCAACGGUUGCAACGGGCGCAUCAGAAACUUCAGACGAGUUCACCGGAGCGGUGAUGAGCGGUGAGCCGAUGUGAGUGUGAAAGAUCGCCGAGUGCUUUACAGCGGACGCUGACGACCUGUCGGAAAGAUUCCUCCGGUCGCCGGCCGUUCGCCGUCCCCAUCGCCUCACGUUGACACGCGACGGCGCCGGGCGUACGCGCACGUCGCUGGCUCGCCGUCGCAACGUCACGCGAUCUUGCAACAGCUCUAGCUAACUUUGCGACCCGGUCUCUCACUGGCUACGCAACUAGCAGCACGGCCAUCUCCCCACUCGCUCGAUCCCCUGAGCAAUCAUACACGUCGAUUUCUUCAGGUUGUUGAGCUUUAUCUGCAGUAGCAGCUACCUUCCUCGUCUACUGCGUGCGUCACUCGACUAGCUCGACGAUGAUUUCGUCCAUGGCGGAGGAAGAAAUGGGCCAACAUAAUGGAGGUUGGAGGGAGCAUUGCUGUGCAAGAUUCUCGCCGCUGGCUACUGGUCACCGGUGAGGUUUGAACGGUAACAUUGUUUGGUUGUGCCGCUGCAUAUUCAAGUACUGCUGGCCUAUGCCUGAAUGAUUCAGCACGAUCUUGUCAAAUGUCAAGUGACAGCAGGUGAAUACAUCGUCAUGAUGGAAAAAAGGCAGCAUCUCCGAUUACGCAAGGCCUAGCCAGUUUGUGCCGACAGUAGGGAGCUAUAAGGAGGAGUGUACUGGUUCAUCGAACUGAAAAAGUCUGAAACUCGCCUAAUCAAGUUAGAUACCAAGCCAAACCUGGGAAAAGUAGUUGCCAAGAUUCGUCGGUAAAACAGGAAAAUGUACUACCGCAGGGCUAAUGAGGUAAAAAAAACUCAGGACAGGGUUUUACCAAAUUGACAGCGACCUGAGAGUUCAUCUUCAACUUUGACAUGAUCGACGAUGGUAAUGCCAAUCAGUGCCGCCGCAGACUCUCCGUUCAUGAUGAUUAGCAAUUGAUCUGAGAUCAAAAGGAAAUGACGAGCUGUAAAUGGUGAAAGCUCUGGAGCAAGUAUAAUAGGCCCCUGUGGUCCUUGAUUUUCAACAGGUGAGUGGCAGUAGCAAUAGUUUUCAGUUGAGAUUAGGUAGGGGAGCCUUUGGACUUGAUCGGCUGGAUCGUAAUAAACUAGUCUAAAGGGGCUUUCGUUGUUAGCGAAUUUGGUGAGAUUUUAUGUCCUCCUCGAGUUUGUUGGAUGGGGCGCCUGCGUGACGCCCUGCUGCUGUCAGCCCAUCGUAACUGUAAUUUUUUUUUUUUUGAAACGAUCGUAACUGUAAAUUUGGUGUCACCGCCGCUCCUUUGCUUCAGACAAGUGGCUGGCUGCCUGCACAUCACCAUUCAUCAUGCAGCUCAGCUGAAAGCUAAGUGUCCCUACUUUUGCUCGGAAGGAACAUACUUUUCUGUUCUCUUAAUGUAAAGGCCAUUUUUUUUUUGUUGCAGAUUGAAAAGGAGAGGUUUAUCUGGGCCACGAAUAUUAUUUGUUUCUUUUAAAUAUUCUUUUUUAGAGAGAAUAUAUUUGAUAUUUUUUCCUGAGAAUGACAUUCAGCUAGGAUGUACAGAUGGGCUGGAAUGAAAACCCAUUGAGCUAUUCCCCAGACGACCCCCCCCCCCCCCCCCCCCCCCCCCAACCCAGCAGAUCAACAGGCCCAGUCCAACAAAGAUCUGCUGUCAUUGAUGAUCCGUAGAGCCCAGGGGCUGUCACUGAUGUCACGUAUUGCUACGUGUGUACGGCCAAGGUAAACCUUUUGACAUUCCUCGCGAAAUUUUAUUAAAAAAACAUUCCUCGCAAAAAAAAGGGUAACCUUUUGACAUGCAACAAUUUCUUCUUGCACUCAUAGAUGUUCUCCGGAUGGUCUGCUCGACUACUUUUACGCUUCCUCUCUUGUAUGGACGUAUGAACACACAGGUCAAAGAUGAAGAAGCGUGGUGCCUGGCUGCUUGCUGAAUCGACACAGGUCGCAGUAACACGAUCACUUUCAGCAAUCAGCCACGUAACCGAGCGUGAAGAAUAGGGGGGCACGUGAAGAAUCAGCGCGACUCCCGGGCGUCCAUCUCUCUUGAGCCGCCGGCGACCGAGACAUCUGUGGCCAACCGGCUCCUCCGGGAGCGCGAUCUGAUGCCGCGCGCGAAGCGCCUUUAUGAGCUCGCGACUUGUGAUCCCGGCCGGUCAAAUGGAGCAGCAGGCUAGCAGCAAGGUGGCUGCUAGAGCACGAAGCAUUUUUGUUUACGCAGCGGCGGCUCUCUCUCCACGUCGCCACUACGUAGCAUCCUCACGAAUAGAGAGUUGCCCCAUUGUUCCUUUCACCUGCACUGCUCCACACAAGCUCCUGAUGGCUUGGAAUUGCCUGCAUUCCAAGGGUCGUAUUCUGGAUAGCUUUUCACAGGUUCAAGGACACUGCUGGCUCUUGGCCACUGCUGCAGAACAGCUAUCUCUGAAGUCUGAACAGAUUCAGUACUUGGCCACUUGAGUCAGUACUGUAGAACAGUAGAAGUUAGUGGUUAGAACUUGGUUUUCCUUGUGGUCUUUGCUUCAGAAAAUGAAAGCCCAAAAAGGGGGGCCUUCAGAUAAACAUCUGCCCUUGCACUCAAAACUCAAAAGCACCAACCUGUUGUUCACUAAAGCAAAGCGAGGUGACAGUAACGAAAAGCAAAUGCUUCAGGAAAUCGCGGGGCUUCAGAUUAACAUCUGUCCGAUGUACUCAAAGCACCAAUCUGUUGUAAACUGAAGCAAAGCGAAGCGAGCUAGUGCUACCAAAAAGCAAAGUGAGGCACGUGAGGCAAUGCGUGAAAAUGGGAAAAGCAUGAAGAAACAAAAAAGGAUUAAAAUACGAUCAACGAGUGUAUUAUUAAUGUACACACACUCGCACAUCGCCGGGCAUAUACCUUCCCUGGCUCGUAGUCGAGGUAGCCGAGAGGCUUAUUCAGGACAGCUGCUUUCCUUGGCUGUUGCACAGGCCGAUCUUUUUGGCGCCACCUCCCUUGAUUCCGGAAUGCAGAGGCAGCUGAGCAUCUCGGCGAUGCCCAAGCUGCUGCCGGAGGAAGCCGGCGGCGGCGACGAUGACGACGUGGAGGCGAAGCCCGAGAAGGCGCCGGCGCCGCGGUCGACGGAGAAGGAGCGGUCCGUGCACCUCAUACCGCUCAUCAUCGUGGUGUGCUUCCUCCUCCUCUUCCUCUGCUCCCGCGACCCCUCUCCCUCUGGUACGUGUAGCGUGUGUGCGUGUGUUUAUUUAUCCAUGCUCUUUUCGUGUGCUCAUGUUGAUCUCUUCUUACUGUCCUGUGUUUUCUUUCUGCAGAUAUGUCGAGUUUUGGAAACAAGGCCGGGAGCUAGAAUACCAAGUCGCUCUGAUCCUGUGAAGAACUGAACAAGUGACGCACCAAUAAAAAAUUUUCUUAUAUUUGCCUUUCAUUUUUUUCCCUUCAGCCCAAGUCCAAUUGUGUAUUUUGAUCUCGAAUACGAAGCAUAAACAGCCCUAAGGCUACUCAAGUCCAAUUGUGUAUUUUAAUCUCGAAUACGAAGCAUAAACAGAGGGCUAUUCACUGCCGUAGAGAACGUUGAAGCACAUUAUACAACCGUCGAAAAAGUUCAGAACUCUGAUCGUCUGACAAUGUUGGUUUGUGUUUGCCCUUGCUUAUGACAUGGGCUGAACUUUCUGAAUCCUUUGCCCCCUUCUUCAGCGAGAACUGUAAGGAGUAAGAACAGUUGGAAAAAACAGGAAGAACUGAUCAAUAAUCGAGUGAUCACAUAUGCGAUCUUUCAGACAUACUACCCAUCAGUGGAUGAAGAGCAUGUAAUCGCCCUGACCUUUGCAAAGCUUCGGUUUCUGAUCCUUUAUGUGGCACGGUGGCCCAACAACUUCCUUAAUACUAAUAUUUUCAGUCAUUAUCCCUGUUUCUACCUAUGCAGGACCAUAUCCUUAGUUGCUCCUGGAAUUAUAGAGAUUACCCACUAGCCGUGAAAUCCUUGCACCGGUCUGAAAAACUAAAGCAUCAGCAGAAUUACAGAACCCAGUCAGGUUUUUAGAAAACUGCUAAUGAUGAAGAGCAUUCGCAUACAGCCUCCGUGAAAGCACCACAUUCUCAUGAUUAGCAAGUACAUUCUCUCAAACAGAAAACAAGUGUAUCAGAAAACAGAAUCAUGCAUAACAACACAACCACUAUGUUUCAUGUUCCCACUGCAGGAUGAUAAUGAUAUAUUGAUAAAAGUGUCGAGUAACAAAUUGCAAACUCUUUUAGGUCCCAAUAACUUUCAACCUUCAAAGAGGUUUCAACCACAACACUAGAAAUGAGUUCAAUAACCAUAUCAUGUCUAUUUACACACAUGUAUGGGGCCCCGAAUCAUAUCAUAGUAUCAAUCCCUGAGCAGGUUCAGGCUUUUUAGGAGCAUCAGCGGGUGGAGACGCCUUGCUGGGCUCCUCAUCGAUAACAGCAGGGACAGUCGCCACAGUGGAGAUGGGGAUAUCGUCAGGGGUUUCAGACACAUGUAUCUUUGCAAAUUCACCGUCCACUUCCCUGUGUGUUGCUGGGCCUUCUGGGAUGUCUGGUUGUGCUGCAGACCCACCCUCAACAAUCUUGUGCUCCUGCUCAGCUGCUAUUUUCUCCUUAGCCUUUGCACCAACAUCGUUGGCUGCACUGGUCACCUUGCUGAAGGCACCAGUUACCCAUGCUGCCCCGGUGAGGACAUAUCUGUUCUUCAUGAUGGCGGAUCCAGCAGUCGAGACGCUCUGUUCAGCAGCUGCCAGUGCUGACUUUGUCUUCUCAGAGACUUGGUACUUCUGAUCCAUUUCCUUCACUUUAUCAUUGACAGCUGAAGUACCAACACUGAUCUUCUCACUUAGACCGAUUCUCUUGUCGAAGGAAGAUACUCUAGCAGUAGCAGUUGAUGUGAGCUGAUGCUUCUCAUCCAGAGCUUUUGCUUUGUCCAGUGCAUCCCUACCAAGGAUAAAUCCUUUCGCCAGCAUGGUCCCAACAAUGUCCUCGGCCUUUUGGAGGGCAGAAGGUUUUGUGUCUUUGGGCUGGGGGGUGAAAAGCAAUGUUAUGAACCUGCACAGCAACUAUAUCAUGCAUGUGCAGUAAAUAGUAUGGCUCCAGUUAUACCUCUAGAUCAGCUAAAACAUAAGCUGGUAGCUCAUAAUCAGUGGCAGGCGUGACAAUGACAGCCAUAUCAACUAUCGUGGCCCCCUGCAACAGCAAUAAAAGUUCACAUUAGAAUAUGCUAGAAUUUAAGUGGUAUAUAUUUGUAAACUAUUUUUUUUCAUUGCCAUCCCAAGACAUCUUGGUUUUCAAGCUAGAGCUAGAGGUCACGGUAGAAACAAUGUUGUAAAGUCAGUUGGAACUGGAUUAUAUAAAAGGCAAAAUUCAAUGAGCAAACAAAGAUCACUUUAAACAAUCAUUGAAAGAGCAAGUACAAAUAUUUUUUGAUUGGGGCUUCAGAAUAUAAUUGCAACAAAUUACAGUACAGAACCACAUUGAUAAUAUUCAGAUGACUAACCUAUUAAAAUAAGAUCACAAAUGCAUACCAUAUUUCAUGAUAAUGUGACCAGUGAAUCAUUAAUUCAUCUAAAAGACACAUUUUUUUCAGAUCCUUGAGACAAAAGAAAUACCGUGAGAAGCAUUGCCGUCUCAGCUCCUUGAUUGUCUUUAAAAGUAAUGUAGGCAACUUGAGACAGCUCAUCGCCACUGCAUAGCACUAAAUGGUUAGUGCAACUCAUAGCACAGCGUGAAAAUAAGCAUCAUGGACAUGGUACUAACCUUUGCAUUUCAACAUGCACAAUGUCACCAGAAAAAGAAAAGAAUUCCUUUAUAUCACGCUGUGCUGCUUUCAGGGACACAUUGCUAACCUUGACAGUACUAAACAUGCUUGCCUAAAAAUAGUAAAUGGCAGAACAGGAACAUCUAGUCAGUGGACAGUGGUAUUGUGUAUGUAAUAUCUCCAUAACAAACAAAUGAAUAUUAUACCAAGCAAACACUUCUUUAGUAUUUAGAACGAGGAAAGAAAAUAAAAUGGCGAAAUCAGUUAGACAUUAGCACAGAUACAAGUUUUUGCGGCACGGCAUGCUUGAGGGCAGCGGCAGAUCUCGAGCUCGCAAGCCUGAGUGGGUUGGGCGGUGGCCCCAAGGCCAAAGGGAAAGGAGGACAGGACGUUUGACCGAUAAGAGGGACCCACCAUGACGGAGGCUAACAGAUGCAGUCAUCCUAUUUACAUAGGGAUGGAACCAUUCCAUCCUAUCUCGCUCUCCAACCAAGCGCACCCUUAACACAUCAUGGCAUGCAGACAUAAGUGUGAAUUUCUUCAAAUAUAUAUAGAGGGUCGACAUGCAAGAUGUAACAUUGUUUGAUGUAUACAAAAAUCUUCAUAGCAAAUUAUUUCCUUUCUGUUGGCUACAACUGACACAUGGUGUAGUUAAGGCAAACUUCUCAAGAAUACUUAUGAGCAUAUAGGCAUCAUUAAUUGAGGCCCUGUCAUAGUCUUUUUAGAUAAUUUUAAACAUUUUUUUGGUAGCUUGUCUAUAUAGAAUGGCUAAAAAUAGUCAGAUGCACAUUAUCAAUCAUGCCCACUCCUCUGAUUUGGAUGCUGAUAUAGGUAUUUAUUUCCAUAGCUAAAAUAAGAAUUUUGCUUCAUUAAAAGCUUUAUGUUUAAACCGAUUUAAAAUCUAAAGAAAAAGACAAGUUUCAAAUUAAAUGCAGAUAGAUUCAUACACGUUUCUCAUGUGUGUGGGUUGGGGGAGCCAAUAUCCAUAUUCUAUCAUUGAUUCUCCUUUUCGUCACAUGCAUUAAAAUUUACCUAGUAGUAUUGCCUAGCGACGAAACACGGUCUUUUGCCAACUUUGCUAAGGCUAAACCCAUUUUAGGAUAUACAGUGACAGUCCAUACAGAGGUGAAACAAGCUUGCUAUUCACCACAGGGAGUUACCUUUGCUGCAUUCUUGAGACACCCCUUAAAAUGUAAUGAAAACUACAUGCCCCCCCCCCAAAAAAAAAUAAAUAAAUCCUAGAGCAUAAGCAAGCAGACAAACAGAGAAAUAGGCCCAAGAUAUUGACUAAACAUAUGAUAGAAGCAUAACCAAACAUCUGGAGACAGUGAUAUGAAUCAAAUCAUCAGGAGCGCUAUCCAUAACUCUCAAACACCUCAUUUUAGUUUCCAGGACCUGGGCACCCUGAUAACAGUCUAGUCUAGCAUUAUCGGACAGCAGAUUAGCUGCCGUAGUCAUUGCAGAUUCAUCUGUGAGGUACAAUGUCGACUGAAAUGGGACGAGAUUUGACUAUUACCAACACCAUCCCACCAUUCAAUUCUAUCAAGUUCCACAAAUGCUCUAGUCUUCCCCCCCUUUCCAUUCUGCUAACAGUUUCCCCUUUUCUUUGCUAGGGCCGCUUGCGCAGAUGCGGCUAGCACUAGAGCACAAUCCACACAAAUCAAAAGCCCGCCCAAACCGCAAACACCUAUGCCCCGGAAACGAAUUAAAACCGGCGACUCGGUGCCCCCGGAUCGGAAAUGGCACAGCGCACACACAGAGACUCGCAAAAGAGAUCGCUAAUCAAUAAGUAGUACUCCGUAGCAAGGAAGGAAAGAGAAGACCCAGUGCUCACCGCCAUGCCUGCUGCGAUGCUGGAGAUCUCGAACCCUAAACCGCUGACUUGAAUCGGGAAACGGGAAAUGGAACGGCCGUGUCCAGUGGGCGGGGUUUAUAGAGGUAGCGGAGACAGAGGCGGAGCACGCGGCGCGGCGGGGCCAUCGAGACGACGUGGCGACGUGGGGGGCACGCCCUAAAUGAUGGGCCCCACCACCUUUCGGCUUUUACUUUGGGUCCGGUCCAAGGUCCAUGGGAGCUCUUGCGAUCUGGCCGGCAGGUGGGCCAUGGGACUUAAUGGGCCGAAAGUUGCGUGGUCUGAUGAGGUUCACGAGGCCCAGCAAAGGUCGUAACGCCGAUACCAUAUGCUUAUUUCUUUCGUUUUCUUUUGACUGAAUAAUACCACACGGGCCGGUGAGAUGAGAUAGCAGAAAUCUGGGGCAAAUAAAACAUGAGGCAGGUUUACCAUGGAGGAACAAGCAACAAAACGUGCGCGGAACGUGCACUUAGCAUCUCAAAUCAGAAUCCUGACGGCGCAAAGGCCUUGCCGUAUCUCCAGCAGAUAUGGACGUCAAUUUUUGGCAACGGGGCACGCUUUCGAGCGGCCCUACCAAAGUUCGAUCCAAAUGUUUCGCGUUUCGCCACAUGAUUUUUUUUUUUUUUUUUGCUACUCGUAGCCAUGGUGUUUUUUUUGGUUGGCUACUCGUAGUCAGGGACGAGUAGGAGGCCCUUUUCGGCUAAGCCUCGAGUUGAAGAGCUAAACAAACAUAAAUGUGAAGUUCAACAAAGGUAUUUAACACAUUAUUAUCAUAGUACCAUAGGUCGCUUGCAAGCAUAAAGGUUGGUUAAUAGGAGAUGCGCUAAUUCUUCCAGUGAAGCAGUGACUACUAGUAACUGAGAUGUUUCAGAUUCUUCUUCUUCUUGGGAGGCAGAAGCACGGAGCUGAGAGCAUCGCGAUUCAUCAGGGCAGCUCUCUGCAGCUCCAUAACCUGCAAAAGUAAACAACGUGCUAGUCAAUUCAAAGAGGCAAGCAAAACAUCGGCAGCUAUAGCAACGCGCGUGCUGAGUUGCGUAGAUAUCCCGCUUAGCUACCUGGAACUUUGUCAGAGUGACUUCUUUCUCCACAAGCUCCUUCAUCUGCAUCUUGGCCUCAUUGGCUACCCGCAGACUGCUAUCCAAAGAGAGGGGGCCAACACGGAGAUCAUCAGUCACAAUGAAGUUGUGAGCCGCCUGACCGACAUAUGCUUCAGAGUUGCCACUUUUCGCACCAGGCGACUUUUGGAUCCAACUCGCAAAGCUCAGCAGUCUUCGUACUGUUUUCACAAUUGAUGUAUUCAUGUCUGUGAUAACCAUGAGUGGCGCUAUAACGAUAGGCUUGUUCGUGACAACGGCCAAGAUUAGAAAAACCACCAAUCUUGAAGCAGCUGAAACAAGAAUUGAUCUUUAUCUUUUUGGGAGCCGAUUCAGCAACCAGUAGGAUCUGGCUACCGCCGGAACCAAAGAAGGGUGGCACCUCUGGGUCUAGUAGCAGCCUCUGGUAGUCUGGUCCCAUGCAUCCUUCAGCACUACCACUUAUGGUCCUGUAAAGAUUAUCAAUGCAUCCAUUUGGUAACCUCUGACCGAAUGUCUUUGUAGUACAGUACAGUGGAAUUAACUUUAGUCUGACGAACCUUUAUUUUCACGUUGCCUAUCUUGUCCUCGGCCUCGCUCACUUGUUCAGGACACAGGUUCCUAGGGAGCAUACCAAGGCUGCCAUCAUCGAGUGGUAUAGGAACGUCGAAAUGGAGCCCGGUUAAAGGUUGCUUGGAUGUCAAUGAUCUCUUGAGCAAACUAGAUAUCUGUAAGAAACGCAUUGAAGGUUAAUCAGUCGCGCGCCAGCAUGUCAGUUAAAUCUGUAAGCAAGUGCGUUGCCUUUUCUUUUGGAACCCAAGUGUACUGCAAUUUUGAAAGUUUAAUGGUUUGAUGUUCGAACAACAAAAUAAUCUAGUUCGAUAGACAAACCUUUUCUGAAGUGAGCUGGAGCAUACUCUGCUCAAGAUCGGCUGGAUCCUGUACUCCAAAUUUCUGACAAAGGGACAGCAUCAGAGAUGUGGAGGCUGGUGCUACCUGAAGAUCAUCAGUGAUGAUAAACUUCUGGCGUCCUCUAACAAAAAUUCCAAUCUCAGAACUAGCAGCCGCAGUCUUGCCAUCGUCCUCCGGCCUAUCCCCAGCGUACUCCAUGACUUUGCCGGAUUUGCAGAGGGUGUCAGGGACCGAGCUAAACGCGCGAUCGCCAUGAGCGCAACAGCCCGUGUCUUUGCAGACAUAGACAGCCAUCGGUGUCAUCGAUGUUGAUCUUGAGUCGACAGCAAUGGCUGGAAGCAGCGUUGAGCGGUUUCAGAAGCAUCACCUUGCAGGCCUUGGUUUUGAAGUACUCCGAGUUCAGAUCCUCGACACUCUUGUACAACUCGUCAAGGCACCCCAUCUGAGACUGCUUGCCCAGAAGGCGAACGAUGGUGCCGAGAGGCAUGGUGAGGAAGCCGAAGAGGACGUCGACGUACUCCUUGUCGGACUCUGCAAAUAGCACCUUCUUCUUCUCCUUGUCAACAAACAGCUUCACGUCGAUGGUGGACGCUUAAUUCUUAGCCAUGGUAGAUGCAAUGGGUGAGUGUUUGCUGGAUGAACUGGUAUGAUUUCUUAGUGCUACCUGUACUCGUGAUCCUUAAAUACGUCCUGAUACAGACUGCGGUGAGUAGCCCUGGCUACGGAAUUUGAUCAGCCAGGGUAAUAUGAAACGGCACAUUGUUCCUUGGGAAUUCGCACCAAGAGCCCGGCAUUGAAGGGCUAAUUAUGCCCGGAACAUCUCGUUUUCCGCAGGAAGUUUAAGGGCUCUUUUCUACCAUGAGUUCAUCGUGAAUUACUUUUACUCUUUUUUACUUACAGCGAACGGCGUUCUUGCCAUUGUUUAUGGGGUGACGGGACGUGGAAGUUUAAUUUUUUAAAAAAGUUUCCUUACGUUUAUCCAUACGAUCAUACCACACGGUAACACUAGUAAAGUAAAAAAUGAUAUGAAAUAUGAAAGAUCGUCCUACUAUCUUGUCUAAAAUUUUCCUAAACGAACAAUCUUUGUGGAUGGAAGGAUUAAUUAGGUCAGUCUCAGUGCACGGUUUUACUUGUACAGUAAUUGUGCCUGUUGGUGUCAUGGGGAUGAAACUCCUCUUUCAUAAAAUGAAAUUCUCUUCUCAUAAUUACCUUACCAAAUCAACAAAAUUGAUAAUGUGACAUAAAAUUUUAAUGUUACGAAACUCCUAUGAAACCUCCUGUUGAGACUGGCCUUAAGGGAACAUUGUUACUUCUCACAACUAUUGUGUCUAAAAUUUCCCAAACGAAGACUUAUUUAGGGACGAAGGGAGUAACAAUGUUACAACCACUUCUCUUUUUUGAAAUCCUUUAAUUAUGCGUAUAGAGUGAAAAUAUUGUAAUAACUACUACUUUUGAUGUUCUCGACAGAUAAACAUUAUAAGUAGUUUUUUUAUAAUUAAAGGGAAGCUAAGAGAGGCCAACUGAACAUGUUCAUUCCACGAAAAGCUUUUACAUGAUUAGGCAAAUCAGCCACCAAAGGGAAUUAGUGAUCAAGGUACAUAUUAGAGGUGGAUAGAGAGCCAUACAUUAAGGAUUAUAAUCUCAGCACAACCACAACCAACACAAAAUGGUAAAAAAUAAGAAACAAAAGGAAAGAAACCGAGAUAAAUCGUUGCCUCUCCUAAACUACAAAUCGUCGGUAGGCACGAUCACAAUGGAAACCCCACGCGCGAAGCUAUCCACUCCACAAACCACGGGGGAGUCAUCACCACGCAAAGUGGUGGGGAAAAAGUCAAUUUUACUCCCCUCACCUAUCCACUUUAUCCACUUAACCUCCCGAACAGUCACUCUACUCCCCUGAACUAUUUCAUUUGAUCCAAUCUACCCCUAAUUAGAUUUCUUUUUUUCUCCGUGUAUGACUUGAAUUUUCAGUUCAAAUUUUGUGAGCAAAUACAAAAUAUGACGCCUUAUGUUAAAAAAUUAUACUACAAUUUUUCAUAGUUAUUUUCAUAGGUUAGAAAUAUUUAAUACAAAAUUGAUCAAAAUUGUAUCAAUGUUUUAAAUAGUGGCUAUAAAUUAUAAGUAUCUAGCAGGAGCCUUCCGUAUAUAUCCACAAGAAUCCGUUAUUUCUGUUGCAACGCCACAGCAGUAGCUCUCCAGAUUCCACUGUAGAGCUACUAUGGUACACUAUUUAAAACACCGAUUUGUGUCUGAGAGAGUUGACCUAUAUUUUAAGCACGGUUUUCUACUUUUUGAUAUUGAGACUAAUAAGUUUUAGUAUCUUUACAAAUCCCCUUGCAUUUGGACACGAAGAGAGAGCAUGUAUAAAUGCUAAAGUGCUGUCAUAAAAUGUACCAAUAAACCCACGUUAAGCGCAUCAAUCAUGGGUCAGAACUUCAGAUCAACAAGGGGACACUAUUUAUAUAGUAUUGGUUAUAUAUGCAAUCAUAAAUUGGGGAAACAUUAAACUAAGCAUAAUCUUGAGGGCAAUGCAGUGACUGAUUUUCUGCUAUGAACAUUAAAUAGAAAUUGCGAGUCAAAUUAGAAUUUUGGAGACGGUGUCUGAGUCAAACCGCCACGUGAUGGCAUCAAUCAUCAGUUCAGGCAACUUCAGUUCAACAAGGGGACACUGUUUAUACUAUAAUAUUGGUUACAUGUCCAAUCGUAAAAUGGGGAACUUUUGAACUAGGCAUAUAGGCCGGAAAGUGUGGUGAUCUAGGCAUCUAGCUUCCUCUUCUUGGGAGGCAGAAGCACAGAGCUGAGACCGUUGCGACUCACCAGUGCAGCUCUCAGUAGCUUCAUGAUCUGUACAAACAUUAGGAACACUCGGAUCAAGUCAACUAGUCAAGCAGGCAGUAUACAAAAUAUAAGUUAAGGAUUUUAACAAACUCCCGAACACAAAUACGUCUAGAUUUUUUUUUUGGAAGAAAAAUACCUGGAGUAUUGUGAGAGUGACUUCUUUCUACAGGAGUUUUCCUGGCCGAAUCUUCGCUGCACGAACAGCCUGUAGAGUGCUUGACAUUGAAAGAGGAAGAAUAUGCAGGCCAUCAGUCACCAUGAAUUUAACAGAUCCUCCCUUCACGUAUGCUUCACUGUCUUCACUUCCUCCGUUUGGCGAUUUUGGAUUCGACUCAUGAAGGUUAGUGGAUUUUACACUGUUCUUGCAAUAGGUACACUCAUAGUACCGGAUCCUGCCAAAGUUACAACUGUAAACAGGAGUUUCCUUCAAACAUCGGCCAAUGUCAGCAAAACCACCGGCCUUGAAGCACUUAAUGCAGGCUUUGAUUUGUAGCUUUCUUGGAGCUAAUUCUUCAACUUGUAGGAUCUUGGUGGUUCUGCAACCAGAGAAGGGCUCUGCUUUUGGGUCUAUUAACAAGCUCUGGCACUCUGGUCUUACACAUCCUUUAGCACUUCCAUCUAUGCUCUUAUAGAGAUUAUCAAUACAUCCUUUAAAUGAGCCCUGAUGACAAUAUGUUUUCAUGAUAGAUCCUAACGGGAUGCUUAACGAGCCAAAUAGAAGAUCGACGAAAUCGUCAGAAACUUCAGCAUACAACACGGAGUUGUUUCUUGUCUGAAGAACUCUUAUCUUCACGCUGUUUAGCUUUUGGUCUAUAUCAUUAUGUUGGUCAGCAUACAAUUUCUCAGAGAGCACAAACAGGUCUACAUCAUCAUAAUCGAUAGGAAUAUCAAAAUAAAUCCCAGUUAAAGACUGCUUGGUCGUCAAUGAUCUCCCAAGCAGGCUAGUUAUCUGUAACAAGUGGAUGGACUUAUCAAAAAAAAGUUUUAAGCUAAAUGCAUCUUGAAUUCGAGAGUAGUUCGCUCUGGGAAAAACAAAAUACAUAGCUAUGAGGAGGCAAACCUUUUGUGAAUUGAGUUGGACAACCGUUUUCUCCAGAGUUGCUGGAUCACGUACUCCAAAUCUUUGAAAGAGAGACAUCAUGAGAGACGUCGAAUUAAGCUGGCGCAACUAUGAGAUCAUCAGUGAUGAUAAACUUGAAGCAGCCGUUCACAAAAAACCCCAGAAUCAGCGUCUCCUCCAGCAGGUGCAAGGUUCCCAUGAUUCUCCGGCCUAUCCCCAGCGUACUGCAUGUCUUUGCCACAUUUGCAGACUGCGUCAGGAACCGAGCUAAACCUGCAAUCACCACCAGAAGCGCUGCAGCUUUUGUCUCUGCAGACUGCUUUUGUAGAGAGCUACCUGAGUUUCGUCUAGUGUGAUUUCUUUCUCAGCGAGCUUCUCCUUUGGAAUCUUUGCUGCACGCAGUAGUUGGAGAGUGUUCGAAUACGUAGACUGUUUGUUACUAUGAAGUUUCUCGAGCCUCCCUUGAUAUAUGCGCCAUUACUACUCGAUGCGUACGCGCUUGUAGUUUUCGGGUUCGUCUCGUAAAGACUUGCGCCCGAAGGGUUCUUGCAAGGACAAGUCUGUGUGCGUGCUCGAAGACAAGUCAGCACUUGACCUUCAAAUGUCUUGUAUCUAAUUCUUUGACAUGCAGUGCAUUGAUACUGCAACCAAAGUGGGGCGCCAACUUUGGGGCUAUCAGUAACUCUUUGCACUCACUUUUAAUGUGCCCUAUCCCCGCUAUAUUCCUGUAAAGAUUGUCAAUACAUCCAUUUGGGGACCACUGCCCAUAAGCCUUGAUUAUGGAUCCAGGUGGAAUGCUAAGGAGGCCAAAGAUAAGAUCAACAAAAUCUUGCCCAGCCUCCGCAUACAGCACUGAUGCGUCGUCCUUUGUCUGAAUGGGUUUAAUCUUGAUGGGGUCGAACUUGUGUUCAGGGUGUUUCGGUUGUUGAAUGAAGUUCUCGGGGAGCUGAUCUAGAUUUACAGCAUCCGGUGUAACCGCAGCAUCAAAAAAUAGUCCGGUUAAAGCUUGCUGGGAUAUUAGUGCUCUCUUAAGCAAGAGAAUAGUGGGUUCUGCGUGUAGCCCGAACUUGUCCAGCAGGGAAAACACGAUACUUGCAGAAGCAGGAGACACAUGGAGAUCGUCAGUGAUGAUUAACUUGAUACCACUUAUGACAAACCCGCCAUCCCCACUGUAUGCAACAGAAGUAUGAACGAUUUGUGGAUGUUCCGCAAAUGUUUGCCCUGUGCCGCAGUUCAUGCAAACCGCAUCAGGGACUGAGCUAUACGAAAAACCUGGGCAACGCCGAUUUGAGCAAAUGCCGACCUUUCUAGGAUUGGUGUCAUCAAUCCUGAUUUUGAGUUGACCGCACUGACUUGCGGCAGCAUUGAGGGGGCUAAGAAGCAUGGCCUUGCAGGCCUUGGUCUGGAAGUGAUCUAUGCUGAGACUCUCCACGCUCUUGUACACCUCAUCGAGGCAACCUGCUCCAGAUUGCUUGCCGAGAAGGCGCACGAUGGUGCCAAGAGGCAGGGUGAGGAAACUGAAGAGGACGUCCACAAAGUCAUUGUCGGAUUCUGCCAACAACACCCUCUGCUUCUCCUUGUCGAGGAACAGCUUCACAGCAACCGUUGCUCCAUCGUUCGACAUGGUGUGUGUGGAUGUGUUCCAACCGGAAAGCAGGGUGCCUAUGCAGUCCUCUAAAUGCCUACGCAUGCAGCGAUUCAACUUCGGCAUUUUGCAGGUCUGAUCUCAAAGGACGCCCGACGAUUGAGAUCACGGCCGGGCAGCCGCCUAUAUUGAAUGGACGAUUCACAUCUCACAGUAGUAUCACACUGCAUGCAAGCCGCUUCGUUUUCCAACAGGAGAGGAUGGUGUUCACUGUUCAGCCAGCCUCGUUGCAUUGUUUCUCACUCAAAAGUCGAAACUGCAUGCCACGAAUGGACGGCGCGUAUCCUCUUCCGGUUCUAGUUAAUUUCUGCCAUGCCUUCAUUUCUCGCAGAAAUUGAAGUGCGGUGUUUGGAAGAGGGGUGCUAAACUUUAGCACCCUCACUUUAGUCCAUUUUAGUUACUUGUGCUCCCAAACAGGUGAGCUAAAACUGGUGGACUAAAUUUUAGCCCCUCACUAAUCCUUUAGGGGGUGUUUGGGAGAGGGGUGCUAAAAUUUAGCACCCCCAUUUUAGUCAGUUUCAGUCUCCAUAGCUUCGAAACAGAAGUGCUAAACCACUGGUGCUAAAAUUUAGCCCACUCAUAAUCCUUUAGCCACUUAAGGGUAGCUAAGGCCCUGUUUGGGAGGAGAGGGUUAAAAUUUAGCCCUGGACUAAAAUUUAGUCCCCUUAAAUGGAGCGCUAAACUUUAACCUUUUAGGGUGUUUGGAUAAGAAGCUAAACUUUAGCACUUUGAUUACCAAAAGACUUUUUUACCUCUCAUCAAUCCACAACCAUGAUGUGUACAAAAAUGUAUCGGAUGAUUAUUCCUCUCGGCCGAUCCGAGCAAAGCAAAGCACAUUUCUUCCCAAGCAUCCAUCGAGCGCACCUAGCAGCAGCUGACACAAUAGCAAAACAGCCAUCAGCUGCUCGUCGUGGCUCGCGCUCAGGUGGUGGUGCUUGCCAUGGUGGCCGCGGUGCUGCUCGCCGCGGCGGCCUUCGAGGCCGCCAUCAGCUGCGGCCAAGUCACCUCCGCCAUCGGCCAGUGCCUCCCUUGCGCCCGCGGCCAGAGCACCGCCCCCUCCAGUGUCAAGAACGCCAAGGGGAUCAACGGACUCAACGCCGGCAAUGCCGCCAGCAUCCCAUCCAAGUGUGGCGUCAGCAUCCCCUACUCCAUCAGCACCUCCACCGAGCGAGCGUGGAUGCGGCGAGAUGCGGCUUGGGGUCGGGGAGGAGCAGCGGGGCACCGGAGGAUGCGGCGGGGCGGCGGCGCCCGACGGAUGCGUCGACGGCGCGUCCAUCGGAGUUGGGCGGGCACCCAUCGGAGUCGAGGAUGGCCGCACUCUUGUUGGACCCGGAUUCGCCCGCGACCCCGCAUCGGAGCCGCAUGUGGGAGCUACUGUGGAACCUGGACCGCCAGCUCUCGAACCGGAGUUGAGGUGGCGAGGGCCCGCGGAUCUGGCAGCUAGGACCCACGGAUCCGGUGAGGCGGGGCCGGCUGGGCUUGAUCUGCCGACGGCGGUGGGGUCUGGCAAAGGAGGCGGGGCCGGGCGGAGCAUGCGGGGAGAGAGAGUGCAGGGAGGAGAGAGAGGGGGAGGGGUAGGGGGAAAGUGGUCUGGGGGACCACUUUUUAGUUCAUUUAGUCAGUUUUAGCUACCUUCAAGUGGCUAAAGGAUUAUGAGUGGGCUAAAUUUUAGCACCAGUGGUUUAGCACUCCUGUUUGGGAGCUAUGGAGACUAAAACUGAUAAAAAUGGGGGUGCUAAAUUUAGCACCCCUCUCCCAAACACCCCCUAAAACUAACGGGGCUCGCCACAGCCUCCGCCAGCGCCUCGACGGGGCUCGCCACUGCCUCGCCGAUCCCCUCCACCUCGCCUCGCUGGGCCUCGCCGGGAUCCUCGUCGCGCCUCCGCCUGAGAUGUGCCACGAGCAGGAAGAGGACGACGCUUUGAGAAGGAAGAGGGGGGUGAAGGAGAGAGAAAGCAGGGGUAAAUCUGUCUUUUGUUAAUACAUGUGCUAAAAUUUAGCCUCCUUUUCAAACACCCUGAAGGGCUAAAGUUUAGCAUCCGAUGGUAAAUUUUAGUACCUUCCUCCCAAACAGGGCCAGUAGUAUUUUCUUAUGCUUUUUCACGCUUCCAGUUUUCCUUCAGACAGGCCGCUAGCCCACUCAUAUGGCCUAGACCAGAAAGGUUUCUAAUAAGCCCACGAUCGCAUACUUCACGGGCCACAAGCACAUAACAAGGCAGCCCAGUAAGAUGAUGAUGGGGUUGGUCAGUCAGGGCCCAAAACAUCGAGGUCCACGCAGGGUUCCUGGGCCUCUCUCUUUCUCUACCUACCGCGGUCCGAGAAGAUUUGCUAGAAACGGCCCGGUUCGCUGUUCAGCGCUGCCACACAAGCACGCGGCGCCGGCAGAGCCGCAGAGAGGCGGGGCGCGCUCGCCGCACGACGGCACGAGACGAAACGAAAACCUUGGAGACGAGCGAGCCCGUGCGCGGAUGGUUGGUUGCCGCUGCCGCUCGCGACCCGCAGUCAGCCAUCGAGACGAGUCCGCGCGCCAGAACCCUGCGCUGCGCCACAUCUGCCUGCACUUCAAAAAUAAUAUCGCGGCCGUGCCCCCGCCCCAGUGCCACGUGGAAAGGCGUGUCCGUGCGCGCCUCUUCGGUUAGCGAGCCAACCGAGAUGGCGUCCGGAACGCGGCACGCGGAAACCGUGUACGUGCAUCGUCUACGAGUAAAGAUCUACGAGUAGCCUGUACACAACCCUAAGCACGUGCACGGAGCAGGCAGCUGCUAAAAAUGGCAUAGGUCAUUGACUGCUUUGCUUGCAUGCAUUGUGCGUUGUCAUUAGGGCUUAUGCGCUUCAGCCUCCAGCGUUUGGCAAGUAUGGACUUAAUCAGGAAGGGAAAGGAAAGGUCUCAUUGCAUGUCCAGCGCUUUGGUAGGUAUGGAUUUAAUCAUGAAUGGAAAUGGAAAAGUCUCAUUGCAUGUUCAUUUGUGGCCAUCAGUAUCCAAAAGAAUGAAGACAUCACGCAUAUGCCAUCUCUGCUAUACAGUAUGCAUGGCAGGCUUCUUGGUAGGUGUGUCGAUCGAUCAACUAACGAUGGAAUUCAGAAAUUGUUUUAACAUUUGAUUACUUCCAUAAUUAUCCCUUAUCAUGUAGACCACUUGUGGAAUUUCAAAUGAUGUAAAUUGCUCUGCAGUAGAAGUUUAAAACUUAAGAUAGGAAGUUUUUUUAAAGAUAGUUGAUGUCCAAAAUUUACAGAUUAUUGCUCAUUCCAAUUUCAAGGUUUAGCAUUAUUCUGUUUUAUUAUCAUGAGAAGACUACAUAAUUAUGUAGUAUAUCUUAGAUAUAUUAAACAACAGCAUACGCGUGGCCGUUGGCCUGUUUCAAAAAAGAUCGGAAUUCAGUUCCUUCAGGCGCGGAAUCGAUCUGUCGCCAAUUCGCCAUUGGCCAAGAUACCCCUUUGACCCAAGAUUCUCUCGUCUCCAACCACCCAACAAACCACCCGAAGCGGAUCUUCGGCGCUCCCAGCCAGCCGGGAUAUUUAUACCGCGCGCCGUCACAGGCUUGCUCUGAACCUCAACACAGAUCUGAAGAAGGUGCGGGCCGCCGGCUUGGAGGCGCCGAGCAGCGAUGGAGAUCGAGCACCAUUCCGGCGGCCGCGUGGCGGCCGUCGGCGGCGACGACGACGACGUGGAGCUGGUGGAGCAGGUCCGGCUGACGGUGCCGACGACCGACGACCCGACGCUGCCCGUGUGGACGUUCCGCAUGUGGACCAUCGGCGUCGUCUCCUGCGCGCUCCUCUCCUUCUUCAACCAGUUCUUCGCCUACCGCAGCGAGCCCAUCAUCAUCAGCCAGAUCACCGUCCAGGUCCGCCUCUUCUGUUCCCGAAUCCCGAUCGAUCUUGCCUGCCUGCCAUGUCUCGGCUCGGCUUCUGGACGUUUCUGGCAAGCAUGUGAACGCAGGUGGCGGCGCUUCCGGUCGGGCACUUCAUGGCGCGGGCGCUGCCGGACAAAAAGUUCUCGGCGUUCGGCAGGGAGUGGUCCAUGAACCCGGGGCCCUUCAACGUCAAGGAGCACGUGCUGAUCUGCGUCUUCGCCAACGCCGGCGCCGCGUUCGGCAACGGCGGCGCGUACGCGGUCGGCAUCGUCACCAUCAUCAAGGCCUUCUACCGCAGGAACAUCUCCUUCGUCGUCGGCCUGCUCCUCAUCAUCACCACUCAGGUACGUGCCGGUUUGUGUUUCGCACGAUUAAUUGUAGGUGUUGUGCAUGGAACAGGGCGCUGAUUUCCAUGUCUGUAGGUGCUGGGGUACGGAUGGGCAGGGCUGAUGAGGAGGUACGUGAUCGAGCCGGCGCAAAUGUGGUGGCCGCAGAGUCUCGUGCAGGUGUCCCUCCUCAGGUGAGAGACCACUGGUCGCUGAUGUGUCUAAGGCUAGUCCCAGUGCAAGGUUUCAUUGCACUAUUUUCAAAGAUGCCACAUCAUCCCAUGAGGUGUAUUCUCAUGAAUGAAGCAGGGAGUCCCAGUGCACAGUUUCAUUUCACGAUUUCAUAGGAUGCCCAUAACAUUUAAUUGUGAGGCAUGUGAUUGGAUAUGGUUAGAUGAAAUGAAACUCUAUAGCCCCCAAUGCAAGUUUCAAUAGGUUUCAUAGUAACAGUGUAUACACAAUUUCAUCCUGAUGAAACUCCUUCUCUCUCACUUCAUAACUACCAUGCCAUGUCAUCACAUAUGCUGAUGUGUCACCGUAUUUAAUGUGCAUGAAACCUCUAUGAAACUUCCACUGGGAUUAGCCUAAUAAUUCGACCAAAUCCUUUCGACGCAUUACUCACUGACAGUUUGAUUACGCACGCACGCGUGCAUUCAGAGCGUUGCACGAGAAGGAGCAGGGUCGGCGGAUGACGCGUGGCAAGUUCUUCCUGAUCGCGCUCGUCUGCAGCUUCACCUGGUACACCGUCCCGGGCUACAUCUUCCCGACGAUCACCGCCGUGUCGUGGGUGUGCUGGGCGUUCCCCAAGUCGGUGACCAUGCAGCAGAUCGGGUCCGGCCUCAACGGCCUAGGCGUCGGCGCCUUCACCCUCGACUGGUCCGUGGUCGCCUCCUUCCUCUCGAGCCCGCUCGUGUCGCCCUUCUUCGCCAUCGUCAACGUCUACGUCGGCUUCGUCCUCCUCGUCUACAUCAUCGUGCCCGCCUGCUACUGGGCCUUCAACCUCUACGACGCCGGCACCUUCCCCAUCUACUCCACCGACCUGUUCACCGGCGCCGGCCAGCUCUACAACAUCACCGCCAUCGUCAACGACAGGUUUGAGAUCGACAUGGGCGCCUACGAGCAGCAGGGGAAGAUCCACCUCAGCUUGUUCUUCGCCAUUUCCUACGGCCUCGGCUUCGCCUCCAUCGCCGCCACGCUGUCGCAUGUCGCCCUCUUCUACGGGAAGUACGUGCGCUCAUCGCUUCGAUCCCUGCUCGAUCGACAUGGAUGAUCGUCAUCGUCGAUCCAAUGAUGACUGUUUUGUUUGUGCAGGGAGAUAUACCAGAGGUUCCGGGAGUCCUACAGGGGCAAGCCGGACGUGCACACGAGGAUGAUGAGGAGGUACGACGACAUACCCAACUGGUGGUUCUACGUGCUGCUGGCGUUGACCAUGGCGGUGGCCAUGGUGCUCUGCACCGUGUUCAAGGAUGAGGUGCAGCUGCCAUGGUGGGGGCUCCUCUUCGCCUGUGCCAUCGCCUUCAUCUUCACGCUCCCAAUCAGUGUCAUCACCGCCACCACAAACACGGUACUACUUACCUAGCAAUUGCAACUCCAAUGGAUCGGACAUGGUUCCCAGUUCCAGAAGUCAAUUGAUGACUGUGGUUCGUGUUUGCAGACACCAGGGCUGAAUGUCAUUACAGAGUAUACCUUGGGGCUGAUCAUGCCGGGGAAGCCGAUAGCCAACGUGUGCUUCAAGGUCUACGGCUACAUGAGCAUGAACCAGUCCGUAUCCUUCCUCAAUGACUUCAAACUUGGCCACUACAUGAAGGUCCCCCCGAGAUCCAUGUUCCUAGUUCAGGUACUACGACAAGUCUUGCUAUACAUCUCUUUGAUCGUGGCCAACUGCAGUUGAUGUCUGACCAAACAUGCUAUUCGUGUUUGAAAAUCAAUCCUUCAGUUGAUCGGGACGGUUGUGGCGGGGACGGUGAACACGAUCGUGGCGUGGUGGCUGCUGACCACGGUGCCGCACAUCUGCGAGAAGGCCCUCCUCCCGGAGGGCAGCCCGUGGACGUGCCCCGGCGACCACGUCUUCUUCGACGCGUCCGUGAUCUGGGGCCUGGUCGGCCCGCGCCGCAUCUUCGGCCCUCUGGGCUACUACAACGCGCUCAACUGGUGCUUCCUGGGCGGCCUGGUCUGCCCGCUCUUCGUGUGGCUCCUGGCCAGGGCGCUGCCGAGGCACGCGUGGUGGAUCAGCCUCGUCAACCUGCCGGUGAUCCUGGGCGCCACGGCCAACAUGCCGCCGGCGUCGACGCUCAACUACACGGCGUGGUGCUUCGUGGGCACCGUGUUCAACUUCUUCGUGUUCCGGUACCGCAAGGGGUGGUGGAAGCGCUACAACUACGUGCUGUCGGCGGCCUUGGACGCCGGCGUGGCCAUCAUGGGGGUGGUCAUCUACUUCGCGCUGUCGGGGCACCCGCUCGACUGGUGGGGGUCCAGGGGCGAGCACUGCGACCUCGCCACCUGCCCCACGGCCAGGGGCGUGCAGGUGGACGGAUGCCCUAUCCUCUGAUGAUCAAACACCCAGGACAAGAAGCACCCGCCUAGAGGUGUAGAAAUUCAAACAGAUAUGUGCUGCUGUGGUGAUUGCUAGUACCAUCGUAUUUGUACAUAAAGAUUGUGAAAUGACAUUGGGUUAGGUAUGAAAAUGCUCUUUACUCUGGUCUGAUCGGUAGUGCUUGCAUUUGUCGUCCAGUUCGGCUUUUACUUGGAUGUUGGAAGUGAUUCUUAUCCCAGCAUGUGCCUGACUUAAAGUUCCAAACCUUUGUGCUUUGUGGCUGGGCUAUAUAUAUACAUAUAUAAAGAAGUCCCUCUCUCAUUUGCCAAGGCACGGUUCAGUUGCGGAAGAACUGAAAAAUACGCUAUUUGCCACACGAAAAAAAAUUACCACGAAUCUUCUUCGUAUGCAUGAGGAUGUAACAAUGUUCUUUCCACCGUCUAAACCACACGCAUGAGGAUGAGAGGCAUCAGGAUCGAGGCUCGAGCAACAUCUUCUUCAGACUCAGUUGAUUGAAGCCGCCUUGCUCGUUCCUUCCAGGGAGUCAUCGCCAUAUGAUUGCCUCCGAGUCAGCGCCAUACGUCGAGAAUUCUACCUCCUCCCUGUGCUUCCCUACGUCUAAAAUUCCCUGCGAUCCUCUUGAGAUUGUACCGGAGGCACUCAAUUACUCUUGUUAUUGUAAUGCGGCGGUCUAAGGCUAUACAGCGUUUGGUCUUGCAGCCGUGUAUACAUUUUCUUUUCAGAAAAAUGAUGACGCCACAGUGUAGAUGAAAAAUGCAUGAGCAUUUGAUUUCUUUUCAGCCGUUCAUUACUAGUUGCGCAGGGCAUCUUCAAGACUGCACGAGCACGAUUAGCAAGAUAAAAGAGGAAAUGAAAUCACUCGUACUAUAGCAACAAAAUGUCGAAAUGUGCACAACGGUUUCAAGAAAGCAGAGUUAGGUUGCAGAGUUCUUUAGCACAUGGGCGGUUGAGCUUGGUCAGUAUCGUAUACACAUCCUCAAACUGAAAACACACCCGCUUGGCCAAGUGCACGUCGUCAGAGCUCACGGUAAUAAUAAGCUCACCUACUCCUACUCCGCUGCCUAGAGUGAACUAUCACUACGCGACUCCCAUCCGCUUCAUUAUAAAAGCAGAACGAAGGCAACUAGUAGAAGCAGAAGAGAACAACAAGAUCCAAGAAAGACGAUAUAUAUAUAAAAAAAAAGGUGAGAAACUUAAGACAGAAAUGCAAAUGCCCCCAACCAUCCUCUCCUACUGCCCUCAUGGUUAUCAUAUGGUAGAGAUAUAGACUUCGAAUCGAAGCCUGAUGUUUCUUUUCUUUGUACACGCACCGCUCCAUCUUUUGAACCAGUAACUGAGGAUGAGAGGCGUCAGGACUCAUCCUCGACCAGCUCCCUGUCAUGCUCAAUUGAUGGAUGCCGCCCUGCUUGGUUCUUCAGAGAGUCCACGCGCCUCACGAGCUUACGGCGCGGUUGAAGGUACCCGAUGAUUUUGGAACUUCAAGAACUCACGUCCAUCAUCGCACGGCCUUCACGUCCAUCAUCGCACGGCCUUCCACCUGAGAGCAGAUCAGGUGGCUACGCAGCGUUGGUCUCAUCGAGUAGCUUUUGGGCGUUCGAACCCAAAACAAGGAGAGCUGUUGAAAAGAACACCAACGAAGAAUCGUGUUGCGAGUUACCAUAGUAUUGUUUUUUUUAAACAUUGGCAGGAGCACUGCUUAUUCAUUUAAUAAGAGGAAUAAAAAUUUUAAGUGUAGCAUUACAUGGAUAUUACACGAAAACUAGUUACUCUCUUACACAUAACGUAACAAAGACUUUCUGAAAACAUUACGAAAUAAUAGGAUCUUCACGGAGGAGCGGUGUGCCACAUGCCAUUCUUCUAAGUAGAAUCUCAUUCUGAAUGAGAUGAACAAGUUGAUCAGCCCUCAGCGAUUAGUUGUCGAAAAUUCAUCGAUUCCUUUCUUUCCAAAUAUUCCAAGUGGUGUACAUUAUUACUGCUGCAACCGUCGAUGCUUUCUUUUUAGUGGCUUCAAAGUUAAGUCUCACCACUCCUGUAUGUCCCCAUCAUAAGGUGAAAUGAAGUCAGGAGGCCAUCCACCAGUUGGACACUAGAAACCAAAUUUGCUUGGCAUAAGAGCAGUGCAAGCAUAUGUGAGUUGCAGUUUCCAGCUCCUGAUCACAGAGGACACACGUUUCAGAACACGGCCAGCUUCUAGCUAGAAGAUUAUCAGCUGUCAGAAGUUUCGAUUGUACUAGAAGCCAAGCAAAGAAUUUCAACUUCCCUUCAGCAUAAGCUCGCCAAAUAUUAUUUCCCUGCACUGUUGUGACAGUGCCCUGCAGCUGAACCAAAUACGCCGAUUUUGCAGUGUAUUGACCUUCUGCGGUCCACCGCCACCGAAUUGAAUCUUCCUGGUCAGUAAGCGCAUUUUGCACCAAGUCCCACAAUACAACAAAUUCAGACAUUUCUUGAAGAGUGGUCAUGCGCCAAAGCCCUCUUGUCCAAUUGUGAUUAGGUAGCUCUUCUUGAACUGUUGUUUGCUUUCUCCAAGCUAACUUGUAAAGGUUGGGAGCAAAGUGCAUCGGAGCUUUUCCUGCCAGCCAGCUGCUUUGCCAAAAUUUAGCCUGUGAUCCAUUCCCAACAGUUACAACCGUGCUCACUCUAAACAAUUGCCUGUCUAUAUUGUCACAUGGAGUAGAGGUGCCAACCCAUGGCCUCUGAGGGUUGGUCCAUUCAAACCAUAACCACCUUAAUCUCAAACUUUGCUAAAUAGCUCAAGGUUUAAAAUUCCCAGACCACCUAAGUUUUUUUGUAACAAGACCUUCUUCAAGUGACCAAGCAAUGACCCCCAUUGACAUUUUCUGAUCCCCUCCAUAGAAAACUCCUGAUUUUGUCUAUCCUCUUGAUAGCCCAUUUUUUCAGCGAGAAAACCAUGAGGAACUAAAUGGGUAUAGCUGUGAGUACAGAUCUGACCAAGGUUGCCCUUCCAAUCCUCCUCCUAGUUCGCCUGCUGAGGGCCUCCAAUGAGUUGACCAACUUCUUGUCAAAGGACGUAGACAACAGACAUCAAAAUUCCAAAUCACUAAUAAGGCAAGUGUUCUGACACAAGUUAAAAAAAAUUUACUGAUGAACUACUGAUCAUGGGCGACAUUAAACUUGAAACAAAUUUAACUUGCACUACAAUGCAAUGUUCAUGGAACAGGACAUGUUAUAUAAGCAAACAUUAUUGUUUCAACCCAUCAGUACACAUCACUAGAAUAAAACAAAGUCAUGCCACAAUCACUCUACUUGUUCAACAUGUCCCAGUUGAAUUGUAUCCAAUUCAGUCGGCCCUCUUUCGUUUUCAUCUGCGUGAACGCCGUCCGAUAAUCCGGGUUCCUAGUACAUAAAUAAAGUGCCUGGCAGUAAAGCGGAGACCCCUCCUGUAGACCAUCUUCUUCCAUAAGCUGCAUUGCACGGACCAUUUCCUCACGGUCAACACGUUUCUGGCUUCUCGUUGCCACAGUUUCAGAAAGAUCUCUGACGUAGUCCUCCAAGCUGCCACUUUUCCUUUUCGAAGGACCGUCAACAGAGAUUUCCCAGGAUGACCUUUUGAACAAGUUAUGAGCACUACUAGCCUCAGUCCCCACGCUAGGUGUCACCUCACGAAUACCUCCUGCCGUCAGCAAGGUGCCCCUGUCUUGGGUGUCACGGCCAUACAACGUGUACAAUUCAUCGAGGAACGGGGUUGGCUUAACAGAACUCGGCUGGGCAGCACCAGUACUGGUUUCAUGCGAUGACGAACAGUACAUGUCAAUAACAAAAAUAUGUUGCUACAAAUAAGAUGAGGAAUAAGUUAUGGGACUGUCAAAGGACGUACCCCUUCAUCGUCAUCCCAAAAGCUGGAAUCAGCAGCAACGCCACCAGUUUGUUUGUCACAACCUAAACUAGAUUGGGAUUGCAAGUCCUUCCAGCUCUGGAAUGCUCUCCGCAGGGCGUUCAACUUGUUCUGCAGCUGCUUGCUGCCCAAAUUCAGACCAGUCUGUUGUUUGAAGCUGCGGUACACGUGCUGCCAUCCCAACUUAGUGAGGCACAUGUUGCUCCAAUUGAAUUGGUUCUUCUCAACAAUGCACAAAUCCAGCAAUAUUUUCGUCGUGGCCUCGUCCCAGUUGGCGCGGUUACAAGCCAUCUGAAUACAUAGCAGCUGCAAUUAUAUUGCACCGAAGUACGGAUAACCAGGAGGCAUACAAGUACACAAUUUCAGCAGUAAUGGAUAUGUUACUUGCCUUAGCAGAUGUCUUGGCACAUUUGUGGUGGAAAUUGUACGGACAGACCGGUGGGGGAGAGCACGACGAAGUGGAUGACAAUGCUAGUGUGGGCACCGUUGCUAGUUCGUAGCGGUUGGGCUGCUACUAGGCUUGUAGCAGAUGCCUGGAAAGGUGACAAACAAAAACAGGCACAUCACUUUAGUUGACUGUGUUGUAGAAAAGUUUGCACAUUUAAGCUGAAGAGCAUGCUGGAAGCACAAUGCACACAAGUGAUAACAUCAUGACCAUGGACAGAACCAGGUAAACAGAGAUUAGAUGCUCAUGGUUUGUAGUAUGAGCAAACAUGUCAUGUAUGUCUGUUUGUCAUGGUAACCCAGUUAUGAGGUCAUACAUGUAUGGCAAAUUUUUAGUAGUUCAACAUCACAGUACAAAAAUGGAGCAUGUGUAUCUAAGUAGCAACAGGAAGCUAAAAAUUUGCAAUGCUAAUGCAUAGAACACCCAAGCAUUACAACACAAUGUUCAUAAUCACAGGCAAUGCAGAAGUAAAGCAUGUUCAGGAAGCCACACAAGAGUAAGGGCUCUACAUUAAGGAAUGCAGGAGUUACCAGAAGUGAAUCUGUUGGCCCAACCAACUGAAUGUCAAGAAUUUGUUGGCCCAACCAACUGAAUGUCAAGCAUGAACAUGCAAAAACAGUGGACAAUGAACUGAGGUUCAGGAGAUGCAACCCUUUUGCUACCAACAAUUGCGAGGUUCAGUAGAUGCAACCCUUUCGCUACCAACAAUUGCGCUUGAUCAACAACGUGAGGCGGGUAAAUACUUUGCGGCUACAGGAGGCAUACCUGGGUGACCACCUGCACCUCUAGUUUGUACGGUGCCAAGGGGAGGGGGGCACGGUGAAGGACGCGGCGGCGGAGAGCCCGGAUCCCGACUGCCGUGCUAGCCGGCGACCUUGCUCCCUGGCGGCGGCGUUCAACCCCAGUGCGGCGUGUGGCGGAAGGCCAACUGCUAUCGACUGGAGCUUUCCGCUUCACUUCUGUACCCUCCGCCACCGCGCCACCGACGUCCUCCUCGCCUUCAUGGAAAUCCACCUCGAGCUCGAUGCCUCGAUUCCGAUGUCCCCGCGCUCGAUUCGACGUCCGCGGGCGAGCGCCACCACCUCAGCCCCGGUGCGGGAGUGCUCCGCCGCACGAGCGAGGCGCUCCGCUGGCCUAGCCCCGACGUGCACGAGCUUUGCCAGCCCAGAGGAGGGGAGAAGAGGAUGGCGGGGGAGUGGAGCAGAGGAUGGUGGGAGUAGAGAGGGUCGCGGGGUGAGUAGAGCAGAGGAGCUCACCAUCCAUCGCCACGGGAGAGGAGCUCAUGGGACCUGCGGAUUGUCGAUUCGCGUGGAGGAGAUGACGCUGGCAUUGAUUCGGGGCAAGGGCGGGACUGGAUGGGGGCGGGCGAGCUCCGCCGCACGAGCGAGGCUCCUCCAGCCCAGCCCCUGGGUGAGAGAUCGGCGGCAGGAGUGGAGGACACUAGAGCGGCGACGCAGGGAUGGGAGAAGAAGAGGGGAGGGAGGAGAGGGCGGCCAAGGGGGAAUGGAGCAGAGGGCGGGGGACCAGCGCGGAGCGGUGGCGCAGGGACGGGGAAGAAGAGGGGAAGGGGAGAGGAUGCGUUGAUUUGUAGUUUGGCCUAAAAAAGGAUUUUAUUCAUAAUUUAGUCCUUGAGUGAAAUAUAAGUUACCAGUUUUAGGUCUGCUGGAGAAGCGCGCAAUUUUUUUUUUACAAAACCUUCUCCCCCAAAUUUACCAAUUUUACUGAAGAUGCUCUAACUAGCCACAUAGCGAGCAAGUACUCACAACUCAGUAAAUCAACAAAUUCUCCCUGAAAUGGGUGGUUGCUCGGUUGGUAUGGUAGACACACCAUCAAGCAUAUCGGCUCGCCCAAGUGCAUGUUGUCAGACACGUACUCCUACUCCACUGCGUCGAGUGCACUAGGCGCCUCUUAUAAGGUUCAGCCAUGAGCCAUGACAGAACCAAGGCAGCUAGAAAAGAAGCCUGACGUUCUCUUGAGAGAGGUGGGAAACUUAGAAAAGAAGCGUGGAUGCCAUCCUUUCGUUCUCUUCUCAUCUGUUGGUGUUCGAGAUCGAUCAAUAUAACCCAAAGCCUGACGUCGCAUUCCUCUACCCACGCACCAAACCCCAUCUUGAACCAGUAACUUCAAGUCUGAGGAUGGUAGGCAUCAGGAGCGAACCUCCGGCCAUGAUUCCUGCCGCCUGUGUUGGUGGAAGCCACCCUGUUCGUCCUUUCCUCAGCAUUAGUCGAGAGAUGCCUUCGGAAUGCGGCGCGGCCGCAGGAUGCAUCCUCGGUCGAUGACUUUGGAACUCGCAUGAGUUCCUGGCGCGUCGCGAAGUCCCCAAACACAGCGAAUUCAGCAGGCAACGCAGUUUGGUCUUGUCACGGCCGUGUACUACGCCUGUUCCUUCUUCUUUUUUGAGCAUUUUGUGGUUACGGUACUUGAUUCUUUUUAGCCGGUUGUUGCAUGUUGCACAGCACAGGCUACCUUCAAGACUGCACGAUCAGCAAGUAAUAUGGAAUUGAGUUGUGUUCACUUCAUCCUUCAGAGCAAUGAUGAAAUGUGGACAACAGUUUCAAGAAAGCAGAGAGUUGCAGCGUUCUUUUCUUUACUACCCUGUAACGAUAUAUCGACACGAUAAGCUUUUAAGCGUUCCCAAAAAAACAAAACAAACAGAGCUAUGACUAAUGAAGAAACUGAACAAUGAUCGCGCCAUUUCGUUUUCAUCCACUCUGUUACACGCCAUCAGGGAAGAACGCUCCCCGCCUCAGCUUUGGACCUUUAUUUGGUACUUAGUGGCAGUGAUGAGGCCGUCUCUUUGGUUUGGUUGGCAAGCACCAAGCAGGCAAGGGUUAGCGCUUCACGAGAAACCAAUGCCGCCCUCAGCAGGUUCAGUACCUGCAAAAAAUCGAUUUUCACGUCAGUAAAUUUGUGUUGUACUAGUAAACAUGAAGUUCCAGAAAAUGUUACUCUGAUCACCUCCGGUUGCGUAAAGGUGAACUCUCUUGUCGCGAGCUCUGAUACAGAGUGGUCCUUCUUCUUCAGUUCGCUCAAGGCGUUGAUUAGCGAGAAUGGAGCUACGCCAAGUUCAUUAGUCACUAAGAACUUGCCUGGGUCCUUUGUAUAGCUAUCACCGGUCUCUGUCGUAAUGGUUGGCACCUUGGGGUUCACUGCAUGUAAUUUCGUACGGCCGUGGGAACAUUCCACUUCAGAAAUGCCGAAAGAACUGCAGUUCCUUAUGCAUGAAGAGCAGCAAGCGACAGCAUCUUGAAACCGCAGCAGCUCAUCAGUCAUGAGGAAGUGGUCGCUACAACUGAAGAAGGGGGGCAACUUAGGGGAAAGGACCAUGGCACGACAUUCAUCUGAUUUAAAGUAACCACUCAUGUUUUUCUCCAUGCUUUUGUGGAGAUUAUCAAUGCAUGAGAUUGACGAACUUCCUUAAUUCCCAAAUUAGCACACAAUGCGAACCAAAUUAGCAAAAAGAGUACAUUACCUCCUCCAAUCCAAGUUCUAAUGUCUUCUCUUCAAGCAAAGUUACAUCCUCAAUUCCCAUGUCACGUAAAAGGAACAGGAGAUUGCCCGUAUCAGCAGGCACGACUUGCAGAUUAUCUGCAGUUGCAUAGCUCAUCCCGCCUCUAACAAAAGCCCCAUCAUCUUUGGCUCCCCCGUCGCUCUUCGUCCACCGCAACAAAAGUAUACUGCCCACACGGCACAUCUGGAACUGAACUAUACUGAAACGUAUCGGCGAAGCACUCACGCUGUCUGCAGACCCAAACGUUCCUGUGGUUGGUGUCGUCAAUCCUGACAACAAGAUCCUUGUACAGAUUCCCGGCAGCGCUGAGGGGCCUAAGCAGCAUGUUUUUGCACGCCUUGGUUUGGAAGUGGCUCGCGUCAAGGCUCUCCACGCUCUUGUAUAACUCAUCGAAGCAGCCUAGGGAUGACUCCUUGCCGAGAAGCUGAACAAUGGUGCCCAGUGGUAGGGUGAGGAAGCUGAGGAGCACGUCCACGAACUCCUUGCCGGACUCUGCAAACACUACCUUUUUGUUCUUCCAGUCCACUACGAACUUUGACUCGUAUCUUUCCAUUUCCAGCAGACCCAGCUCCGGCCAUAGAUUUCUUCUGUGGGAGAAUGUUGAGAGAACCUGAAGCUUAUGGGAGGGUUGAGUGAGUUGCUAGAGGCGGAUUCAGAACCAGAGUUUGUAUUGUGGAAAUCAUGGUGCCUUCAGAAUGAUCUCUUCGGAUUCAGUGUUCCACUUUAAUUGUACUAUCUCAAAUGCAGCACCGGAGCCCCAAGGGUUGCCUAGAUGUAGGUGCUGUGACAUUUGGUCUUCUGAAUCCAAGCUGCAAUCGCAGUGCUAAUCUGAAAAGCCAAGCGAACUGUGCAUAUUCAUAUGGAAAUGCAGUUAUUACUACUAUAAUUAUGUUAUUGUCACUUACAUCUGCGAAAUAGACAAUUCUUUUGCUCGUGAACGGAAGUUCCAUCAUACUAAUCCAAACUAUAAUCAGUAUUAAACUUUUGAGGAUAAUAACAUUUAAUAAUUUAUAAAUAGAUUAAAUAUAUAUAAACAAACUUUAUACAUUAGUUUAGUAGGGGCCGCGCGAACGCGUACCCCCUCUACCACAAAUUAUGACGUCCACUCUCCUGCUUGAGGAGAUGGUAAGCCCGUGCUCCUCCCAAGUGCAAUGGAGGCCACUGACUUAGGCCAUAACCCUUCUUGAUCGGCCAUAGACCCCGUCCAGGUAAGUAUGUUUCUAAGCUGCCCCUCCCUCUUGUUUUAUGGCUCUCCCAAGUUCUUCCGCAGUUUGAUUAGACGAUGUGGUACUAUUGUAUUGUAGGAGUAUCUGCGGGUGGUUUGCUCUUGGCUAACUGCGGUCACAAUCAUAUUUGGACUCAGCACUAUCAUUGCAGACCGAACCCGGCCCACGCACGCCGAGCCAACGCGCGGCCCAUCCAAACUUUCCGACACGCGUUUUUCUGCUAGCGUUGCGACGACGGACUCGCGGUCGAAGCCCCGAGCUCCUCCUACCGGCGGCUGCCGAAUGCGCAAGGAUUGGGACACGGAGUUCUGCAGCCAGCGAGCCACUACGCCAACGCUGCAGCUACGGGGCGGGAUGCUGCACGCCCCGACAGGCCACAGCCCCCGGCUGGGGUGACGCGGGAGGCGAUCGGCGCGCACCGGACGUACACGCUGCGUGCACUUCGACUUCGCGACAGCUAACAGGACAGCAAAGACAAAACGAAGAACCGGGAGACAGUGUUACAGUGAACGGGCAAGAUUCAGAACAUGUUUCCGUGAAAUUUUCGAGAACAUGAAGUAUUUGAGUAUCACUUCUUACUUGCUUGUUAGAUUACACACCGGAUCAUGUUCACUCCCCUUUGAUGAAAAUCAUAAUCCUGUUAGAGGCAUAGAUGGGUGAUGCUUUUGGCUGUUACUGAUAGCGAGCAAGAACCAUGACUACACUGAGAAACAGGUCAGAGAUGGAUCCUACCCUAUCACAUGUACAUUAAUGACUCCCAAAAUGUAUAGAAAAGGAGGCACAUUCAACUGUUAACAAAAUGGUAUUUUGACUCCACGUAACUCUCAGCUUCCCAGAGGAAGGAUCCGAAAGCAACUGCCUCCAAGACGAGAUGAUUCAACUCUAUAAAUGUGAUUGUUAUCAUCUGACCAUCCCUUGCAUUAACAGAACCAUCGUCCAACACUUUGAUGUCCGGUCGUCCAAACAAAGACUGAGUUUGCUUCUCGAUCAGUGAGACAGCUUCCUUUGACCUGAUAGUUGCAUAUCUUUGCAAUGUAUCAGCGUCCAGUUGUGAAACAUAAGAUCUCAACUUGUUUGGAUUUGAUUCUUCAUCGUCCAAACUGAUCUCCUCCCCGUCAGGCGUAAUCUGUACUAAGGACUCCAUAUCCCAGAAUGGAUUUGGUUUCAAGUUUUCAAAUACUAUCUGCUGCUUGGGGUUUGGCGGGAGAGUCUUCAUAGUUUUCUCGAGCUGGAACCGCUCAUCCACCCUCUUAAGGAAGUAACCAUACAUGAUCGAUGCUGCAUAAAGCUUUCCAAGAUUCAAGUUGCUGAUUUCAACAACAGUGUCCAGUGGUGCUGCUAUCUUUUCUCCCAUGAUAAGGUUAAGAUGGUUUUGUAUCAUCUCAAAGGCAUCUGGGGAGUGUAUGCUUUGCAGUUUAUCCUCUUGGUUAGGCAGCGAAGAUAUGUCGCGCACAGGGCCACCACCUGGUGCUAAUGCAGGAGUCAUAGAUAUGUCAUUGUCCAUAAACUUGUAGAUAAUCCAGCAGUAGAUGAUCUCUUCUAAAGUGUUCUGCCUUUCCUUCUCUUUAACUUCUGCAAUUCUCCUGUAGUUCUUAUCAUCAGUUAGUGCAUUUUUUUAGUGUUGAUGGAUGGGAUUAUGACAAUAUUCAUUUUUACAUGCUUUUCUAUCUAUGCUAGCCACCUUUAUGUUCUAUUUUUCUUUUUUCAUUACAUAGCUAAAUUACAAUUUCUUGCAAUAAAUCAGAAAACAUUUUGUUUAAUGUUGUGAGAAUAAAAGUGUAUCAUGGGCCAUGGGGUUGCCUAAUUGAGUUUACAUCUUAGCAUAAAGUGUGAUGCACAAAACAGCAGAUGUGAUAAUUGAGUGCUUGACAGCUCAGACAAUUGCCUUAUCCAGUUUACAUCUUAGCAUAAAACGUGAUGCACAGAACAGCAGAUGUGAUAAUUGAGUGCUUGAAAGUUCAGAUAAAUUCAGGGGACGUACUUGUAGAGGAGGUCCUGAGGAACUUUUGAAGCUUCUUCCUUUUGGGCAUCUUUCUCUGAUUGCAAAUUUUCAAGUUGCUGAUCAACUGUUGCAGGCAGCAGGUGAGGGUGUGAUUGUAGUAUUUGGACCAGAAGUUGACCGCUUGGAGAUUCAAAUCUGAGUGGCGCAAGACGUGUGUAGCCAUCACCAGAUUCCGUUUUUGCUUUAAUCUUGAAGGUCCUUGUACGGUAACCAUUAAUCUGGAAUCCAGCUUUGGAACGCAUGCUACAAGGAAACCCCUGCAGAGCAACAAACCAUCAUCCACUUGACUCAGGAUAACUAAGCUUGGAACAUGAGGUGGGAUAAAUGUUGAUCCAAUGUUAUACAGCAUCAUGACAUAAACAGUGAAUUGGCACAGUAAAGCAGGACUUUAUGAACAUCCGGGUUGAGCAGAAUGAUCCAAGCAUAAGGAUAAAACGCAAUGGUCACCAUCAGAUGUCUAGGAAAAGCCUCACAUCACUUGUAGAAAAUCGACUACACAUUGGGCACAACGAAUUUCAGAAGCAAGGCAUCAGAAUUUAGUGCACAAGCAACGAAUUUUGACGAUGUAAGUACCUCUUUUUUUUUUUGGCAAUACGUUGUAAGUACCUGACAGAAACAGAAGCAUCUGCCAAUCUAUGAAAAAAGGGUUGGCAUGCUACGAGAAGCAUCAUGAACAGGUAAAAUCACAACACCAAUAUCAGCACAAAUAUGGCAGCCCAGGCCAUUUUACCAUGUUUAGACACUGUAGUGUAUAGCCCCAAGACUCGAAGAAAAGCAUGUUCGCAAAAUUGUUACAAGAGUCGAAGGCACACGAAACCUCAUGCAAUGCAACACGGGGCAGAUUGGCACUACAGUCUACACAGCAGCAGAGCAAAGAGCACCGGAUUUAAGUAAAAUCAACCAAGUUUCCACAAAUUAUGCUCCAAGACUUAUUUUGCAACCCGAUCUAGACAACAUCCAAUUCGAGCAACAACAAGCAGUUCCGACCAAAAUUUCAGUACAAACAGAAUAUGAUGUUGCAAGGAGGAAUCACACAUACAUGAACACAGCCGGUUGCUUGACUUCAGCUUGAUGCCAAUGCUACUCUAAGCGCAGCAACCAACAAGUCAGCAGCAGCACAUCUGCCGAGGAACGACACCAACACCAGCGCGAGCCAAACACGCUUGCAAUCGCUAGCACAAGCAUCAGUACGCCCGCCUCACCACCACCCGGCCCGACCCGCUACUAGCACCUCGUAUUCGUAUAUGGAGUAAGAAAUGGCCCGGAGCGCACGGGAGGUGAGGACGCACCUUGCAGAAGAGCCUGCCGGCCUCCACGGCGGCGGCGCGCGGCCUGAUGACGCCGCAUGACGAGGAGGACGAGGAGGCGGUGGCGGGGGACGGCGAGGCGAGGACGAGCGCCGCUUCGGCCCACGCCGGCAUCGCGUGGUGGGCGGGGGAGGGCAAGUGCUCAGGGGGGCUCGGGGCAGCGGAGGCCUUGGUGGGUUGGGGAGCAGCCGAGCAGGUGAGAUUCCGUCGGCUGUUUGGAUUCCUGAGAUUUUCUCCGCUGCGGACUACUGAACUGGCAACACCCUGCCUGAUCUUUUUUUUUUUAUCGGGAGCGCGUACUCCGCGGCCUCCGCCUCUGCUUGCGCCUAGCCGUCCAGGGGCGUCGGGCUUGCCUGCCGCUUGGUUCAAAUCCAAAUAUAUAUUAUCUAAUUUUAAUUUUUCUUAUUUUCAUGCAUAUUCAAUGGGUAAUUAAUUUUAUAAUAGAUAAUAUGGGUAUGUAAUGGAUAAAUUGUGACCUUUCCAUACACUACCCUUUCCAUUUCCAAUGAAUAUAUAUAUUUUUAAUCGUACCUUCCUAUUUUAGGUAGGUGUGGAUUUAGAUAUGAAUUAUUAAUACCUUAGCCACAGGACUAGUCGGGCUGCCACCUGCGACGCCGAUGCGCGACUCGUGAGCCAGCCAGCCGUUGUGCCGUGAGCGUGCGGAGCAGUGGCGCACUACAGGAAAGUUGCGACGAUGACACGUCACACGAGACAAGCUUGCGUGAUUGCGUCUUUCGGUUGGGCUGGCCUGCCGCAUGGCGCUCCGAGUGCAUCGUGUUCAUUCGGUUGGCCUGCUAUAGCAAUCUGCAGGUUUUUCGUGUUCAUGGGCGUCCAUUGCAAGUAGGAAAACACAACAGACAUUAAAACCACAGAAUUAGAAUAUGAUCAGUCGUGCCAGAGAAACGAAACUCAACAAGAAAUCAUGGUUUCUUUACGCAAACUAUGGCCAUGCUAUCAGAAAGUAGGCAUUUACAAAUAAAGAAAGAGAGGCAGCUUAUGCUCGAGGAUUCUGGGAUUCUCCUACUGAGUUCAGUUGAUUGUGUGGGUAUACAGCCACAAAACGCCGUGGCACUGACAACACUGCGAAAGCUACAGCACAAGACCUGAUUACAUCAUUUCCCCUUAGCUCAGGGAGGUCACAAACACCAAAACCGUCCAGUAAAAAGGUCACAAUAUAAUAACUGAAAGGGGCGGCGAAACAAAAUCCAUCCACACGUCCUGCAACAGCCAAGGGCAUCCCAAUUCUCAAAAGAUAGGAGUAAACUCCAUGGGGCCAUAAGCUUGUGUGGGUUCUGAACAUUAACACCGUGGCGCCCAGAUAUGUCCGGGCCUCAGUCAAAUGUUGGCGACAAGCACUCCUCCACCAUGUCCAGUAGGUUUGGGUUUUCCAAUGCAGCCGCGACACGUUCCUUAUCGUUCAGUUGCUUAUUCACUGCAACAAAGAACAGAUUUAUACACUGAGAUAUUGAGAUGGUAACACAGAAGCUUAUUCACUGCGACACAUUCUUUGUCAUUCAGUUGCUUAUUCUCAAAAUACUGUAAUGCAGAAGCUGAAGAACAUAUACCAGCAGCUUCAGUUGAAUGUGAUCCAGGGGCUACCCUUAUGUCCACCUACAAAAAUUAGAUUAAAAAACAUCUAAAUCAUCUCAUCAAAUUACAAAUUAUAGAUAGCAAACAGCAAUAUGCACCAAAAAAGGAGCAAUUUCCCUACUAUGUUGACUAGGAAAAAAACUAAGUUUCCUCAUCCGUACAUCAGAUAUGUACAUGAGCUGGUAAAUAGUCUACUUGACUACAGAGUGUACAACAGGCAUGUACAUGAGCUAUACAAAUUAUAUAACAAUUUUAUCAGUGACCAAAUUUUAUGUCCAACAAAGUUAUAAGGGCAUGCAGAAUGGUGGACAUUUCAGGAACAUGUGCCACAUCUGAAAACGCACCAAGCAACAGUACUAAUCCUUUCUGACAAAAUACUACAUUUAUUCACACAUUACUAGGAGGAUCAAUGGGAUGACUGGUGUCUCCUGAUGGUGGGCGUGAAGAUAUGAUGGUCAACAAGAUGUGCUAAUAGUAGCUCCCAGCUGCUGCCAGGGCACCAAGGGCAAGAGGAAAGUGAGCUGCACUGGCAGAAGGGUUUUGAGUAGGGUGAGGUAGUGGAUAAUCUGAUAGGAAUUGACUGGUUUGGAGGUAACCAAAUCUGGUAGUGAACACGGAGGGGAGCUCCUCAGGUUGGUGUUUAGCUACUUUUUUAAUGAAGUUAAGUCAUGUAACGAUGAAAAGAGUAUGGUAGUGUGAGCCCCAGCUUGGACCAAAUCUGCUGUAAAACAGAAUUGAAGCAUGAUGAUCCCUGUCGCAGUGCAUAAAGGCUGGGGAAUCUUUUCCCUGGAACUCGAAAAAACUCACAGAUUACUAGAACUUGAUAAACAGGAGUACAGGACAUAAUGUCAGCAUAUCAAAACCUGAUUGCUCUCGCAAAUAAUCGUAACAUUAAUUCUUUGCCACAAUCCCUACACUGAUAUCAUACCUUGUAACGAGGAGGGAGACUCCGUAUGAGUUUUACGCGGAUGCAAAGGCCUAUAACAGUUGCCAUGCUGCAGUGCUCCACUGUUGGGGUGAAAGUAACCCUGAUGCAAAGCAUAUACAAGUCCUCAAGAGUGAGUUUCAUUAGCAAUCCUGAAUUGUAACAUCCAAAUCAACAAACCUUAUGAGAACCUACCUGACAUGAUUACUUUCAUCAUUGAGUUCAAUUGAGUCUUCAGUUACCACAUUAAGCUGUUCCAAUGAGUAUGGGUGCUCUGGAUCCUUUAUAUCUCUAAUGUGAUGUAAGAAUGUUAAGGACCACAACAAAACGUCUAGAAUAUAAAACUUCAGAUACAUGGUAUAAAAGAAAAAUAAGGUUCACUACAUUCAUAUUAGGGAAAUCAUAAAGAAGGAUAUCAAAUAUUUCCAGCUGGUCUAUAGGCUCUACUGCAUUUUCAUCUGUGGUCUCCGGUGCUUGUCGUACACGCCUCUCUUUCUUCUCAUGAAUUACAGGGUUAGCAUUUAUCAACCCCAUAACCAUUUCCACGAAGCACAAUGCACUAACUUUAGAUAAGACAAAUCCUGCAAAGUCAAAAGGUAUGAAAAUGUUUUACGAACAUUAUAUGUUAUUUAAAUUGCACAGACUAGUUAAAUCUCACAAAACUGCCCAUUGAUAACUCAGUUUUCGAAAUAGGAAACAACAGCCUAGUUGUACUUAGAUACUUGCAGAAAAUGUUUAUUUCGCAGACUGCACUUUGAAUUUUGAACUCAUCCAUUUGUAGUAGCCAUGCAAAAUAAUGGUUUGUUUUCUGAUUGCUAAUGCAAACUAGCCCCUUGGAAGAUAUAGUUACAAACUUACAAUCAAAUAUCCCCCCCUUGCUGAACACUAGGAAUUCAUUUAGUUCAUGAAACUUAAACAAAACAAAGCCUAGCAAAUUUGAUCUAGAAAUCACCCUAGCCAGUCUAGUUGAAUCCCAACAGUGGUACCUCUAAACACCAGCCGCCCAGGUCAAUCCUAUACAGCUAAUAACCAGCCAAACGCCACCCAACAAAGUACCACAGGGUGACAGGGAACAGGGGGCUUGAACCCAGCCACCAAAUUCCACCCUUGCUUGGCCCCCUCUGCGAGGAAAUCUCUGAUUAUCUUCCUUCAAAAACCCAACCAAUCACAAUUCCCCAACAACAGUAUCCUAAUCGGUGUCACCCAACGAAAAUGCAUAGAUAACAGAGCAACCAAACGACUUGCCCAAACAGGGGAAGCCGCCGCGAAAGGGGGUCACGACAGGGAUAGAAGCUCACCAGCAGAUGGCGGCGGCGGCGGCCGGAGAAGGCGGUGCGCUUGGCGUGGUUCGGUCGCCGGUUUGGUCUCCUUUGCGGCUCAGCUCGCGUCGGGGAAGACAACUGGGUGUUUUGUGUUGGACGCGUUUCAUUCCAACUUUGCUUCCGCUUAUGUGGACCUUCAUGGGCCGUUUGGGCCGCCUCGCCAGAUAGACCAAGAUGGAUGGAGUCCGGUGAGGUGAGCAGAUCGAUCGAUCGUUCUUCCAGUUCAGUGCUCGUCUUCUUGGCCGGGAAGAAAGAAAGAGGGAAGUGGAGGGGUGUGGGAUUGGCUGGCGAUGGCGGCGGCGCUGGAGUUCCUGGAGGCGCAGGGCGCUACGCGGCCGGAGCUCGCGGAGUGGUACGCAGCGCUCGCCGACCUGUACCAACGGAAGCUGUGGCACCAGCUCACCCUCAAGCUCGACCAGUUCCUCGGCCUCGCCGUCGUCCAGGUCCGUCACUUGAUUGAUUCCGCCGAUGACGAUCUCUCGUUUUGUUGCCCUCAUGGUUGUUACGCGGCGUGAGGUUUGAUCUGAUUAGGGUUAAAUGAGGCGUCCUUUUUGGGUAAUUAACUUUUAAUUUUAGUAUGAUGCUGGGCGCUGGCUGCAGCUCGUGCAGUAGAAUUGUUAUGAUCUCGCAUGGGUGAGAUGAGUUCAUCCCCCUUGGCGUUGUGGAAUUGUUGAAAGAGCAACUAUUUGCAGAACUAUCUAGUUUAUAUUGGUGUACUCCUAGUUUGGUGCCGAAAUGUGUCUUUUGUUGUUUUUAUAGUUCACUGCAUGUAAAAUUGCUAUGAUUGUUUAUUACAGCUACUUCAUCUCGCAGGUAUAAACAGGCAUAGUUGUGCUGGGAUACAUCUUGAUCUCUUUCAGUUUAAUAAAUCAUAUAAGCACUCUAAAUGUAGAUACUGUUGUUUGUGCUCAAAAUUUUGGUUGCUAACUCUAGUAAUCGAUCGCAACUCUGACCCUUUUGUGUUUGUUUUGUAAACUAGCUUGCUCGUGUUGGUAGAACAUUGUAGUUCAUUGGGUUGAAUUGUUAAUACAUACUAUGCAAUAUGGAAUAGGAAUAAGUCCAUAUUUGUAGCCUGAUUAAUCAAGGGUUUACUAAUGUGCAGUUUUUUACUCCAAAACACCUGCAUAUUUGGUUUAGUAUUUAACCAUUGUCACUUAACACAUUGCAUCAUGGCUACUAUAUCUAUGCUCUGAAAUCACACAGUACUCUUAUUGCAUGUAAAUUCAUUCUGAUUCCCAAAUACUUCCAAACCUUUUUCAUCAACAGUCUGGUUGCCCUUGUACUAUGUAUAUGCUCUUUGUCCUUACCACUGUUCUGAUUACCCUUACGUUUUCUUCCUUUCCAUUCAGGCGGGAGAUGCCCUGAUUCAGCUGUAUAAUCAUUUCAUCUCAGAUUUUGAGACCAAGAUCAAUCUUCUGAAAUUUGCUCACUUCACAGUGGUAGUUUCACGCCAGUAUCUGGACAAAGAUGCUGGUAUAAACUAUCUUGAAGGUGCAAUUUCAAAGCUGCAUGAUACCCGGGAAGCACGGGUUGAAGAGCCCAUUCUGUAUGUGAAGAUGCAGAUUGCAACGUUUCUUCUUGAGAAGGGGAAUCAAAAGGGGUGUAAGAAACUGCUAGAAGAGGGUAAAACAACUUUGGAUAGCAUGGUUGAUGUUGAUCCUUCGGUACAUGGUACCUAUUACUGGGUGUCUUCUCAGUAUCACAAGGCCCAUCAAGAUUACUGUGAAUUCUACAAGAGCGCUCUUCUUUAUCUUGCAUAUACAACAGUGGAGUCACUUUCAGAACCAUUCAAACAGGUGCCUGCUUAUAUUUUGAUACCACAAGAUUGGGUUUAUUUUUACAGUUUCUGAUUUGCUUUCUGUGAGUUUCAGAACCUGGCAUUCGACCUCUCACUUGCUGCUUUACUGGGUGAAAACAUUUACAACUUCGGGGAGCUGCUUGCCCAUCCAAUCGUAAGUACAAAUUUUGCACCUGAUUGUUCUCCCUAUUUUCUUUAGCAUACACUACUAUACAGGUUUUAAAUAGCAUUGUCUAGGAAUUAUAAUGCUUUUGUCUAUACAUAAAAGGAGAUUGUAGAUUGCCAAUGGUAUAAUCAAAUGCGCAAUGGGUUUUCUUAUAUAUGGAGGGAUGAAUCAUUGGCUUCACUUAACAGGAAAACACAGCCUGAUAAAUGAACUUUGCUGUAUUCAUAAAGCAAACUCAUUACCAUAUACUUAGCAGCUUGCAUAAUUUAAUUUCUCCUCCCUACACUGCAAAGCUAAACUGGUGUCAUAAAUUCUGGUGUCGCUUUGCUGAGUUUGUCAAUUAAUUUUUGACAUCAUGUAGAUCCAUAGCCUUUUGGGGACUCAGGCUGAGUGGAUUUUUCAUAUGCUGCAAGCAUUCAACUCUGGUAAUAUAGCACUGUAUCAAGAACUCUGCAAAACUCACAAUGGUGCUUUGAGCGCACAGCCUGCAUUGGUACAAAAUGAGAGGAAACUUCUUGAAAAGAUCAACAUACUUUGCUUGAUGGAAAUCAUUUUCAGGUAUUUCUCGUGGGGAGAAAUGAUUGAUGUCUGGCAUCUGGUGCAUCAUGAGCUAAGCUUUGUCACUAACAGCUUCAUGUAUCUGCAGUCGAUCAUCUGAAAACCGCACGAUCCCAUUGAGCGAUAUAGCAGAACGGACCAGGCUCUCGGUUGAAGAUGUGGAGUAUCUACUGAUGAAGAGCCUCUCUGUAAGUCCUGCCCUUCAGAAACCACCAUUGGUCGUAGUCUUAUGACAUUGUUGUUUUCUUCAGGCUCGUCUUAUAGAAGGCAUAAUUGAUCAAGUUGAUGGAACCGUCCAUGUUUCAUGGGUUCAACCGAGGGUCUUGGGCAUAGACCAAGUGAACUCCCUGCGUGACCGUUUGGAUACCUGGGUUGGGAAGGUGCAUACGACCUUGCUUUCGGUUGAAGCCGAGACGCCAGACUUGCUAUCUUCGUGAUGUUCCUCCCGCUCGAAGGAUUGCUGUGGCAUUUCCUGAUGUGAAGACCUUAUCUGUUCUUGGAUUGCAGUUUCUUCAGUGACGAUUGUUGUAACCUUGCUGCUUCAAGCAGCUAAGUAGUAGAGAUUCUUGUGCAACUGUUGUUUCGCAGAAUGCUUUGUCUGAUUCUCAGCCCGAGGUUGCAUCGUAGAUGGCAGGGUCUAUUUUACUCGUCGAAAAAUUAUUAUCUCCCGCUUCUUGCCACCUCCGUCCACUGUUGCUAUUGGAGCAGCAUAGAUGAUAGACCCUUCUUGCAACCUUGAUACCGAAAUAAGUAGAUAACUCAGCUGCCAAAGGCUAAUCCCAGUGGGAGUUUCAUAGAGGUUUCAUGCACAUUAAAUACGGUGACACAUCAGCAUAUACGAUGACAUGGUAUGGUAGUUAUAAAGUGAGAGAUGGAAGGAGUUUCAUCAGGAUGAAACUGUGUAUACACUGUUUCCAAGACUAUGAAACCUAUUGAAACUUGCAUUGGAGGCUAUAGAGUUUCAUUUCAUCUAACCAUAUCCAAUUACAUAUCUCACAAUUAAAUGUCAUGGGCAUCCUAUGAAAUCGUGAAAUGAAAUUGUGCACUGAGACUCCCUGUUUCAUUCAUGAGAAUACACCUCAUGGGAUGAUGUGGCAUCCUUGGAAACAGUGCAAUGAAACCUUGCACUGUGACUCUCUCAGUAGUCUAGCGAAAACACUUCAUGCUCGGCGAAAACACUGUCGCGCCGAACCUCAUCUCUGCCUCGCUUGACUCUACCACCUGGCGAGACCGUUGAAUCCCUCGCCCCUCGACAUUGUCCUACCGCGCACGGCCGCUGCGCUGCCGGAGCAGCUUGCCGCUGCCCGCCGCCGCCUAACAGUCCACGAACCCGGCAGGCACGACGAACGAGAAAAUGAACAGACCCAGGAGCGCUGCAGUUCAAGCCUUCAAGCUUCGACCAUGGUUGAGGAACAGAGGAAGAGAAGGGUAAACAAGGAGGCUUGCAGAGUUGAAUGCUUGCAGCAUAUGAAAAAUCCAACCGUUGGAUCAAGUUGUGAGUCAAAACGGUUUGGCCCGCCGGACUAUAUGGGCCAACUUGUUUGCGGUGCGGAUAUUGGUAUGGGCCGGUGCAACCGUUUUCUCUUGUCGCCUUUUUUUAUUAUUUUUGCUUGUGUUCUCUUAUGAUGACAUGAUUCUCAGGCCAUCUCGAACUAGAAUCGAGAAUUCAAUUCUCAAACUUGUGCCAUAUACGUAUCAGUAUUGUGUAUUAUUAAAAAAACAUACUAUCAAUGCGGUGAAAAAAUAUGGUACAGUGAGUUUGUCGAUAAUAAAAAAGAAAGUAUAUGAAAUCACUACAAUUUUUUUUUAAAAAAAACAAAAGAACAGUACAAUUAAAUCUUUUUAAAUAAUUCAUAAAAUGUGAGCACUCAUAUAGAGUUGAGAACUCAAACCUUGUUGACAAGUUUGAUCGCAAGAAAUCUAACCAACUGAACUACAUGCAAUUUGUAAAAUCAGUAUAUUUAUUUCUCCGGGAGAACUCCAAGCGUGCAUUCGGUCAUUUAUCUACAUAAAACACAAGAUUAUACUUUGAGGGCUAUAAAUAAAAAAUUAACGCAUAUCAGGAGUGAGAGCUCUUCUAUGAGCUCUCAAUAUUCAAGAGAAACAAGGAGAAGAAUUUCAACUAAUUAUUUGAUAGUCACAGUAUAAUAUAUACACUAAUCAGAUUUGGCGCUGCGGCAGCUGUGGGAGGAGGGGCUUUCCAGGCGAAAGUCUUGCUCGGCCUCGUGCCGUGCCGGCAACAACGACAUUCAACGAAUGUCGUGUUCCUCCUUAGGGGUGUUGUUGGGGUGCCCUUCUCUCCUUGACGGGAUUCUUUGGGUGAAAACCAUACAUGAGUUCUCAGGCGGGCGAUGGCGGCGCCUUCGACGUCGUUUUUUUUCUUGAAAGCGUUGUCUUUGGAGAUCCUGUUCCAGCCUUCUUCUCGGUGGUUCACCAUCGGCUUUGUGGUGCUCUUAGCUGUCAAGAUGGUGGGGUUCUGCGUGGGGACGAGUGGAUCUCUCUUCUCUCUCGCCCUCACCCCCGCAACCUUUGCCUGUGCUGACGUCCGAGGGUCUGCACGUUUCGAUGGACUGCUACCUGGUUGGCCUAGCGUUUGCAACUCCACGUUCGCCUAGCGGCGACCAGCCAUGCAUUGCGGUGGACGGCUCGGUGCUAGGUUCUUUCUCUUGGUGGAUCGUCUGUUGUCAUCGGCGCAUGGUGUUCCCAUCCUUCCGGUCGAGUUCUUCAUCCAAUCAGGCCGCUGCGAGUUGAGUGGGACAAUACUUUGUGUAGUGUGUGUUGAUAUCCCAAUCCAACCAGUCAGGUAUUGCUGUUGAGUGGUGCGUCGUGUUGAUGUCCCAAUCCAACCGGCUGAGAUUGUUGCCUGAGUAGAGUGGUGUGGUCAUGUUGACUAUAGUUGUCCAUUCGGACCGCCCGGCCCGGUCCGGCACAGGCCUAGCAAGGCCCAUUAUUUUUCAUGUCGGGCCUGGCCCGACGGGCCAUGUCGUGCUGUGUUGUGUCGGCCCACAGGCCGCAUCGGCGGCCUAAGCAUGGGUCCGCAAGGCCUUUUUCGUGCCAGGCCGGCCCGUAAAGCAUGGCUAGCUUCGGGCCACCACGAGGCAAGGCGGGCCCUCACGACCUGUUUCUUGUGAUGUGCGCCACUGCAGGCUGCAGCUGAGUUGUUGUCUCCUCCUGCGCGCCGCCACCGUCGCCCCCCUCGCUGCCACUGCUGCCGGGCCCCUCGCGUCGCCGGCCUCUCGCGCCGCUACUGCCGCUUCCCGCAGCCAGUCCCCAGCCUCCCGCACCGCCGCUGUCGACGCCGCUCCCCGCGGCAAGCCCCGUGCCGUCGCGGAGAAGGGCACAGCGACAAGCGGUGGGGGUAGGGGGCGACAUGGUCGGGGAGGCAGCCGCCGGAGGCCAGAAGGGAGGCGGAGGUUGGAGAGGAAGAGGAGUGGACGGGGUGUUUGAGCGGAAGGGGAGGAUGGCAGGGAGCUUGGCAGGGAGUGGACCGUGGGUGAGAUGGUGUAUUGGUGUGGAUAAGGUUGAAUGGUUAACGGGCCAUUUCGGGCUGCCACCCUAAAAUUGUGCUGGGUUGGGCCGCCCAUCGUGCCGGGGUGGCGCCUCACGCCCGGCAUGAGCUACCAGGCCAGGCUAGCACGGGCCCAAAGAACUUCGUGCCGGGCUGGGCUAGGUUCGAGCAAAAAAGGCUCCGUGCUGGGCUAACGGGCCGCGGGCUGCAUGAACAUCUAUAGUAUUGACGUUGUAAUCCAACCGAUCGAGUUUAAUUGUUUUUUCUUAGCCUUUCUUUUAUUUUCCUAUUUUCCUGACUAUGAUCUUUCAAGGUUGUAGUCUUAUAUUUUUUCUGCUAUAUCAAUAGAAACUCGCACUAAAAAAAUAAUCAGAUUCGGAAUUCUUUAUGCAAUGACGUGCAGCUGCUGAGCAGCAUCUCGUGUUCAUGCAACUGCUUCCUCGUGCAACAUCUCCUAUACAAACACACUAUAAAAGCAACAUAAUAAUCCAACACUAGGGUUACAAGAUAAAGCAACCGGGAUGUGUGCUCGGUGCUUGCUCUCCUCCGAUCAACAUCGGCUCCAUCAGACGUCAGACCCUGAGGGGAUCGGUCGUGACGUCGGCCCUCUCGGCGGCGAUCUGCUCGUAGAGGUCCCUGACCUUGAGCCCAACGAUGGUCUGGAAGAGCCCCGUUCCGUUGCUGCUGCCCGGGAGGUCGGCGUGCUUGAGCAUCUGCUGCGCCACCUCCCCGUAGAACUUGGUGGACAGGUUGCUCAGGUGGGUCUCCACGUAGAUGAGCUCGUCCAGCUUGUCGAACUGCCCGUCCAUCUCCAGCACGGACACCUCGUGUCCGAAGUAGGUGCCGAAGCCGUAGGCGAACUUGAUGCCGGGGUACGAGCAGGAGAGCUUCCGGCCGCAGGGGAUCCAGGUUACGACGGACCCUUCGUCGAAGAGGUACACCGGGGCGAAGUGCCUCACGCCUUCCUUCAUGAUCAGCCUCACGCGCAGCACCUUGCCCUCCUCGUCGUUCGGGAUCAGCUGCGUCGGCAGGACCUCGAUCACGGCGUCCGCGUACUGCUUCUGCGGGUCUGCACCAGGGAAUGAAGAGACAAGUAUAGAUUGCUCAGCUCUGCAGGGUGGUCUGUGAUUUUUUAUAUAAGGGGUGAUCUGUGAUUGGUAAUGGAAUUCAGCAUCAUGCAAGGAGGCUGGCUUUACCAAUGUAGGCGUCAAAGUCCGGCUUCCUGGCAUCGAUGCUCGCCUUGAUGCUCUCUAGGCUGUGCCCGCGCUCUGCCAUGUCCCUCUGCAGAAAGGAAGCUUAAAAUGUUAGUGAGAUCAAGGCAGAAGAACUACGAGUCAGCAAUCUUGUUACACAGCUGACCUGGAUUUUCCAUGCAAACUUGACCUCUUCGCUGAUGUCCAGGUAGAUGCUGAAGUCUAGCAGGUCCCUCACGCGCUCAUCGUACCUGAAGUAAGCAGCAACAGAUCGAUCAUUAUUGAGCUUGAGCAACGAAUUGUAUUGCAGUCAAAACUCAAAUUCGACGAAACAAAACGAAGCAAGAGGAGCAGUCACAUUGGGUGCAGGCCCUCGAUGACGAGGAUCUUGGGCGGCGCGAUGCGCUCGGGCGGGUCGAGGAGGCCGGUGACGUGGUUGUAGACGGGCUUGUCGACGGCGCGGCCCUCCUUGAUGGCCCUCACCUGCUCGUACAUGAGGUCGAAGUCGUUGGCUCUCGGGUCCAGCGCCGUCAGGCCCCGCGCCUUCCGCUCAGCGCGGUCCAGCGAGUGGUAGUCGUCCAGGCAGAUCACCGUGGCGGUGCCGCCGACGAGCGUGUUGGAGUCCGGGUUCCCGCCGCUCGGCGGCUCCGCGCCGCCGCCGAGCACGCUCGUCAGCCGCCGCACGAACGUGCUCUUCCCGCACCCGGAGUCGGCCGCCAGCCCGAUCACCACCGUCUUGCCCGCCGCCGCCGCGGCCGAGCACGACACGCGGGAGGGGAAGUGGCCCCGCCUCCUGCUUCGGAGAAGGAUGGACGUGCCCGCCGGCGAGUAUCGCGUGGUGGCGGCGCCGCUCGUGUGCGCCAUGAAGGCGUCCAUGGAUCAGCCGACGACGCCAAGAGACACACCAAUGACCUUCGGUUGCCACUAGGACGACCAGCAGCACGAUGAAAGCUGCGAGGAGAACUAGCUUUCGGAGGUGGUGACUGCGUGGUGACACGGUGACAGAUGAAAGGCGAGGUAAGCUUGUAGCGAGCUCAGCUCCGAUCAGCAACGAGAUCUCGGCUCCAGUUUGAAUCAGCUUGUGGCUGUGUGAUUUGUCUCUGCUGUCUUCACCAGGACAGUGAAAAUCCUUCCUCUGCUGCUCUGUGUGUUGUCCAUGGUGGUGCUGUUGCGGCUUGCGAGUUGCGACGGCCAUGAAAAAGCGUGGUGGUGGUUUUGUAGAAGAAGAUAUGGUGGGCCCCGCGUGGUUUACGUGGUGCCAGGAGGCACGCCUGUUGCGGAUGAGAACCAGUGACCGGAAACGGAAGGGCCGGAGGCCGGACACAUGGUGCUUCGAUGCUGACAUGGUAACACAUUCAACACAGGACACAAGUUUUAACAUUUGCUUCAAGUACAUGCUACUUUUUCCCUGAUGUCAUGAUAUGAAAGGUGCUUAGUUAAAAGAAAAGGUAAAGUGCUUAUAGUUACCCCCACACAGCCACAGCCCACAGCAUGACAAAAAAAUGUCACUGCCUGUGGGUAAUCAAUUCUUGGGAUCGCAGGCUAUGAAUAUACUGUAGUCAAAGAUGGCCAAGAUAAAUACUCGAGUCGACAAAUUUGAUUUUCAACAAUAGCUGUUUGGAAUGGACUACAGAAAUUCGUACGUCUUGCACCAGCAGGACAACUGCUUGCGCAACAAGAGGAAGCCCAAGGUAUCCGACCGGCAAAACCGAACCACAGGGUCACAAUCGCUUGCCCUGCGAGGCGAGAAGUAUUGACGAUGUUUUCUUCCGCUGAACACAUGCACAAGUCAACGAAGAACCAUGAAGCCUCGGAGUACAUGGGAAAUGGUGAGACAGACAAGCGGUUUUCGCGGGCCGACAACCAUGGUAACAACAUUAAACAAACCAUGUUAACACAUUCAACAAACCAUGGUAACAACAUUAAACAAACCAUGUUAACACAUUCAACAAACCAUGGUAACAACAUUCAACAAACCAUGGUAACAACAUUCAACAAGGGAAAACUGUUGCUGUUCGGGCAGAAAACUUUGCUAUACCGUACAUACAAGAGAAAUUUGCUCCGACUAGGAAAAAAUCAAUAUAAAGCGGCAAGCACAGUAGCAUAUAAGAAUUCAGUUCAGACACCAUAUGGCGGUUGCUCUUCUGCAUUUCAAGAAUAAUAUAAUACUGCGUGCCAUAACGGUCGCCGACAUGCCAAACUUAAGACUAAACUAACCAGAUAAAACAUGGGCAUAGCUAAUGAAGAAAUAAAACACCCCGUUCCGCAAGCAAACCUAUAAUGACAGUGCUACCAUCCUAAACCAUACCAGCUUAAAAAAGCACCACCACUGACAUAUGAAACGAUAGACUCAAGGUGUGCUGACAGGUAUGCACAAAACCACACGAAAAGGUGCUGCUAGCAUUCAUAAGUAAUUCUCCAUCACAUUUUCCCACAAAUGUAGUUUUCCACUAUGGCUGGCCUCACUUGUUCCCUCUGAAGUACAUGUACACUCUCUGCAUAACACAAACAAUAGAAUAUUUAGCAUUAGCAUUGUGUAUAACAUGUAGUAAUGAAAACAAAAGGCAAUUAAACAUCUUGCCAUUCACAAUUUAGCUUCCGAUGCAAAAAAACUCUUAGGUUAAUUUAUAUAGCUUCUAUGCAGUGGAGGGGGGCAACAAAGAAUGGAGGGUGAAUAACACCAGGGAGAGGAUGCCAAUUUUAGGCUUAGCUAGCAAUUAUACCUAAUAUCUACUAACUUCAUCAAGAGAUUGCAAAAUUUCAGAGAGAGGGGGGGGGGGGGUGCGCAUGACCCCUGCUGGCCAUCACUAAGCUCCGCCAGUGCUUCUAUGCUAAGCACCUAUAGCUCAAAAAUAGGUAAUUGCUCAUCCAUGACAUUAACUACCAAAACAAGAAUAGCACGGCACAUCAGAAGAAACUGUUUACCAUUCAGAUAUUAACAACUCCGUAACAACAGCAUGUGUUUCUCGAUUAAGUGCUAUUGUGAAACUAUAAGGGGUAAAUAAAAUAUCCUUUCCUAAUUUAUAACAAAAUUACUCUACUCAACUGUGCAGAUACAGAUAUAUAACAUAAUUCAUUAAGACUUGUUACAAUAUUCAUUAAGUUAUUGUGUGAAAUAAAAGCUUGAACGGUUUAACAUGCUGUGAACAAUGGACUGACUAGUAUGCACGCAUCAAGGGGAAACACAGGAAUGUACGAGAAUGUUGGUUGCUGAGAAUAGGGUUUUAUUUUAGACCUGAAGAACUGCAAUGCUCAGCAGUGUCUCCAAACAGAACAGCCCAAACCCCACAAAGUAGAAGAUCUGCAAGAGCAAAACAUUCAUUCUUAAUGCCCCGUAGCAUCUGGAAGUUCCCUUCAGAAAACCGGACACGUUCAUAAAAUAAUGCCCAGCAUUCACAGGCUGGAGCUGUAAACAGAAGUUCAGCUUACCCCAAUUACGAUAUGCUCAGAGAAGGUGUCGAUCGCAGCCAGUAUACCACUGAAAAGAAACAGAAAAGGUUUUGCAUUGGAUGAAGCAGAACAUUUCCAAAAGCAGGGAGAAGAAAAAAAAUUCAAACCAUGGAGGAGCUCAGCUUAACAUUUUCAAAAGAUAUCCACUAUAUAGUAAAUUAAGAGUAGAUUUGCUGGUCCAAUAAAACGGAAAAUGAUAGAUAGGUUCACCAGGAUACUAACAUUCAACUGGUACAUUGUCAAACAUUUCUUUUCAAAGAGAAUGAAUGAAGUCAGCCUAUUUCAUAUCUUUCAGAUGAAGAUGGAGACAUCCAAUUUAAAAAUUUUAGGGUUGUAUAUUUUACACGGGAAAUUCCAAGAUUAUGGAGCCGCCAACAAGAAUACCACUGUAGACUGAUGCGGCGGAAAUUAACUAUAACAAUGACUGGUAACUGUAGAUACAGCAGAGGGAACUUACGUUAAUGAUUUCCCAUGGAAUACAAUGGGUGGAGCAAUGGCAGCAAUUAUGCAGAAACCAAUGUGUAUCUGCACCAAGUAUCAUCGAAAAAACGAUGAUAUGACAUGUGUGACAAGUGAUAACUCUUGCAGCAGUUCAAUUGAAAUGUCAAUGAUGCAAAAAAAAAAGUAUCCAGCUAGAUCUUACCAGAUAACAGAGGAAAAACCAUCCGAAACUGAAAGCACUGUUAGUCCUGUUUAAUAAGAAUUUAAAAAGACAACGUGUCAAACACACAAGGGCCAUAGUUCCAGAAAUAUAUAUCAUAUCUGCAUCCAAGUGCUGUUUUAAGCACCUAGGGAAUUUGCAGCCAUAUCUACAAGCAGUGUCUUAAGUAUAAUUGGGAUAAAUAUACGCAUUCCUCAGCCUCACUCAUGGAUAUACCUAAAAUGAAAACAGUGACUAUUGUAUGGGGGUGUGCAUAGACUAUUCAUGCAAAGUAGUUGCUUUGAAAAAUGCAGGUGGAAAGCACUAAAACGGAUGUAAAUGCAUGUGUAAAAAUGCAUUGCUUUGUAAAAUCCAUCCAUAGUGAUGAGUGGUGAGAAUGGUAGUACCAUACCUCAUUGCACGAUAGAGGGGCCUAUACCAUAUCAAAUAUGACAGGGGAAUUCCAAGCAAAGCAUAGAUAGUUGCAAGGAAAAACAGCUUUGAAUCUGCAAGGACAGUAGGUACCAGCUAUUAAGUGCAGCCAUGAAGGGCCAGUAUAAAGUGAACACAAGCAAUAAAAGAGAACCAUGAUACGUACCUCCCUCCUUGAUCCAGCAGACUAUGACAGCAAUGAAAUUCCAAGAGAGGCAAAGCACAAUUCCUGCAAUUUACAUUAAUCCAAAACAAAUGCUAUCAUGAGCAACCAAUGCUGGAGUCUUUGUAACACACCAUAUCUACUAUCGCAGUAGCAUGAUUCUGCCCUCUACCUAGAUAAAAAAAACAAUUUACUACUUUUAUUAAAUCACUGAUGCCACAAAAUGUUCCUCGCAAACAUACCAAGCCAGCUUGCGAAUGCAAGAUACUGCAACCUCUGCACAUUAGCCGGUAUCUCAUUGGCAAUGUCAUGGUGGAUGAGCGGGAAGAAUGGCGGCCAGUUCUUCUCCUCCAUGGGCACUCCGGCUGCAUCAAGCAGAAGGAAAGCGCAGAUGAUCAAACUCUAUUUAACACAACUGGUAACUCGAAAUCCUGACAGCAGCAACCAAACUAUUAUGCUACGCACCAUUCUUCAGCGACUCCUCCCUCCUCUUGAUAUCCUACAGCCACAAAACAAUCACCAUGAGACACCACCGAGUCAAACAGAAGCUAAAACCUCAGAAGUGGAAAUGGAGGGUAAAACCCCACCGCCUCACGCCGCUUCAGAUCUGAUUCCCACGACGAGAGCUCCCUCGCCUUGCCCUUGGAGUCCUGCAUUGCGCGCCCAUACCGCCCCCGGAACACUCGGAUUAGCACGCGAAUAACCACCGAGGGAAAAGGGGGGAGCAGCCGAAUGAACGAAAUGCCUUACCCCCAUGGUGUCGAGCGGGACGUCGACGACGGCGUCGCCCCUGCCGGCCCCCCCGAAGCCGAUGGGCUCGGUCGGCCGGAACCCGUACUGCUGCUUGCCGCCUCCGCCUCCUCCAUUCUACCACGCAAACAGCGAGGUUCCACAGUUACACACCCAAAGCCUCCAGAUCUACCAAAGCACCCAGCAAAAAUCUCUGAGGAAGAGAGGGAGGGUUUUUGGCUCACCGAGUAGGGGUUGUCAUCGGCGGCGCCCUCGUCGAAGGGGUUGGGGUCGUGAUGCAUGCUCGCUGUCGCCUCCGCGCUCGGCUUGCGGGCGAGAGGUGAGCGGAGGGGGGAAGCGGCGCGGCGGGGGGCUCUCGGUGCGGUGGUUUGGACUCGGGUCGCUUCCAAUUCAAGCAGUUUCUCCGCCUUUUUCUGCGCUGCUGCUUUUCACGUGACCUGCGGAUGGCGACGUGACGGGGGGAGCGGCCGAGCGGGUGGUGACGGUUCGGUCCGUCCGAAGCCAGCACGCGUCGUGGCGACGCCCACCAACGCCACGCGGAGCAGGCCGCCAGAAGUGCCCAUCGUCAGGGUCGUUUACCCAACCGACGGCAGCCCACGAAUGAAAGGGCUGGGACCCACUCAAGCAAGUAAGGCCCGAAACAAAGCCCGUUGUUUUAGGGGCCCCAGUUUUCGGCCCCGUGAAAUUUGUUUGGUCUUUCACAACCACUUGGGCCUUAUCAUAGGCCCACGAGAUAAUUUAUCAUUUGCCCAUGCCUGCCUGCGGCUGCAGGGGAGUCAAAGAGAUUUGUUUUGGGAGGGGACGCGGGUGAGCUCACUCCAAGGAGCAGAAAUUAGGGCGAGGUGAGGGACGGAUCCAUGGAACCGGACGAGGAACGAAUGCCUCUCAACCGAAGCAAAGGCUCGUCCCUAUCUCCUUCCUCUAGCAAAAUCGGUCUCAUUUAAUUUGAGCCAUGUGCGAGCUCCACAUGCCUCUCACGCCUCCCCAGGCUUAUCUCUACUACUACGCGCUCGCUGGUGGAGCUCAGUUCUUAACAACAAGGCACUUGUGCGUUUAGUGUUGUUUACGCUAAUCGCAGCCGCUUAUUAAGAAACUCGCAAAUAGUAUUGGAGGACAGAGAAAAGGUUGCGGCUGACUUAGGGUUUCACGCGCGACAAGUAGUUGGCUUUUUUUCAUUCCUUUGCUUCUUCUUCUUUUUUGCUUGGAUUUUGAUCGGCGUUUAAAGUAUGGUCCAUGUGGAGUUGAGGUGAGAGUGAGUGAGAUUUGUGUUUUGUAGGAGUUCGAUAAUCGAUAUCUACGAUGGUGGUGAUGUGUAUACGGUCAAUGAGAUGCAUACUGAGACACAUGCUUUCCUGCCUCUUGGUAGGGAGCCUCCCUUUCUGUGGUGAUCCAAAGAAAGCUAGUUUUGCAACACGGCCAGAGAUUGAGUUGGCAAAGUGUGGUUGCUAACGUCUUUUGGCAGUGACGUAAGGGACCAAAAUAGCAAGGCCCUUGAAUUGAUUCAGUAGCAUUGGAUCCUAGUACUUAAUCACCGAUCAAAAUACAGUACUCCCUAGCAGCACAUAGAGAGGCAUGUGUAGCUAGUCGUAGGUCGAUCGGUCGUAUGCUUGAAAGUUUAGCCCAGAUAAAGUUGAUCAGAUGUAGAGGCUGAUGAUGAUCAAUCAGCAAUGUCAUGCUAGCCAGUCAUCAGUUCGACUUCAAAUAUCCCAAUACCAUAUGUAAAAUUCAAAACUCUAGGCGGUCAGCGAUCUUUUGAAUUCCAUGGAUGCGGAUUUUUGCUUUAGUACAGGAAGUGACCCUGAUGAAAGUAUAUACUGGAUGCGGACAGAAACGCCACCAACUUUCUCAAACUCAGCGAGAUCAGCGAGUUAAUCGCGACGCAAGCACACUCGCCGGCCCGUAACUCUCGAUGCGUUCAUUAUCUUUCUAGGCGCGCGCGCGCGGGCACGGAAAGCUCUGCAAUUAACGGAGCACUGCACGCAUCCGAUGUCAUGCAGAGUUCACCACUGCUAGCUACUAAUCGACACACGCCACACGGGUCCCCAUAUGUCAGAUCGAUUAGCUAGCUAGCUAAUUUAAACAAGUGCCUAAUAAAUGUGUGCGAGUGCAAGUGUCACUCCCAUCUCGAUCGGAUCAUCUUCGAUCCAAGUACAGAUCGAGAUGCCUGCUCCUUUUUUCUGGUCCUACUGCAAGUUCUGCAGCUAGCUCUGCGAAGGCCUCUAGGCAGCUAGCAGCAGAGCGCACGAGUUAACACGAGCGAGCUAUAGGCCCCUAAAUUUUUCAGAUAAAGGAAAUAAUUCCAGCUAAAAGCCAAGUUGUUAUAUCAUUCUCAGCUUAGAAGCUGAACACAAAAAAUAGGAAAACGAUAUCAUUCUCAGCUUAGAAGCUGAACACAAAAAAUAGGAAAACGAGUACAUAUAGAGCAAGAAAAAUUGAAAAGCAUAUAAUCUAUUAUUAUUUCUCCAUCCAUUCUUAACGAAUUUAAUCCAAAGCGACGAUCUCUAUUGCUUUGCUUGCCAAACAUAUGGUCUCCCUUAUGUCCUAAAUAUUACCCUCUAUCCUGUCCAGUAGCAUAUGUUAACUGUUAAGCACUUAAAACACACAAAAGAGUACUCCUCAACCCUCAUCCAGUCAUCCUACAUGUGUAGGAGUAACAGUUACUUUGUUCUCCCUAGCCCUACUUGCCAAUUGUCAUCAUCAGUCAUCACAGAUUUUUUGUACACGACUUGUAGUACUUGUCUUUCAUGUCUUCUUCCUGAUUUCGCAUCUGAUGGUCAGCUUCUAUCCACAGGCAGAUCAACUGAGAGUGUGUGAUGCAGAGAGGUUCUCUUUGGGUACAUGUUGGCUUGUGGCACUAGAAUAUACCCCGGGCGUCACAUGGCCGGAUGCUUCUCAUUCCCUCUUGCUGCACUGGCCCAUAUCCUAGCCACGCAUGCAUGCGCGAGCAGCAUGGCUACUAGCAUGCGGCAGAGAAUCCCGCGGCAUGCAGCACAUACAUGCGUGCCGUAUGCAUGCAUCAGAGAUUGGGAGAGAUGUGAUGCGGAGAGAGUGAAAAGAGACUGAGAGGGAGAGAGAGAGUAUAGCAGCUGGCUGCUAGGGCGCCCUCUUUUUGUGCCCCGAGAACAAGAGAGAUGGCUCGAUCGAUUUGAUGGUGGUCGCCAGUUUUUUUAAAAAUAAAUCCCCGCCGGCUCACGCGCGAACGUGGGAGAGGGAGUUGGGGGCAACGAAUUGAUGGCCUGAGCUGGACAAAAUCCAAAUUCAUAUGAUGAUGUGAAGGUUGGUGGGGAUCAUUCCACUUUUUUCUGUAGUGGUAACGAACCAACAUUGAAAUUAUGGCGCCAUCGGUUACCGGGAAUACUAGAAUAUGGGAUUGCCCAGUGAAUGCUGCGUGCAUCGAUAUACAAUAUUGGCCCCGGCUGCUUAUUUGUUUUAAAAUAUAGUAUAGUGCUCCUACGCAUAAACUUCUGAAAGAAAAAUUCCUUCUGAAUAUGAGCCACUUCAAUUUACCUUUACUUCUUUAGCAAAGCCUACAUAUGCAUGAACCAUGAUAUCGCAAUGAUCAUCAACUCUCUUCUAGUCUUCUGUGACCAAAUCACAAGUCGGUAACAGUAAUUGGUAGUAAUGAACUUUUACAGGCCGAAAUGACGGGCAAAACUUAGAAAAAUUAGGAACACAAAAUAGUGGAAGCGCAAGGACAAAGCAUUUCUUAAUUUUCACAUCUGGACCUACACCUUUGCGACAGUUUAAAGGGACCACUACUGCACGUUUAAUUUCUCUCUCAAAUGACAGGAAGAUCUAGCAGGAGGAUUCUUCCCAUUCUUGCUGACCAAGUUAAUGUGGGUGCUUAUACCAGGAAUUUAAAUAAAUCAAAUAAAACAAUGACAUCCUUAUUAGUAAGACGUAUGCUACAAUUGAAUUACCUAAAAUACUAUAACUAAACCCUUGUCAUUCAGACACAGCGUUCUCUAUUCUACACUUAUAUUUUUCAUUAAACAAAAAUUAAUAUAAGGAUUUUAAUCGAUGAAGCAUGAUGCUGUUGCCCACAUAAAUAGUGAAUCGUGUCUCUCUUGUGGGCCUUGCAUUGCUAUCCAAAAUAAUACUAUAAUAGGACAUAUGUUCGACUGCGAAAAACUCACAAUUGUUUUGAAAUAAAAGUUUCAGCCACCGAUCACAAGCUUGCAUGCUGGCAUUCUUAAGUUAUUCAGAGUUACUUAACUAUCUAGCCUGUGGGGUGUUUUCAAAUCUCCAACUGAUCGCCUCUUGGCUAAAAUAAUGGCCACUCCUGGCAACGAAGAUUCUCUAGCUUUUGUUAAAGCGUAUCACCUUAAUCACAGCAAGACACACAAAGGACAAAUGCAGACAUCUAGAACACCUAUUCCCAGUUGUUUAAAAUAAUCGUACCUUUAAAAAAUGGAUCUGGCUAGUGUUUAUAUAAUGCCGUGACAGCCUGCCCUCGAAUAAUUCCAAUUCAGAGACAGUUCUCCGUAACUAACUCCAAACAAUUCCUUUUAGUGCUCCGUGAAGUAGAGAUCAGGCAUUGAUCGCCUUUUGGACAGUACCUCAACUCCUCAUGUCAAGAAGUCAAUCCAAUCCCAAACUGUGGUAACAAGGGGGGAGACCAGUGGGGACUGCAGUUGAGAAGAGAGCUAGAGAGAGGGAACCCUAGCUAGCUAACUGGCACAAUGUGCAGUUGUCAGUAGAAAAGAAACAUAGCGCGCGCGCAUCAAAAAAUACUCGAUGAGUGUGGUUAAGUGACAAGACUCUUUGUCUUGACUCAACUCCAAGGUGCUAAGUCAAACUGAUCAGAUAAUAAGUUCGUAUAGUUUCUUAAUUAGUCUACGAAGCUAUACAAGUAAUGCCUAUACGUGUGGAAUAGAUUCCGCAGAAAGGUAAAGAGAUUAGAAUGAAGAGAGACGCAGGUUGAAUAUGGUUUGACCAGUAUUACGCCACGAUGUAGCCGCUAACAGCAUCCACACAUGCAAGUUUUUUUCGUUCUUAUUUUUAAAUAACUUAUGCACUCGAGCAUGCUAGAUGUUUAAUGUUUUCAUAAUACUGUGGAUGAUCGAUUAGCGCUAGUCAGUUCCAUCAAAGUGGAGUUGAUCACAAACAAUUGUCCAGGAAACACAUUAUGAAUACUUUUGGGAGGAGAACACAUGAUAUUAAGUCCUUUAAUUACCUAAUAUUGCAAAAAUGAAGUCAUCUACCAUCAUGUAUGGCAAACACACCAAAAAUCACCUAAACAAGGAGCCAAGAGGCGCAUCAAAAUAUCUGACUUAAAUGUACAUUUUAUGUUCCCACAGUAUUAGUACAAAAAGUGCGUGAAUAAGACAUGCAAAUUUGGAAUAAACAUGCAUGCUAGCAAGAAAAUUGAAGGGCAAAUAAAAAUUAACAAGAUUAGCACAGGAUUACAUUUGAAAGACACUGUUCCCGUAUCUCUAAACCAGGACCAUGUUGUAUGCAGGGUUGAUUGGAAUCAGCUAGAUCAACUGAUCAUGAACGAACUACCAUUUCAACUAUAGCUGGACAACAAUACUGGAAUCACAAAAAGGAGUAUAUAUAUUUCUAUUAAGUAGUAGGUGUCCAUAUAUUAUUCAAACGUAUACACGACUGCGAUGACGAACGAUUGCAUGCUGGGUUUUUAAAGCUGAAUCGGCAUCAGCGACGGCUGCUGAAUUAAUACUAUCAGUUGCAGGAGAAGAGAUAACAUCGAGCCCUAUCACCCGAAGCAUGUCCUUUGCGCCGAAAACGCCUUCAAAUACGGGGGCCAGGAUCUUCUGCGCGGUGAACCGGCAUGCACAGGAUAGGGUUACAAGGUUCUGGGCGCAUGAGAUCCGCCCUCAUGGAUGUCGUUGGAUUCAAAGAAACUUCCACCAGAAAGCAACUGCCCUUUGUUUAAUCCCCAUGGCAGCGUCACCUUCGAGAACCACUUGCCCUAGAUGCAUAAGCAAUUGCAGAGCAGCAAGAGCUAUCCGAUCCUGUGAAAAUCCUGGAUUAUUGAUCAAUUCCAACUGACCAUUUUAUGUCACGAAAUCUAUGUGCUUGAUCACACGGUGAGAUAUGCGUGUCGCGAGUUGCUUAGGCAAAGGAAUUUGUACACGCUUGAUUGUUUGGAUUAUUGUUGCCAUUCGUGUUGUUUACGUGCGUCAUUGAACGUAAAAUACUUCCUUGGUGUACUAAAAUAUAAGCUCAUGUGGCGCAUACAUCUUCUUGUCUAUUAGUCUCUGAUGAGCUAUUACAGUCAUUUUCCACCUCAUUGGCUGGUCAGAUUUGUUAAUUUUUCCAUUCCAGAUAGUUUAUCAUAUGGCAUCAAGAUAGCUAGCUUUGAGAUUAAUGUGGAUACUAGAGAUGCAGUUCUCCAUCUGCUGAUGCCUGCAGGCCGGCCACAUCUUAUUUUUCUGCAAGCAACAAUGCAAUCAUCACGUUGUUGCUAGCUAUGCUGUGUUUCACAACGAGCACGUUCAUACACGUACCUGAUCUCAAACGAUAAGAAGAUAGAGAUGAUAAAGUUAAAUAUGAGAGAUAUUCAGCAUAUUUUUAAGAAAAAACAUAUCAUCCCACCUUUUCGAAUCUGCCAAUAUCUCCAAAGCUGGAAUAUAUGGUUUUCAUAGAACGAAGUUUCUGCAACUAGGACACAGACGGAGAAAACCCUAGCUACGAUCCGGCUGUUGUGUGUUGCUGAUCGAUUUGGGGCGGCAUUACAAUUAUUCACGAGCAAUCAUCGCGAGAAGAACACACACACACACACACCAGCAAUUGCCAAUUUGCCAUGGUACAAGCGCACAAUGCAACCCACCCUGUUCGCCAGCGUGGCCUCGCCGCAUAGAAGACAAAUUCAUGCCAUUUCAGAUCAUAGUACUUGGGGCACACAUGCAUGCGCUUGUGCGUGUCCUGUGGUGAAACGACCAAAAGUACACACAACUAUGCGCCGCACUGUAGCCGCCGCAUAUGGCAGCUCGCAUACGCAUUUCCAUCGUCGGCCAAUGCAACAAUAUUAACUCCCCCCGGCCCGGCCCCUGAUGAUGAUGAUACGCACAAAAACUAUAAAAUAUUGGACUAUAUAUACAUCUAUAAUGUACAUGAAUUUACGCUGCUUAUACAUAUAUAAAUGUUUUACUGAGAUAUGUAGUGCUACAGGGGCACGGAACCACGGAAAUAUGAUGUGAAUUCUUGUGUGCAGAGCGAUCAGGUCGCCAUGAAGAAGGCCUGAGAAGUGCAAGCAGGGUUGCGUGUCCGGCCUCGGUCAUUCCGUCCGUCAGUGGGUCAAGAAGAGGGGACGACGCCAGGCUCACAGGCAGACGUCCGGCGAGGGGCAGGGACCGGGUCGGCUCCUGUUUUUUCACCGCCGUGCACGGGCGCGGCGCGGCCCCGUGGUUUGUUUUUACCAGGCGACAGGCGCCCGCCGCGGCCAUGCCGCCUUGCGUAUGGAGGUGGCACACCGGCCGGGCGCGGCCUCCCCCACCUCCCCGGCCCUGGAAAAGGUCAGCCUCCAUCCGUCCGUCGACGGUCAAUCGUCCGUCAGCAGGAGGGCCAGCAUAGGCAUAUGCAUGCACACAACACAUCGCCAGAAGGAAACAAUACAAAAACCACACAACCCAUCACUCUCUCCCUCCUGUCCCUCUCUUGAUCUCCUCUCCCUCUCUCUCUCUCUCAUCUGCCCUCACAUACUUCUUUAUUGUCCUCUCUUGGAAGCCAACUCAAGUUACCCAUCUCUCCCUCUCAUUGCAUCCCUCCUCUCCUGUUGCUUGCUUGGUGUAAAGAAAAGAUAGCUCGCUUUCCACAGCCCAUCUCUCACAUCCUGCUUCCCCUCCACCCUACCUCCUUUUCUGCCCCCACAAAAGCAAAAAAACAAGUUUGCUUGCUUGCUUGUUAGCUACCUCCAAGCAGCAGAUCGACCCAAACUGCACCUUCAACAGAUCACUGUCCUGCCCUAGCCCCUUUCUUCUUCGUCCCAACACAUGCAAAGCCUGAAGGCUACUGCCUGAGAGCAUCACGCGGCUCCUUGCUAGCCAGCAGCGCAGCUAGCUAGCCCCCUGGUGCCAGUUGAUUGGAAGGGAGAGGAGGAGGAGAAUUAUUGGGAGCGGUUGGUAGCAGCAGCUUGCAUCCACUAUAGAGCCUGCGAGGGAUCGGCAAAGGGCGCCCUAGCUGCCGCUACAGCCAUGUGCGACUACUUCCUUCAGAGGAUGGAGGGCGACCAGGCCGGCGGGGACCUCACCGACAUCGUCCGCGCCGGCGGGGCCAUGCCGGGCAGCGCCGAGGUGCCGUCCACGGCCGCCGAGUGGCAGCUCCAGGGGGAGCCGACGAUGCUCUUCCCGCCGCCGCCGUCGUCAUCGGACGGCUGCGCCGGGGGUGCCGGCGGCGGCGCCGACGUCUUCGGCGACCCUUUCGCCGGCCUCGGGGACCCGUUCAGCAGCGACUACGCAUCGGGCGCCGACUUCCUGGACGCCAUGCCCGACGCGAUGGCCAAGGUCGGCUUCGACACGGCUGUCGGCGGCAGCGGAGGAGGGGGAGGAGGCGGAGGCCAACUGAUGGACAUGAGCCGGAAGCCUUUCUUGCCGCGGGGGUUGCAGCAGAUGCCGGCGGUCGGCGUGCUGGCUCCGAGGGUGCUGCCAUCGCCGCUGUCGCCGAGGGCGAUACGGCCGUACCCGGCGUUAGCCGGCGACAUGGUGAAGCUCGGCAUCACAGCCGGGCAGGUGGCCGGGUGCGCCAUCGACGCCGCCGUUGUCGGCAUGCAGAUGUCGUCGCCUCGCGCCGCGGGCGGGAUCAAGCGCAGGUUGGGGCAGAUCCGCGUGUGGAUCCAACAUCUGCUUUGUUUGCAUCUUGCAUGUUACAAAUACGAACAUGUACGACCGGCGUGUUUGCUAGCUCGUGAUUCUUAGGGAAAGUUCUGCGAUCUCUUUUCAUGUGUUCCUUCUGCUUUGUCCUCCUUUUGUGCUAGUAGCUCUCUCUGCACUGCACCUCCAAGGAAAGGUAAGAAAAGAGGGAGGAUUCCAAGGAUUCCUCGGGCUGUGCCAGGGAUUGGAAAGAUCGUAAGUGUUGCCUACAGCUCGAAAUUUUAGGCGUGAGGGUCAUCAUGAACACAUGGUGUGAUCGGUGGGAAUAUUUCUGAAUCGGCAAACGAUGCCUACACAUAGGGUUAUGUGCAUCUAGACCUAGCUGGUCUUCUCCCCGGAAAGGCCGGCUUUUGUUGAGUUUUGAAAAGUGAUCUGUGAAACCCUAGUAAUAAGCUUCAAUUAGUUGCGAAAUUUUUGAGAAGACGACUACUUAGCUUGUCUCAAAAGAUUAUGCAGUAUUUGCACUUGAGGUUCUGUAAAUUAAUCAUGCGAUUACUGCUGUUUUACCAAAUGUUAACUUGCUAAUAAAGAUUCAUGUGUGCAGGAAGAACCAAGCAAGGAAGGUGGUAUGCAUUCCGGCGCCGACAGCGGCAGGGGGGAGACCCACCGGGGAGGUGGUUCCUUCUGAUCUCUGGGCGUGGAGGAAGUACGGCCAGAAGCCUAUCAAGGGAUCUCCCUAUCCAAGGUAUGUGCUUCACACAUCCGCUAAUUAUAGUUGGGUUUAUGUUUCAAGAGAAAAUGGUUCGUGUGGAACAAUUAAACUUAAGGUGAACAAUGUGUUGGUGAUAAAUUGAGGAUAGAUGGAGCAUAUACGAACUGAUAAGAGUAAACAAAACUAUCUUCUGCAUGUUCUAUAAUUAUACAAUUCUCAGCUCCAUGAUUCUUUGUGUCUGCAUCAUCGAUGCGGUUUGAAUUAAUUAGCUGAAAGCUAAUUUAAUACUUAUACCUGGCUACUGGGUAGCAAGGCGUAUUGGCAUGCUUCUAAUUCUCGUAUCCAACUAGUUUUAUCCCUCUAUGAUACAAUGGCAUUUUUUGGGUUGCACAUCGACGUAACAGAUACGGAUACUUUAUUAGCAAGAUACAAGUAUUUUUAUACAUAAAGUAUGUUUGGGGAUAAUGUACCGAUCCAUAUUCCAAGGCAUACACACUAUCAAUAUAAUUGUUCAUAUUUUUUUCAGAUUUAGUUCUCUUCUAUGCCAAGUUUAUGUUGCACACUACACCAGCUGGAUCAAUUUUUAAGCUCUCUUGUACAGUUUUUAUAUACAUGUGAUAUGUCAGCUAUAUUGUCUAGAUUAAUGUGGAAAAUGUAACUGCUGGAACAAACUUUUUUGGUAAAAUCAUAGCAAAUAUGAUAAUGAUUUUCAAACGCUAUAAAUUAAUAAAAACCAUAGCUGUAUCGGCACAUAAGUACAUAUAUGAAGCGCAAACUUUAUCUUUCGAACGCUGGUUGCAAUAUCACAGCAAGUGAUGAAAAGGUACAUGCUUGCUUGCUGAUAAAAAUGCUUUUGUCCAUUAUUGGAAUGGACGAUAUUCAGGGGGUACUACAGAUGCAGCAGCUCAAAAGGAUGCUCAGCACGGAAGCAAGUGGAGCGCAGUCGGAAUGACCCCAACAUGCUGGUCAUCACCUACACCUCCGAGCACAACCAUCCAUGGCCGACUCAGCGCAACGCGCUGGCCGGGUCAACCCGUAAUCACCACGGCAAGAACAGCAGCGGCAGCAGCUCAGGUUCCAAGAGCUCGCAGAACGAGAAGCAACAGCAACCAAACGUCAAGGAAGAGCCCAAGGAUCCGGCCACGACGACGACCACCAGCACGAUCACCACCACGACCAGUACCUCUCCGGUAGCGGCUGUGAAGGAGGAGGCGUUGGCAGGAUCGUCAGAAGCGUUGGGGAGAGUCAUGGAUGCAGCGGUCGUAGACCACAAUAUCGAACUCAUGGACCAAGUGUUCAGCGAGAGCUACAAGCCGAUGAUACCGGAGGCCGGUCACUCCGACGACUUCUUCUCCGACCUCGCGGAGCUGGAGUCAGAUCCCAUGAGCCUGAUCUUCUCCAAGGAGUACAUGGAAGCAAAGCCAAGCGGUGGCGGUGAUCGUGCCCAGGAGAAAGCAAUAACCAAGGACUUGGAUCCAUUCGACAUGCUGGAUUGGUCCACUACCUCUUCGGCAGCAAGCUCAUUUGAGCAAGGAAAGAGAGGUUAAUAAAAAAAACACCGUGUACCCUUGGCAUAUGUGCACACAUCAUAUACAUUGGAUGAGCAUCAGCUAAUAACCUGAAAUUAAGAUUACCACAAGGUCAGCAAGGAAAGAUGAGAGGUUUUUUUUUUCACUUUUCUCUUCCUCUUUGGGUCGUUCUUUGUGUCCUUAUUAUCAUUGUGUGAGAGAGAUUGGAAUUUUUGUUCAAGGUUUAGAUAUGAACCUUGUUUUAAAAGGUUUGUGUCAGCUUGAUGUGCUGUACUUAUGCAUAUGAGAUGAGCUAGUAGCUGGUAGCGCUGAGGAUCCUGGAUCCUCGCUCGCGCACGCUAAGCUCCAUUGAUCUGCUGCAGGUGUUUAUGGUUAUCUGACAUUCUAUGUGCUCGAAGAAGAUAUGACAUAAAAAAUUGGAGAGAUUGGGGAGCUUGGGCCAGGGGUGUGUGUGUGUGCGCGUGUGAAUGUGAUAGACGAAGGAAAUGGGGAAUAGAAGAAGAGACCCACAUCCUUGAAGGUGAUGUGACAGAAAGCAGAGGCAGGGGCGCCCGUUGCAACGGAAGAUGUUGUGUUACAAUAGCUGGCCGCUCGGGCCACUCCUUGCUUUUGCAUGCCGCGCUGGGGCCUGGGAGCCUAAGUUGGAUUCUCUGGACGGUACAUGUUUUUGUCCGUGCGCCAAGGAAAAUGCAUGCACGAACUUUUACCUGUUCCUCUCCUCCAGCAGUGUGACCAGCCACAGCCGCUGCUUAUUACGUACACUUGCCUAUUUGGCAAGUGUACGUGCCGCCCCUGUGCAUUAGUACAUGCGAUAUACAGCACGCUGGUCUAUUUGGCAAGUGUACGUGCCGCCCUAGCAAGCCAGCUCGAUCUGCUGUAGUAUUGCCUGACAGCAAGUGGUGAAGCAGCAUGUGUAUCCGGCCGGUACGGUACAACGUUCGGUAAAUACGUGGCGCGUACGUAUGCUAGCUUCCAAUUUGGACCCACCUGCUGGGAGAGAGUAUGUAGGGACAGUGGCUCUGCGUACGUACAUACCCUGCUCUCGCUCGUCUCAUGGCGCCGGGCUGAUGUACGUACGCGUACAACAAUAAUGCGGUCAAGGAGUAACGCAUGCGUGCGUGAGUCGGUGUGAGUGAGUGCCCCUCUGCCGUUGCUGCAGGGAUGGCCACGUGCACGUGUCUUACGGCGCGGACAGAUGUAACAUCGUGUCAAACGACACGUAACUGUAAAUUUGUCAGUGGUGGGCUGUGCACCAUGAUUACAUUUUGUGAUACAUAUACGUGCAUCCAUCAACGAACACCCGGCCAGCCGGCUGUCCCAAAAGUAACGCACUUUUCCGGCCGGACAAUGUACACUGUUUUUUUUCCUUCUUCUUACAUGAAAAAGAGAAAAAAAAAUGUAGCGUGAUGAGCGAGGUAAUGACAGGUCGACGAGAGAAUCGCAAUUGAUCCGGGCGUUGUGGCUGCGGGCUGCUGAUUGCAUUGGCGGGUGAUAAACCGGCUAUCAGUUGGGCAUGCAUUAUCCUAAGCAACCGUUACAGACUGCAAAGCUGCCUGCCGCCUCGCCCGCAAGGUCGUCGUCGGUGGCGUGGCGCUCCCCGAGCGAGUUCGUGCGUUGCACGCGCGGGUGCGGCCGGCCUGGCGACUUGCGACGUGAGCGAUCGGGCAACGGCGCACGCAAACCGAGCUAUCGCGCACGCAGGCCGGCCGUGUGGGGGCCGUACGCGGAGCUCCUGUGCCGUGCGAUGGGCACAGCGGCCACGACGACGACGACUGAGGAAGAAGAGAUUGGGUCGUGAUGCGCCCAAUAAUUAGGCAUUCAAGCGCUGGGGCAGACCUGUCCGGGCGUCGGAUAAGCAACUGCUACUAUAGCGAGCCACACGGAUCACCGAGGGGGUCAGGUCACGCGUGCGUGCGUGCGUGCCACUAUUGCCUUAUUGGGAGCGCGCCAGGGGAGACGACCCCCGAUGGAUUGGCGCCGGGAAUUGAAUGCGAGUCCAAGGAAGGAGCCCUGUACCGGCACAUUUGGAUGUUCGGAUCAGAGGGUGGUGGUGGUGCAUGCAUGCGAUGCAGGGGUUGUUGCAGCGUGCCUUUCACUGGUAAAUACCCCUGCGACGUGCUUAAACGCAGGUGCUGUGCCGUGGGAGCCCACCGCAGGGGGGGUGGCAGAUGGCAGAGGCAUUUCUCCGGACAUCCUUUGACGAUCGGUCAGUCAGUGAGCACAAUUACCUUGUCCUCAUCUCAAAAGGGUUUGUUUAAAAAGAAAGGAGGAUCCGAAAACGAAAAUGCAUGUGAGCACAAUUACCCUGCUGGGCCAAUCAAUAAAGGUGAGCAGCUAACAAACAGCCCUGCUUGCUUGAUUUGCUUUGGGCCCCUCCAAAGCCCAGCUGAGCUGGAACCCCAAUGUUGGGCCUCGCUUUGCUUUUAGCAAGGGCCUGUUUGGCAGAGCUCCACGCAGCUUCAGAUCCAAAAAACGGUAGCUCCACUACAAAGCAGCUCCAGCGUGGAUCUAUGUUCUCACUGUGGAGCUGAGCAAAAGUGUUUGGCUGAGACAACAGCUCCAAAUCCAGAAACAGAGUUUUUGGUUGGAUUGUCCACUAAUGCCCUUGGUGUUUUCUAUUUUUUCUUCUCAUUUUUUUCUGCUUAUAAGAAAUAAAUGUAAAUGUGAGAAAACAGUUAUGCGCCAAUUACCGAUUUGUUGUCAACUGUGUCGUUUAGGUGGUUGUCGGCUUAUAUAAAGUUUCUGAGUGAAUUUAUGUUCGGCGUGGUAGCUACUGAUUGGGUGUUUUCCCAUUUUUUUCUUCUCAUUUUUUCUAAUUACAGGCGAGGUAAGCAAUAGUGAUCAUCCUGCUGUCAUAUCUGGCUGUUAAAUCCAUAGACCGAUAAAAGAUCGGACAAAAGCCCAGUCAUUUUCCCAAGCAGUUGAUUCAUUGUUCAUACAUAAAUUAAUUAUUCAUACAUAAAUAAUUGUCCAUACACUUUUUUUGUUUUUUUCCACCACUCGGCGUCCAUAUUGAUAGUUCCCUUCUCCCAGUUCCAACCAGUACCAGUUUGCUUUCUCAUUAAUUUUUUCCAUGCAGACAAAUCAACCCUCAACUUAUCCCACUUGUUCUUAAGUCGACUUUUUUUCAACAUGAUACCGGUACUUUGAAAAAACCUUUCUUUCACCUCGGAAUAUCCCACAUUGUUCAAAUGAGUGUUUGGUCGAUUUUCUUUUCUAACUUGUUCAACGAAUAACUUGCAACCAAUGGUGGUAUAGCCAUCAUUCCAAUCCAUAUGAUCACCCUAUUAAUGAUUUCCCCAAAAUAUUGUUCAAAUUCCAACUGUAUUAUACAACAGCUCCACUACAAUGGAAGAAAAAUAUACCUCAUCAUCCCUUGCUCUUUUGUUAGCUGAUGCAGCACGCCUCCUAACUUGCGCAAUCGGCGUAGAAGAUGCCUACGACGCCAUCAGGAACUCAUUGCCGAUCACCGCGUCCUACAUGCCAUUUGCUAAUAAUCCAAUUAGUAUAGCCUAUCAGAAGAUGCUGUUAGCUGCAAGUUUCAAUAGUGAACAUGAACUCGUUUCACCACUAAAUACCAAAGAAUAAACAGGAACUCGUUUUGCAGCAGGUUUUUCAUAUAUAACAUUUUUUCCUGCAAGAGAGCAUAGCAUGAUGAAAUAAUGUGAUAAUGAUAAAUUCCCUUCCAAUACACUUCGAUACAUUUAGAGACAAAAGGUGCACUUGUGAACUAAGAAUAGAGUUUGCCCAAGAAACUUUAGCUUCAUCAUGUAAUCAUUUCCUCUGUGACAUCAAUUUUUUUUAAAGUUUUGCAGACGAAUGCAGCAUUUUAGAGGAUAUAAUAUUUCAUCUAGAAAAAAAUUUAAAUCAUUGCUUUUGUGAUUUUUCAUGUUGUUUCUCGACUUAACACGUGUAAAAUCAAACUAUACUCCCCAGAGAUGACAGUAACUAAACAUCGUUAAUCAUGAAGCAGUGACGAGCAUGCAAAAAGAUUUCUGUCAAAAGAACAAAAGGCACCAUUUUACAACAUUACCUACUCAUUAUCACAUAAGCACAACAAUUUUCUUAAAAGCAAAGAAAGCUUCCAAACAAGUUAAGUAACAUGAUAAUUAUGAAGCCAGGGGUAACCCAGAGUGGUUUGCAAAGGAAGAGAAGGUUGAGGAGAAGGAAGAAAGUGCAGAUGUAAGAUCACUGUUCUGUGCCCCGAUUCCCAUUUGUUUUGCAACAUUUCUAUUCCCUAUCAUGAUGAAGAUCUCGUGCAACUCUUUUUUUUAGAAUAUCGUAAUGAGGGAUAUGCAACUUUCAAUGCUCUGAUGCCAUCUAACCUGAAUGCCAUCUUUAUAUCACUAUCCCAAUUCUUCUGUAUCGUUUUGGUUCCUUUGGAUGCUGAGGUAAAUUCAGAGACAUAACUAUGUUGAAUAUAUAUUUGCAGGACAUGGGCUUCAACCUCUUCGACUGAGCUGUGCAGUCAUCAGAGUCCCCUUUUGGGUGGAAAAAUAGUUGUGAUGUUUGGAUUCUAGCCUUAUUUCAUGUUGGUGGAAUGACUGCUAGGUAGUAAUUCAGCUGUAACUUGCUAUCCUGGCUUGUGUUUUUACUGGUGAACCAGAGUUUUUCUAUCAAAUAUAUUAUCCUGGCUGGUGUUUUUACUGAGACUAGAUUUUCCCAAGGGUGUUACAUAUACAACAUACAAGCAUACUGUCAUUAACCUUGUGACAAAAGCAUAAUUCCGCCAAAUGCGAAGGCCAAGGCAAAGCCACUGAAUUGAGCAAACCAGACAAUGCCUUCCAGAGCAUGAUGGCACCAGAAUUGCCCAGAGUGGCCAAGCGAUUCAACUCAUACCACCCUUAAACAAGCAACAAAGUACAGAAAUCAGACAAAAUAUGCGAGAAUGCCAAAAUCGUACCAAGCCAUCCGCGGCCACGCUACCAGCGCUGGCCGCGCCGCCCAGGCCAGCCGCGGCCCGGCUUGCGCCGUCCAGGUCGGGCGCGCCAUGCUCCCGCCACCGCCCAUGGCCGGAGAUCCAGUGAUGCUGCCGGGACGGGGAAGUCCAACCCUAGGGGCCGGACUGGAAGACGAAGGGGGCGGAGGAGGUGGAGGAGGCGCUGAUCUCCUCAUUCCCGGCGGCGGUCCGGCCACCGACGGUGACGAAGGCGCUGGAGGCGGCGGCCGGCGCUGGAAGAAGAAAAGGCGCCGGAGGAAAAAAGAAUGCGGCGUCGGAGGAAAAAAGAGAGGCGGUGUGCGGAAAAAAAAAUAGACGCGAACCGGUACGAGGAUUGUAAUGGAUGGCAUUGGUGGAUAAUUUCCACCAACUCCAUGAGGGGUUACAAAAACAGCGUUUUGAGAGCACCCCCUGAGGUGCUCCGUGGAUUUGGUGGAUUUGGGAGCUAGAUCCAUUUUUUUUGCGGAUCUGGAUUUCACAGAGCUGCACCGUUUGGCUGGAAAAAAUGGGAGCGGAGCUGUUUUUAAGGAUCUGAAGCUGCGCGGAGCUCUACCAAACAGGCCCCAAUUAUGCUCCCUGACUCCCUGUUCCUGUUGUUUUUACUUUCACCUGCAGCAUCUCACUCAGUGCCUGGGAUCGACGUGCCCAGUUCAAACUGUUCGACCGCUGCGAACUGUUACUCAAAUCUUGAUCGACCAGUCCAAACUGUUCCUCAAAUCUUGCCCAGUGCAACAGUAAGCUCAUCUGCUCACGCUUACCUCCCACCCCUGCGUGGCGUUCGGAUCUCACCUAAUCUCCUGUGUUCCACUUACACGCAGCUCGCUGUCACCCUGUUAAGCGGUGGCUGACAUGCUCAUUACCAGGUAAUCCUCCUGACGUCACACGGCGCGGCUGGGCUGUCAAGUCCAGAGGAUGAGCGCCCGGAGCCUUGCUUGGACCAUCCCAGCCGUUGGAUCCGCAUCCACGUACCUGUUUUGCCAGUGGAAAGGCACGUCAUAGAUUCGAGCGAGCGGUCACGUCGAAAUGCUCGCAGACGGAAGAAAACUUGUGCAUCGCAAAUGGCAAUGGAGGCGGAGAGGGGCCCGUGAAAGCAAUGGCUUCGGGACCCUUUUGUCACAUCCGUUCGGUGCGUCCAAUCAGAAUCAAUCAUGCCCCGCAAUUUCCGCGAGAGCACGCCUUUUUCCAUUUGGAGUAACGUGCAUUCCCACCCCCAAAUCGGAGUCCUCAGUCGCUCUCGCUCGCUCUCCCAAUCUCCCGUCCUCUCCGCCCACCCAAAUCUGCCGUGCCGUGACCCUCAAAGGAGAGGCCAGCGGAAGCGGACGCUGCCGCCUGCCGGCAUGGACGCCGGCCUCGAGCGGAGGAGCCCGCCGCCGCUUCCAGGGGAGGCCCAGGUACGUCGUCCGCGUGCUUGCAGUUGCAUCUAUCGGUUCGAGCCCGAGGAGGCCUCCCGUUACGCGCGUCCCGCCGGUCGGACGACGCGACGCGCCGCGCCGCCGCAGGAGGCCCCAUGCGCGCGUCUGAUUGGCGAGCACGGGCACGGGUGGUUUUAGAGAGUUCCACCGGCGCCCGGUGCCAUUCUGCUGCGGUGCUAUGGCGGCCUCGCCGGCCGGCGGUCAGCUGCCUGUGUUGUGACCGUGCACUGACUGUUCCUUUUGUUACCGUGCAAGGCGUCUAGUUCAGGUCAGAGCCUAGUGCCACUGCUGGGAGCUCAGGAACAGGAACUGGGCAAGGAUAGUAGUAAUCUCUACUCCAGGGCGUCCAAUAUAGUAUUGUGUAAGUAUCUGGCACUUCUUUCCAAUGUUAGUCUUGAUCCAAGAACAAUGACCCAUAGGUGACAAAUUAUUUACAGCGUUAUACGAGAUGUGCUUUUUAUCUCAAAAGUCUAGUACGGUGCAGUAUAUCCUUGCUUGCUUCAGAAUGAUAUAACCAUGCGAGUGAACUCAACUUACUGCGCUACUAGGCCUGGUGUUCUUCGAAGUCGUAGCUUUCUACGGGGUCUACCUGAACCUGGUCGUGUACCUCCAGGACGUUCUCCAUGGGGACAGUGCUUCCAACGCGGCGGCCGUCAGUUCCUGGGCCGGUGCAAGCUUCCUGAUGCCCGUGAUCGGCGCCGCCAUUGCCGAUUCUUACUGGGGCAAGUACAAGACGGUGCUCGUCGGCCUCUCCAUAUCUCUUGCCGUAAACGCUCCGCACAAUUUGGCAUCUGAACUCUAAAUAGUACUGGCAACUGUGUGCUUGCUUCUCUGACGUACAACUGAAAGCAGGGGAUGGCCGUGAUCACGACAUCGGCUACUCUGCCGUCGCUGAGGCCUCCGCCGUGCGAGCACGGCGGCACGUACUGCGCCCCGGCGACCCUGAGCCAGCGGCUGGUGUUCUUUGCGGGCAUAUACCUCUGCGCGAUCGGGACCGGCGGCGCGAAGGCGGCCAUAGUCUCGUUCGGGGCGGAUCAGUUCGACGACGACAACGGCAAGAACGCGGCGGAGCGGGAGAUGAAGGCGUCCUACUUCAGCUGGUUCUACGGGGUGGGCAACCUGGCCGUGCUCACCUCGGGGACCCUGCUGGUCUGGGUCGAGGAGAAGGUCAGCUGGGGGCUCGGGUACGGCGCCUGCGCGGCGUCGAUGGCGGUGGCCGUCGCCGGCCUCGCCGCCACGGCGCCCGUCUACCGGAUAGUGCCUCCGGUGGGCAGCCCGCUGAAGGGCGCGUGCCAGGUGCUCGUCGCGGUAGCUCACAAGGCGGGUGUGAGAGUACCUGACGACGCUGCUGACCUGUACGAGGAGGUGCACGUCAAGACGCCAUUGCUUGAUGAACCAGCGCGCGAGCAGCUGGAGCACACCGACGAGUUCAGGUGCCUGGACAAGGCCGCGGUCGUCACGGGCGCGGACCUGGAAGGCGCCAGCCCGUGGAGGCUGUGCACGGUGACCCAGGUGGAGGAGCUCAAGACUCUGCUGCGGCUGGUCCCGAUCUGGCUCACCUCCGCCGUGUACUUCGUCGCCAACUCCCAGACUCAGACAACCUUCGUGCAGCAGGGCACGAUGACGGACACCAGGAUCAGGAUCGCCGGCGGCGCGUUCUCCGUCCCGGCCGCGUCGAUGACAAGCGUCAUGACGGUGUCCGUGGUCGUCUACAUCGCACUCUACAACCGGGCCGCCGCGCCCGUGGCGCGCCGCUUCCUGGGCCGCGCGGAGGCGCUCACGCCGCUGCAGCUCAUGGGGCUCGGACACGGCGCUGUAGUCGCCGCGGUGGCACUCGCCGCGUUCGCCGAGGUGCGCAGGCUGGCGAGCGCCAGGGCCGGUGCGCCGCCCAUGGGCAUCGCGUGGCUGCUGCCGCAGUACGUGGUGAUGGCCGUCUCCGACGCGUCGCUCAGCGUCGGGCAGCUGGAGUUCUUCUACGACCAGGCGCCGGAGACAAUGAGGGCCGCGUCGACGGCGUUCUACUUCCUGUCGUUGUCGGUCGGGAGCCUCCUCAGCUCGCAGGUGGUGACGCUGGUGGCGUCUGUGACCUCGGCGGGCGGGCGGAAGGGGUGGUUCCCGGCGGACAUGGACGAGGGGCACCUGGAUUACUACUUCCUGCUUAUUGUUGGAAUCGCUGCGUUGAACUUUGCCGUUUUUGUUUACCUCGCCAAGAAUUACACGCCCAAGACCAAGAGGGUUAGAUAGUCAUAGGAUUCUUUCUUAUCUCUAUUAAAGUUCAACAAAAAUCUCAAUAGUCUGCUAGCACUUGUCAAUUAUCACCUGCAUGUAAUCAAAAUGCAAAUAUAAAUUGGAAUUGAUGCACGGAACAUACAAUUUGGAUUGAACUUCAUUUUGAAAUGUACUUUGCUUAUCUUUUCAAGCCACAGACCGUACCCCCUCCAUCCCAUAAUACACGGCAGCGCACAUAAUUUAAUAUUCAAACUUUGAAUAUUUUGACCUACAACUAACUUUGUAUAAUGAAAAUUUUUUCUUACAAAGAUAAUAUCAUUGAAUUUAUGUUUAAAAGCACUUUAUAUUGCUAUAAACAUUAUAAUUUUAUUGCUAUAAAUAUUAUAUUAUGAGGGAUAUUUAAAGUCAAAUCUUAAUAUUAGAGACCGAUGCAAAAUUAAAUUACGUCGUGUCUUGGGAUGGAUAGAAGGGGUACCGAUGAAAUGUUUGGCCCGCCCCAGUAAGUACUGGGCUUGGGUGAUUUGCUUUCUGAUUUAGAUUGGGCUGGGCUGACUGGACUGGUAGUCAGCUGGAAGGAAAGGAUAAUCUAAAAAAAAAAACAGGCUGGAAGGAAAGGAAAAUUGUCAUGUACUUGUACUUCUCUGACAGACUGGAAGCAACACUCGAUGCCUCCGUAAUUCCAGUGCUACUACUUCUGUUGUUACCGAGUCUUUCGGCGUUUCUACUGUAACAUACUAGUACAGUACAUACUACUCCUCCAUUUCUGACACUGCCUUGUUUAUACCUCCGUUGCUUUUGCAACAACCACUUGUUCUAGAGUUACAUGACGAAAUGGUCGGUAGCGGAAAUUCAGUCUUGCGGUUGGUGAGAGCGAUGCGCCUGCGCUCUACGAAUUUCGUCAGCUGUCUGAGCUGACCUGAGGUUGUUGAGCUCAUUGGUCUUCAGUCCAUGCGUCGAGCACAAGCGAUUUGAUAACACCAUCCCCCCAAAUUCUCCAAAAUGAACGCCACCGUACUUUAAACCCAGUUAGACCAUAGAUGCCCUUCUCUCUCUGCUUCCCCACUGGUAGAGUUCCAUCUUUGAAUUGAAUGGAAGUGGCUCGUCACUCGUCAGCUUGUUGCCCACCAACCAUUCAGGAUGAGGAGAUCUCGGGUCAAUGUCAGUAUGAAUCGGACUAUUUGGGUCAGGUCGAGGUUCAUUUUUAUCUGGAUCUGAAUGCAUGCGGGCGGCCGUUUUUGGCCAAGACUUGGAUUCUGCAUUAGUUGAGCAAACCAUGUGUUCAAUAAAAAAAAUUAGCACAAAUCAGUCGUCACUUUCCGUAAUUUAUAUCGGUCAAUUACUAUGGAGAUAUGCCAUGAGUAAGUAGUUUCUCAUGCAUGUUUCAAAUUAAAGCACAGGACAGAAGGCGUAAGAUGGUACUGUACAUGAGAGUCUGAGGCCAUGACGGCUGCGCUGACGGGGAGGCGCCGAGGCGUGGAUACACUCUCUCCUCAGGUCAACAGAACAGGUCAUGUGUUCAUCUGAUCUUUCAAGGUGAAACAACUCUUGUCUGGUCAACAAGUCAUGUAUGUGUUCAAUUGAUCUCUUUCGAGGUGAAUCUUUGUCAAUUUUACUGAAGCCUCCUUUUCUGGUAUCUGAACGACCGAACCUCUCAACAACCACACAACAACGGUGUCCUCCUGCAGCCCAGGCGCAGAUAAAUUCAAAGGAUCUUAUCAGAUUAUUUUGUAUUUGGCCAUGUGCUGGUAAUGCUUUUUCUCACCCAUGUGAUCUUUUUUCAAAUGAAGAGAAGUCUAAUUUGUGCGUGGUCGUCUGGUGAUAAUAAUAAUAUGCCGUAUGUUAAUUUCGUUUUUGUAACCUUUCAACAAGAAGGCAAGACCAGCCGGCAGGUGGAGCCUUGUGUCUGUCAACACCAAACACACUUUCCCCUAAUCCCCUUUUAGCACGCUCCUUGUAGGCUUGCAGCAAGACUGAUACUGUUGCAUAUUGGAAAGGGAAAGUAAAAGUGAUGUAUAAGCAAGUGGUGGUAGGAUGAACAUAAAAAAAAAAGUGCAAGAAUAUGUUUCUGUAUCUAUUUGAAUUCUGAACUUUGCAUUCAGAAAAGUUCGAAAUGCAUGUCAUGCUAACUGCUAAAGGUUUUGGUCGAUUGUUGACUGCAUUGGAGACUUGUGCCUCCCUAAGCUGAACAACUUUCUAAAUUGACAUUCUUAAUCAGCAAAGGGAUAUUUGCAGGGAUGCGAUACAUGGCGUGGUAGUCGUUGGAGAUAAACUCCAUUGAUUCAUGCAGGCAAAAGGAACGAAGUGCAUGAUAGAUUUUCCCCCCCGUUCUUACUCAUCGAAUCGAAUUAGAAAAAGGCUCAUUAACUAAAAACUUUCGAUGUCUUAUGCCUUUCAAAUAAACAAAAAAUAGGUUCUUCACACAAAGGAUAUUUACCUUUAGGGAAGUUCACAUGCACGAUUAAAAAAAAUCCAGAGUGCGAAAGUGCUAUUGCUAGAGAUGAACAAGGUUAUCCAGGAAAUCGGCAGGAAAUGGUGCAGCUGAACACUCUGUCCUGGGGAUAUAUAAAUCAAAACCUUGGCAAAGUGACAGCAGACAGGCUUCACACUCUUCAGAAAAAAACGGCGCGGCCUUACAUUUCGCACGUAGCAUCACACAUAACCUAAUCUAACAACGGCACUACUUAUAAUAUACAGGAAAAUAGGACACUGAUUUGGUCAAAUAAUAUGACCAAGCCGAUGCAAUUGCACUUGCACCCAACCAGGGUGGCCUCCCGUACCGUACGUGUCUGGAGAGCUGUUCUGUGAAGACCGAAGAUACGGUAAAAGCUUGCUGAAUGCUGAUUGGAGUUAAACUGCAUGGAUAGAUGAAUGAACCAGCUCUUGUCACUUGUCACUUGUCAGGGAAAAGAAAAGGUCAAAAGCAAAAGGCAAAUUGGUGUGGUGGAAAAAGAGACGGUGACUCAGACGGAUGUCUGUCCUUGCAGUUUAUCUGAUGACAGUGGACUAUGUGAAGCAACACGCUUCUGCUGAUAGAAGCCUUGCUGUCUCGCCUGCUUUCUUGGAGUUCGACCGUUUCAAAAACAUCUCUGCUCCUAUAUUAAUAAAGAGAAAGAGAAAAGUCCGGAUGGGUAAAAACAGCGGAAGCACUGUACAACAUAUACACUCACACCCCUGUUUAGGAAAAGGAGAAAGAGACUUAUAGGCUAGCUACGUACAUCAAACACGAUGAAGAAAAUGUGCUAGAUGUUUUGCUCCUGCCGCUAUCCAAAUUGAUGAUUGAUCUUUGAUCUUUGUAACUACAUCAUUACAAGUUUGCUAUAACAGCGGAAGCACUAUACAACAUAUACACUCACACCCCCGUUUAGGAAAAGGAGAAAGAGACUUGUAGGCUAGCUAUGUACAUCAAACAUCAUGAAGAAAAUGUGCUAGAUGUUUUGCUCCUGUCGCUAUCCAAAUCGAUGCUUGAUCUUUGAUCUUUGUAACUACACCAUUGCAAGUUUGCUAUUUCCGUUGGAAGAUCCUCGCAUUCCGCUCAAGCCAAAUUUCCUACAGUACUAGGAGAAUUAGGCUUUUUAGCCCUUUCCGGCCAGCCACCUGGGCACUUGCUAGUGCUGUCCACCACUCGUGUACGGAGUCCUGGCUGCCCCAAUGGGUAGGGCUUAGAAUUGCGCAGUGGGACUAGUUACUCAUUUCUUCCCAAAUCGUUGUCGUAUAGGUGCAGCUCCUGAACAGAUGGAGUCCCGUUUCUAGCGUAGAGUCACAGAGGACACAAAGCGGGUUGCACGACCAUCCCCGCCUUGCCAAUCUAUUUGCUGUCCAUAUUCUGUUCUGGAUCACCAACCAUCUGAAGAACUUGCAUUUGGGUGGCGCCCAUGGCUUCCAAAUGAUGUUAUCAAAGUUAGUGAUUGUUGACCCGAAGAAUUGUAUACGGUAAGCCGACUGCGCGCUAUACUGUCCGUCUAGCGUGAAUUUCCAAAUGAUGGUGUCCUGCACUCCCGAUGUGAGCUGCACCUGUGACACCUCAGUCCAUAGGCGUAGGUACCCCAUUAGAUGUGUGACCGAUGAGCCUUGUUGUUGUAUGAGAUUCAAGCCUCGAACCCAUGUGUGGUUCGUGGUGGCAUGUUGUAGUGAUCUGUUCUUCCUACCAAAAAUCCUAAAGAGGUUAGGGGCCACAUCCCUUGGCCUUUGCCCAUCAAUCCAGCCACUUUCCCAAAAGGAUGUCCUCUUACCGUCCUUAAUUAUGAUCUUUGUGGCUGCCGCAAAUAGCCUGCGAUCCGCUUGCAAGCAUGGGACGUCACCAGGUUCCCACCGAUUGUCUUCAUUCAUCCAUUGGUACCAUAGCCAUCUUAGUCGGAGCGCUCUCGAGAACUUUCGAAGGUGCAGCACACCUAGGCCUCCCCUUUUCUUGAUCUCGUUGUCCGCACCCAAUUAAUCUUGGAUUUUCCUCCUGUCAGACUCUCCGUUCCUGCCCAAAGAAAUUGUUUCCUUUUUGCAUCAAUGAGCUUUAGUAUUUCUUUGGGUGCGUUAAGUGCUGUGAGCAGGUAGACCGGUUGUGAAGUGAGUACCGCUUUGACAAGCGUUAGUCUACCGGCUGCCGACAUAUUUUUUCCUUUCCAGCUGCUCAGAUUGCUGUUGAUCUUGGCCACUAGAGGCUGGUAGUCGAUUGUCCUGAGACGGGUUGUAGAUAACGGUAGGCCAAGGUACUUGACUAAGAAGGCGCCAUUUCUUGCUAGUAGGUUCUUUAGGACUUCAGCGAGUUGUAUUCCUUCGCAUUGGAUCAGGAUUACCGUUGAUUUUUGGAAGUUCGUUUUCAGCCACGUUGUCUCUCCAAGCAUAUUUAAGAUGCUGACCAACACAUCUAUCUCGUCCUUCUUUGGUGCGAUGAACAUUGCAGCGUCGUCGGUGUACAUCGAGAUGCGGCAGUAGGGUGUCCGCCCACGUAGUAGAGAGUACUCCCAUCUCUGAUGCUAGUUGCAGGAUCCUUUGCAGAGGAUCAAUUGCUAUGACGAAUAAAAGCGGAGAUAAGGGGUCACCCUGGCGUAGGCCUCUACCAUGAAUGAGUGGCGGGUUUGGAACCCCGUUGAGUAGUAGGCGGGAGGAUGACAUGGAGAGAAGCGCUGCAAUCCAGUCUCGCCAGCACAUCGGGAAACCCAUGUAUUGUAGGAGUGACAUAAGGUAAUCCCACCUUAUGAAGCCAUCUAGCCGUAUUUCGCACCGUCAUAAAGUUAUCAUGGAUACUCCAUUUUUUGAUGAAUGCGCUCUGGCACUUGGAGACAAUUGAUGACAUAUGUGGUUGCAAUAUGAGGGUCAAUGCUUUGGUGAUAAUUUUGAUGAAUGAGUGUAUCAGGCUGAUGGGCCUAUAGUCCUGUACAGUGUCUGCCCCUUCUUUCUUCGGUAUUAGUAUGAUAUUUGCAGAAUUGAUGAGUUGGAGGCUAUUACAGCACAAUGAGUAGAAAGCAUUCACUGCUGCCAUCACAUCUUUCUUAAUGAUUUCCCAGCAUGUUUUGAGGAAGAGGCCCGUGUACCCAUCCGGCCCUGGUGCUUUGUCCCCUGGCACCCUGCCAAUGGCAUGCUUGAUUUCAUCUUCUGAGAAAGGGGCAUCUAGCGAUGAUAAUUUGUGGUGGGCAAUCCCUAAAAUGUCCUAAUUGAAAUCCGCAUGACGAGGCAAUAGCCGCUGCAUAGUUGCUUUGAAGAAAUUUUGGAUUUCAUUUGCUUUAUCCUCAUGAUUACACGCCCAUCCAUUGCCUUUUCUUAGUUUUUGAAUGAAGUUCCUACCCUAGCGUUCGCUCUUUGGUGAAAGAAGCGUGUGUUGGCGUCCCCCAACUGUAGGUCUCUGACUCUGUUGGCUUGUUUUUUACGCACCCGCUCCACGACAGCUAAACCCAUGGCCCUUGUCUUGAGUCGUUUACGCAGGAGGUGCUCCUGCUAUGAAAGUGGUCUGUGUUCUUGCGCCAUGUCGAGCCGCAUAAUGAUCUCCAGGGCCAUGAGCAGAUGUAGUUUGGCGUCUGGGAUGAGCUUGGUACUCCACUCCCUCAGGGCUGCAGCCGUUUGCUGGAGUUUGUGAUAUAAUCUGUGAAAAGGUUCUACAUGUGGGGAUUGAGUGGUCCAAGCCCCUGUGAUGACGUCCCUAAAUCCUGGUAGCUUUGUCCAAAAAUUCUCAAAUUUGAAGGAGUUUGGUCAUCGCAGACCUCCUUGGUUAGACAGUAGUACGAGGCAGUGGUGUGACAAGGAGGAUGAUAGGGCAUGCAAAACAUGCUUGCUGUAGGCAAAGUCCCCGUCAUCGUUUGCAAAAACUCUGUCGAGCUUGAUAGGGGUAGGGUUUCGCCAUUCAUUGCUCCAUAUGAAUUUUCUAUUUUGUAAUUUGAUUUCAUGUAAGUCACAGGCAUCAAUCGCGUCUCUGAAUGUGGACAUUAGCCUUAGAUUUAAGCUGUUGUUGUUAUUGUCGCUUGCUUUGUAUAUCAUAUUGAAGUGCCAUUGGGAACCCGCUUGGGGCUUUAGGGACCAUAUUUCGGUGAGGAAAUCCAUUUUUCUCCUCGCACUGGUUGGGCCGUAAAUAACCGAUAUGAGAAAUUUGUUGAAUGUUUCUAGCACCGUGACCUCUGCCGUGAUGUGAAACUCUCCUAAAUUAACGUUGUCCAACCUGAUUGGAGUUCCACAGGAGCAUCAUGCCGCCUUUCGUGCUACUGAGACCCCCUGCUGGUUUGAACACAUACUCGUCCAGCCUAUACCCUCCCAAGUAUGUCGCUGUAUAUCUGUCUAUUUCAUUCAAUUUUGUUUCCUGGAGGCAUGCUAUGUGGCAGGAUGUGCCAUUAAUCGUUUCACGAACAGUGUCCCUCCUCGCUCUCUGAUUGGGCCCUCUCACGUUCCAACAUAGGAUUUCAAGGUUGCAGCUUGUCAUUGGAGUCAUUGGGCAAGCUCGUUAGAAUGUGUGUGCCUGUCAUGCAGCGCCGGUGACUAGCUAGCACAUGUAAAAGCUGAGCGGCUAGAGCAGCACCCUGCAUCCUGGGGCUGAGACGAACUAGACCGCCUGGGCAGCGACGGUCUCGCCGCGGUGCCCCGUAUGGCAUCGUACUCACACUGCGUCAGCGGUGGUUGUCACGGUAGUGCUGGGCAUGCCCUUGCAUUUGUACGUGCUGGUCCCGUGCGCCGUCGAGGAUGGUGCUCCUGCCGGCUGGACCUCCGUACACCGCUCUUGCUCGCUAUGCGGGUGUUCGGCGUGUGCCGUGAGCAACGGGUUUUGGCGUCUGAUCUCCCACUGCACCAGCGCGCCCAGCAGCCCCGCCCGCGCCGUCAGCGGGGGCAUGCAUGCCCACCGCACCGGCUUGUACGCGCGCUUUGCCGCCGGCGUCAUGGGGUGCCAGGCGUCUCCGGCCAGCACCACGCAGCGGCCCCUCAACGACGCGCCCGGCGCCAGGCCCUGCCAGAGCCACCGGUCCACGAGUGUCGACACAGCGCCCUCGGACGUGCACAAGGACUUGCGCGUGCGCUUCAGCCGCGGCGGGCCGGUCGCUUCCCAGUAGCAACGACGAAGCAUGCUGGAGGAGUACACCGGUGGUGACGGCAGCCUGAAUUCCCACCAUUAGCAGAACACAUACAGACCCGCAUACCAUGCCGUUAAUUGUCAUCAUCAACAUAUGCAGAGGGAUGAACAAUCAGAUUGAAAUAGAACGGCAGGUUCAGAUUUUGCCUUAGGAAAGCAUUGCAGUUGCAUACACAAGCACUGGGAGGAAGUGGACUGCAGCAGCUGGUUAGCCGGCGGCGGCAACGUUCAGGCGGCUGCCUGAACUGACUGUGUGUGUAGGUUGUCGACCGUUAUCCUCAACAACAAUAGAUGCGUGCACUGUUUUUAUGCUCGCAUUUCGCCGAUAGAUGCUAUGCUUUGUUAGUACUCCGUAGCUCACUGACUGAUCGGGUCGAGACAGAUCGUUCCCUGAACUGAAUCUUCUGACACCCUCGGUCGCUCGUAAGAUAGCAACUGAGCUGAAUAUUCCUCUGACAGUGAAAAACUGAUCGGGUCGGAGGUAGAUAGAUAUUUAGAUAGAUAGAUGAUUCCUGGGGCUACUGCGAGGAAAUUAGGCACGUUUCCGCGGAAAGGUCGGAGCUGCGGGAAUUCGACGGGGGAGGUUACCACGGCGGCCCGUUGUCUGGCGGGGAAAUACCCAAAAAGUGCAGCAGAUCCGUUGCACUUUUGCACGCAGAACAGUCUCCUCUGCUACUGCAUCAGGAAUUCAGGAGCCUCCAGGAAGGACUAGUCAGACACUCAGACGUAUACGACGGAGAUUCAGCAGCCUUGGCGCGCAGCGCAGCGAACUCGCGUAUUAAUCGCGCAUGUGCGGAUUAGGCUAACCGAGCUCGAAAACACGCGCUUAUACGCCGGUUUGAAUUAAUCUCGCCUCGGACGAGCAAUAAAAUAUCGUGUCGCUGCGGGGUCAGUGACGCCCGCCGCUUUACCUGUUCGCUGCCUCUCCGCGUAUAUAAGCCGCGCUGCUUUGCCUCUCCUUUCCAUCCCAGCUCGGCAGCUCCAUAGACUCAGGCUCUCUCGCCUCUCCCGCGCCGCAGGCCCGCCGAAGGCGCGCGAUCCCGGGCGGCGCCGAGGAAAGCGAGAGCACGGCUUCCUUUCCGGGGAGAUUUCGACGUAGAUUGCAGCGGAAAUGGACGCCGGCGACGCCAUGGAGAGAGGCCAGCAGCGCUCGCCGCGGCUGCCAGAGGUGCGUCCGCUUCUUAGCUACUCACUCCGUUCGAAAUUAUAACUUAUUCCAAUUUUAUUGGAGAGUCAAACCAUUUUAUAUUUGAUCAAAAUCAUAGAGAAAAUUACAAAAAAUUAUAGCAUCGAAACUAAUGACACUUAUUUGAUAUCAUGAAUAUUAGUACUUUAUUGUAUAAAUUUAGUCAAACUUGAGAAGUUUUAACUCUCUAAAGUUAGAAUGAUUUAUAAUUUAGGACGGAAGGAGUACUUUACAAGCAUUGGCUCAUCCGGUUGAAUUACUGCGUGCCCCCAUUUUUUCUUAACAAAUACCGCCCGCUUUUCAGUUUUUGCCUGCAAAGCUCGCUGAAGCCAUCACAGAGCAUUCAUUAAGUCCCAGUUAUUGGACGCUAAAAAUCAAAAUGCGACAUCGCAGAACAUUACUAGGCCGGCCGGGCCUUGCCCGCUGGUGUUGUGUGCACAGAAGCGAGCCCAUGCGUAGCAAGCAACCAAGGUUCGCGCGUGUCCCGCUGCAUUAGCUAGCAACCAUGAUAACGUAUCACGCCACGGCUAAUAUUAACCCAGAGCUUUUACUGUGUCCAUGCGUUUUUCGUGAUUGGUUUACACGAUUCACGGGGGACGGGUUUGGUGACAGCAACCUCGCGGACCAUGUCUCCACCACGUCGAGGAGCGUAACGAUUCAAGCUGCCGACCUUUCACCCAAAGUAAAAGGGAUAAAGGUUGUCAAAAAAAGCGGUAGAACACACUUUAUCGCUUUACACAUCACAACCACUAUGUUCUCUCUUUUUUUUUCGGGUAAACCAGUUCUCAACACACACACACAAAAAAAAAAAAACAUUCCCCACCUGUUAUGUGAAUUCUUUCUAAAAAAGAGCUGUAUACGUAUGCUCGCAAAAUUGGGUGCUAGGACUAGGAGGCCAAGAAAAAAAAAAGCCUUGGGGUGCUAGUUAGAGAACCUGUAUUGUCAUGUACAUGUAUACCAUCAUGUUUCUCGUUCAUGAUUAAGAAAUGGUUGUGAUCAAUCAAUAAACAUUGUGAUCUCAGUAGUUCAUGUUGGUUGUAACCUGCAGAAGCGAAGAGUUUAGCUUUGUAACAGUUUGUACAAAUCAUAACUUUGCAGAGCCGGAGCCCAAAGAUCCAGGACGAAAGCCUCACGGUGCCACUCAUUCAAGACAAGAAAACUGGAAGCAAAGCGCCAGCUGUUGUUCUAGGUGAGCUCCCAAGUUUCUUCACACAGAACCAUCGAGGCAGCUACAGUAAUAUGCUACUGUCAUCGGUGGAAGUUUCUUUUUUUUGUUCACUAAGCAUCCAAACUUCACUAAAUGCCGGCGACAAAUUAAACACUGCUUCUUUUUCUGUAGGAUUUGAGUGCUUGGAGAGCACAGCGUUCAAUGGCAUUGGCACGAACCUGGUGGUGUACCUGGAGAGCGUCCUGCACGGCAGCAAUCUCGCCAGUGCGUCCAAUGUCACCUCCUGGAUCGGGACCAGCUACCUGACCCCCGUCUUCGGCGCCAUCGUCGCGGACACGUUCUGGGGCAACUACAACACCAUCCUCGUCUCCCUCGUCAUCUACCUUCUUGUAAGCAUUUUUUUCAAAUUCAAAUCGAAACAUUUCAACUCUUAAUUUGCUUAAUGACUUUGCAACCAUCUGAUCGGCACAUCAGGGCAUGAUGCUCGUCACCUUCUCGGCGUUCCUGCCGAUCACCGAGCUCUGCGGGGUCGGCUCGUCGUGCCACCCCGUGCUGGGCGCGCGGAACAUGGCCUUCCUCGGCCUCUACCUCGUGGCGUUCGGCAGCGGCGGCGUGCGCGCGGCGCUGCUGCCGUUCGGCGCGGAGCAGUUCGACGACGACAACGCCGUGGACCGGGAGCGCAAGAUAUCCUUCUUCAGCUGGUUCUACAUCUGCGUGGACUUCGGCAUGAUCGUCUCGGGCGUGUUCAUCGUGUGGGUCCAGCAGAACGUCAGCUGGGGCCUGGGAUUCGGCAUCGCCACGGCCUGCAUCGCGCUCGCCUUCGGCGGCUUCGUCCUCGCCACGCCCAUGUACAAGCGCACCACGCCCACCGGCUCGCCGCUCAAGAGCCUGGGCCAGGUCGUGGUCGCCGCGUUCAGGAAGGCCUGCCUCCGCGUCCCCUCCGACGCCGGCCUCCUCUACGAGGUCCACGACAAGAUCGACCAGCCCAAGAUCGCGCACACCGACGAGUUCGCGUUCCUCGACAAGGCGGCCGUGGUCGCCGACUUGGACCUGGAGGAGGUGACGGACGCUGACGCCGCGGGGUCGUCGUCGUGGAGGCUGUGCACGGUGACGCAGGUGGAGGAGCUCAAGAUCCUGCUGCGGCUGAUGCCGAUCUGGGCGACGAGCAUCGUGCUGUCGGCGGCGUACGCGCAGCUGAACACCACGUUCGUGCAGCAGGGCGGCGCCAUGGACAUGCGGGUGGCGUCCUUCACCAUCCCGGCCGCGUCGAUGGUGUCCUUCGAGGUGCUCUGCGUCCUGGCCUGGGUGCUCAUCUACGGCUCCGCCAUCGUGCCGGCGCUCCGGGCCGUCUCCCCGUCCCGCGGCGAGCCGUCGCAGCUGCAGCGGAUGGGCGCCGGGCGGCUGCUCAUGGCGUGCGCGAUGGCCGUGGCGGCGCUGGUGGAGACGAAGCGCCUGGCCGCCGCGGGCCGCGGCGAGGCCGUGAGCAUCCUGUGGCAGAUGCCGCAGUACUUCGUGCUGGCCGGCGCGGAGGUGUUCUGCUACAUCGCGCAACUGGAGUUCUUCUACACCGAGGCCCCCGACACGAUGAAGAGCAUGUGCACGUCGCUGGCGCUGCUCACCGUCGCGCUGGGCAGCUACAUGAGCUCGCUCAUCUACGCCGUCGUGGACGCGCUUACCGCGACCGGCGGCCGGCCCGGGUGGAUCGCGAACAACCUCAACGAGGGGCACCUAGACUACUUCUUCUGGACCAUGGCGGCGCUGUGCACGCUCAACUUCGUCGUGUACAGCGCCUUCGCAAGGAACUACAAGGUCAAGACGGUCGUGUCGUGAUCCGGAUGGAGCGCGCGCUCAGGCUCUGCUUCGUCGCGCACAAGGUCAAGACGGUGGAAUUUGCGGUGGGUGUUGCGCAAUGGCGCGUUUGUGCACAAAGAUUUUAGAGAUUGCUAGGAAUGCGUAGGUGCAUAGGCAACGGCAUUAUUUGUGCGCUCCAUUGUGUUACGUACGUGGUAGCGACGGGCCGGGGUUGUUAUUGAUUUUUUUUGGGUUCAGUUUCUUUUCUUUUCUGUAGUGUAAGUUGAAACAUGGAUCGGCAACAGGACAUCCGUGCAUCAUAUGAUAUAUGCCUCGGGAAAAAAAUGCAGCAAUACUGCGCAUUUGCCAACGAAUCAAUGACUGUGUUUGUUCAUGAGAGAGCGCGUUUUUUAUUGAACAAUAUGGUUAAAUAGAAAUGAAGUUGUUUUUGAUAAAUCUCGAUCAAAACUUUUUUGCAGGUACUAUUCACAACGAUAGAGUCUUCUUCAUCUCGGCAUGUCAAUCUUUCGAGAUGGCAUGUUUCUUUAGUUGAAAUGGAUGGUUCUUUAAUUUGAGAAUUGGAUUUUGAGUCAGUUAAUAUUAUCUAAAAUUUGUGUAUGAGUGACUACUUGUAAAAAUUAUGGACUGAUUCCCCUCGAUGUUGAAGCUGGAUUUUAUCCAUUAUUAAAAAAACAGAGGGCGCGGAAGUAUCCUAUAAUUUUUGGGCCUGGAAUGCCCGUCGCAAUGUUGGGCCAAGCUGAAGCUGUACAAAAGAGGUGGGGUUCUUAUACGGGCCAGACGAUGCUACAUACACACUAGUAAAGGACACCGGGAGUCGAGGCGGUGAGAAAAAAGUCCCGGCAGACCAACGAAUCGCUCGCUGGGGAAGAAAAUGUAAGAUUCAACUCUAAAUAAGGCCUUGUUUAGUUGCCUGAUUUUGGUUGUCCAAAAUCAGUGCGUUAGCACUGUAGCGCACUGUAGCAUUUCGUUUGUAUUUGUAAAUUAUUGUCUAAAUAUUGACUAAUUAGGCUCAAAAGAUUCGUCUCGCAAAGUACAACCAAACUGUGCAAUUAGUUUUUGAUUUCGUCUACAUUUAGUAUUUCAUGCAUCUACGGUAAGUUUGAUAUGAUGGAGAAUCUUCUUUUUACAUAGUGUCAAAGUUGGGAUUUUGGGGAACUAAACAGGCCCUAAAUUCCAACGGAACACAUACUUGGAAGAAAAUCCGUGGCAGCAAGUCAUUCGAUUUUUGAAAUUCAAAAUAAAUGCAUCGUGUUCGGACGCAGCUAGACGCCUAGACUUCUGAUCGAGACUCGAGAGCAAGGUAAGCCACGUGGCCUCUUGUGGUUCGACCAACAGGAUACAGUACUACAGUAGUCCGAUAAUGUGGGGUCCACGCCCACCGCCUGCCAAGUUUUUUGAGGGGAAAAAAUCCGAGGGAAUAAACAGGCCGCUCCAACGGUCGGGCUCCUCGAAUUCAAAUCCGGCCGCAGUUGCCUUUAUAUCCGACCCACACGCUCCCUUCCUUCGCUUUUCCGGAUGACCCAUCGCGGAUUUCAAAUAGCUGCGCAGCCCAGCUGAACCUACCCAGAUCGGACGAGAGGAGGAGGAGACACGGCGGAGAGGAGAAGACGGAGUCACAGGAGGAGGAGGAUUGCCGCCGCCCGCAGCAGGAAGAGAGAGCAUGGACUUCCUUGCGCUCCCCCGCCGCGACCUGCAGGCGCUGUGCAAGCGCAACGGCGUCCGCGCCAACAUGACCAACGCCGCCAUGGCCGAGGCCCUCGCCGCGCUCCCCACGGUAAGGAAGCCGCCCCUCGCUCGCUCGUCCCGUCCCAUCACGCGCGUCGAAUUCAGAUCUGGGCACGGCGGGUAGCUUGCGAGCUUACACGUUCCGUAAUUUCAGGUUGAUGGGAUCGGGGAGUACGUCAAGGAGCCCGUCACCGUUCCUGCGCCAGAGGUUAAGGCGGCGGCGGCGGCGGAUGAGCAGCAGCGGGAGAAGCUGGGGAGCCCACUCCCGCGCGGCCGCCGCGUGACGGUCAAGGCGGUCCAGACGGACGGCGGCAAGGAGGAUGAGAAGCGGGAGUCGGCCAAGGAGGACGCGCCGGCACUUGCAGUUGGGCGGCGCGGUCCCAGCCGGCGCGCUCGGCCAGCUCCUGUCGUGGCGUCUUCGGUGGCCGUGCCGGUUGGAAAGGCGGAGGAAGCGGAGGACAAGCAGGGCGGCAGCAAGGAGGAGGAUCGGAGGCGGGAGGCGAACAAGGAGGAUCCGCCAGCCCCUGUCGUUGGGCGGCGCGCUGCGAGCCGCCGCGCUCGACCAGAGUUGGCAGCAGAGUCAGCGGCGGCAGGGGCGGUAGAGGAGCAGAGGAAGCAAGAUGGGAGCCCGACCCCGCGCGGCCGCCGCGGUGCGGUCAAGUCGUCCGAGCCCAUCAGACCGGAUGACUGUGAGAAGGAGGAGAAGGAGCUCAUGCGGGAGGCUGGAACGGAUGGUGCGCCGGCCCUUGGCGUCGGACGUCGUGGUGCCAGCCGGCGCGCUCGCCCCGCGCCAGCGUUGGCUGAGCCGGCGGGCAAGGUAACAGAGGAGGAGAAGGCGCCACCGAUUCCUCGCGAUCGCCAUGUCAAGCUGAACGACGACAAGGAGGAUACAAAAGCAGCUACGAAGCCAGAAGGGGAGGAAGACGCGCCAGCACUGGGCGUUGGUCAUCGCGGUGCCUGCCGGCGUGUUCGGCGCGCGCCUGCUGUGUCAGGCAAGGUAGCAGCAGAGGCUGAGCCACGGGCUCUGAUCCCACGUGGCCACGGCGUUCCUGUCAAGUCACCCGAGGUUACCAGGCUGGACGAUAGCGAGGACGAGGAAAAGGAGGACACGAAGCCGGAUGAGAAGGACGAUGAAGCGCCUGCAAUUGGCGUGGGUCGGCGUGGUGCCAGCCAGCGCGCCCCCGCCCCUGCAGAUUCUCCGGCUACGAGAAGAAGGGCUGCAACAAGUAAAGCUGAGGCAGUAGGUGUGACCGAGGAGGCUGUGCCCAUGCGGGCCACUCGUCACCGUAAGCCAACUAUGAAAGCGGCCGCGGUGGCAGAGGAGAAGGCGCUGCCAAAGGCGACAAGAAGGAAGGCGGUAAAGAAGACCAUUUCGCAGCAGGAGGAACAAGAAAACCCACAAGGUGAACUUCAACAAUAUCUAACACUCCAAGGGAGAGAUUACAAUAUACAGCCCCAAGGGUCCAGUCCAGCCAGGACUUUAUCUACAAGAUAUUCUAGUUACAAACUUAUAUAACAAGAUAGCAACAAAUCUAUCUACAACUACCUGGCCGAACCAAAGCUCUUUGAGUCGAUUACAAUUGAACUUCAACAAUAUCUAACAAGAUUGACUUGAUCCCAAUCAAUUCAUUUCUGUGGACGAACUGAGCGCUGGUUUUGCUUAUGCCAAUUUUGAUUUCUGAACCUUGCGUCGUCUCUUAUGCAGAGGCUGUGCCUGCUCCAGUUUCUGACGUGGGAUGUGAUAACCCUGAAGACCCGGAAGAGGAUUCUGGCCCUCAGAAGAGAGAGCAAAAACAAAAGGAUGAAGGUGAGACCUGCACAUGAUGUGUCCGCUCCCAUUUCUUCUUGGUACCUGCUUUGCUGUGUCAUUGACUGAUAUAGCCGUUUUUGUGUUCAUUGUUCAAUUUCUGUUCAAUUUGGAAUUUCAUUGUUGUUCAACUUGGAAUUUCAGAUGUGGUGAUCAUUGAGGAUGAGAUACUGAUGGAAGAGAACCCGGCACAAGAGCUACUUGUGACCAAUCAGGAAUCCAUGGAUCAUUCAACACUGCAAGGACAACAAGUGGGUGUUGAGAACUGUCCUGCUCCUUCGGCCAGCCAGGAGGAUUCACCUAUCAUGGGUCUCGUUUCAAUGGCAACAGAACAGGCAGCUGAGAAGGACGAAUGUGCCAAUUUUCAGGAUGGUAAAGGAUCCUGCGGGUCAUUGGACAAGGGGGUGUCCGAUAAGAACCAUGAUGCCGGUGAAGAGAUAGAAAAGUUGUCCAUCAUCCAGGGGCUGCAGGCCUCACCGACAGAAGACCACAUUGAGGAAGUUGUCACUGAUGAUGCUAACCAUGAAAGUGAAAUGCGGAAUUUCAAUGAAGUACUGCAUGGCACAGAGGAAACCAGUGAGGCUAAUGCAGAAGAUGAUAUUGUCAGUCAGGACAAGGAAGAUAUCACUAUCGAUGAGUUGCAGGCUGACUUGGCAGAUGGGUCUGUUCUUGUUCAUUGCUCAGGGAAUAUCAAACUGUUUGUCGAAGAGGAGACCAAUGAGGUCAAUACUGAAGACGGUGUUUCUUUUCAGGAGAAGGGAGAUGUGGCUGUUGAUAUGGCACUGCCUGACACAGUGGCUGAGGCCAUUCCUUCUGGUUGCUCAAUUGAUAUCAGCUGUGUUGAAGUGGAGAAGGCAGGAUACAUCACUAGUGAGAUGUCUGAGAGCCCAGCUGCAUUGGAUGAGGAUGGUGAGGUAACAAACCUGUACGCUGAUAUCUGUCAUGCCGAUAAACCGAGUGAGGUGGUCAUUGGUGACAGUGUGUCCCAAGUCACAGUACCGGACAGCAAAGUUGUUCAGGAGGAAAAGGUGGUAGUGAUUACUGAUGAGAUGCCAUGGAGCACAGCUGCGAUGCAUGAGGACGUCGAGGAAGAUCAGUUUCAAACUAUUUUUAUUCAUGCUGCUGACAGUCUGCCGGAAGUUAAAAUGAUAGAUUAUGAAGUUGAGGAGAAGACAUCAAUGAUCAUUGAUGAGCAGCAGCAGAGCACGGUUACAAUCGAUGAAGAUGUUGUCGACAACCAUUUGGAAACUGAUGUUGUUCAUGCUGAUGAACAUAAGGAAGCGGUAACUAUUGAUGAAGUGCCAGAAUCCACAGGGACAGACGGUGAAGUUCUUGAGGAGGACAAGGCAGCUGUGAUCACUGAGGAGGUGCCACAGAGCACUGGUAAAAUGGAUGAGCAUGAAGAGGAAGAUCAGUUCCAAACUGCUUUUGUUCAUGAUGAUCAAGUAGUCACUGCUGACAGCGUGCCAGAUCUGAAAAUAACAGGUUGUGAACCAAUUGAGGACAAGACAACACUGAUAACUGAUGAGAAGCAACAGAGCACAGUCACAAUGGAUGAAGAUGUUGUCGAUGAUCAUUUCGAAACUGAUGCUGUCCAUGCCGAUGAUCACAAGAAAGUGGUAACUGCUGAUGAAGUGCCAGAACUCACAGGGACAGAUGAUGAAGUUGUUGGGGAGGAUAAGGCAGUUGUGACUGCUGAGGAGGUGCCACAGAGCACAGGUACCGAUGAGGAAGUCGAGGAAGAUCAGUUCCAAACUUUUUUUGUUCAUGCUGAACAAGUACUCACUUCUGACAGUGUGUCUGAUCUGAAAAUAACAGAUUGUGAAGAGAAAACGACACUGAUCAUUGAUGAGAAGCAACAGAGCACAGUUACAAUGGAUGAAGCUGAUGUUAGUGAUUAUUCCGAAACUGAUGAAUUGAAGGAAGUGGCAACUGAUGACAAAGUGCCACAACUCACAGGGACAGAGGGUGAAGUUGUUGAGGAGGAUAAGGCAGUUGUGAUCACAGAUGAGGAUGACUGGAAGGAGAGUGCAUUCACCAGUGAUCUUCCUCAAGAGCUCGAUGUUUCAGAAGAAUCCAAAGAUCGCAUAACUCCAGCACUGGUUGAUGAUGCCACUGAGUCCCUGUCCAAUAGCAUCCUCACUGUGGAGCCAGCUGCGUCCAUAGCUGCAGACGCAUCAGUGUGCAAGAACAGCAUCGAGAAGAACACUACUGAACUUGUGGCAAUGCAAGAUGAGAAGGUAGUAAAGGUGAACAAGAAAUCUGUGGAUUUGUACGCAUUUAGCCUACGGCAGCUCAAAACCAAGCUCAAGGAGGGGCUGAACGCCAAGAAGGUAAUGAACCAAUCAGCUCCACUCUGUUACUAUUCUGAUAUCUGAUUUGAAUACUGAACUGCCUCUAAUUUGCAGAACAAAGAAGCAAAGAGGGUGGCCCUUGCUAGAGUGGACGAGAAUGUGUGUCGAUCCCACACAAAGGGCCAGCAGCAGAACCUGAAUCUGCAACAGCAUUAACCCGGAGAAGAAGCCGCGGCUCUGAACUCUGACCAUAUCAUAUUUGCGUGCCAGAUGGUAUCAGGUUGUUCUGAAACCAUGGUUUCUCCGACCUUGGCAUCUAACCUAUAUUUGUGCUUGUUCUUUCGUGUGUUUGCGUGUUUGCUUGGAGAGGCAUGAGGCGAUUCGGCUGUAUUUUGUCAAGUCUAAUCGUAGGCUAGUACCCAGCUUUGAACUGUGAGUGGUUUGCUGGUGUUGGUUGCCUGUCUUAUUUUGAACUCCCAUUACUCGUUGGGAAAACCUGCUUAUAUAUAUUUAUGUAUCGUGCAAUAACAAGGUAGCAUCAGACUGUUUGGAAAUGAGUCAUGAAGCAUCGUUUGCUCGAUGUGGUAUCUUCCCUUUGGAUGCAGUAAAGUUAACUGUACACUUUUUCUGCCCCCAACAAUCCCUUCCACGGGCCUCAGCAGAACGUGUGAUUUCAGGCCUUCAGAAUUCAAAUCGGCAAAAUUCGAGAGUACAGGUACAGCUAUCUGCGUUUGGAGUUUGGACGAAUCUGAAUUUCGGAAAAUAAUCUGAACAUGAAGUGGAAUGCUCUAAACUUGUCUGCCACAGUAACAAUCCACAUGAAUACAUAUGGUCCUUGUUCCUCGGCCACCAUUCUUAAAUCCUGCACGCAUCUUCAUUCAGAUUCAGAUCGAAAUGCUACCAUCAGAUGGAGCUCGUCCACAGCCAGGUUAUCCGAGGCACGGAAACAAAUUUGACCCUGCCACGAGGUUGUGUGGCUCGUCCACAGCCAAAUUGGGAGUGCUCCAGUUGGCCACAGCGUCGCUGCCACAAUAUAUUAUUGGAUCCACUAUACCACUAUAUUGGAGCUACAUGAUGCCCAAACGCGGAACACGUCGAUCAAACAGUAACCAUUGUCACGAGUCACACACAAGUCACAACCACUCAAUCGCUGAUUCAGCCAUGUGGUUUUUUCUCACACGUCGUCCUCAACCAUGAAUGCCAAUGACAGCGAUUUCAAACCAAAAACAGAAAAGAAGCCGUACACGCACGUAUCUGGAAAUCUUUAUACUAGCUGUUAUCGAAUACUUGCACUACUAGCACUGAUUGGGACACUAGUGUAUCACAUCCACAGGCAACACCAACCCACAUUUGCGCGCUCCGUUCCAGGCAGCACCAACACGCCGUCGAAUGAAACCAUCUGUGUUCGUGGUUGAGUUUGGUGGAACAAACCUACCAAACGUGCAGAUUAACAAAAGCAGAUCCUUGCUCCGAAAAAAAAGGGCAGAUCAGAAAAAGAAUUCAUGUCAUAGAUUAGCAAGAUCAUAACAUACUUACAAACCUAAUGUCAGAUUCGAAAAGCUUUGAAGAAAUGUCAAUAUAGCAUGCUCAAUUGACCAAAAACCUCACUGCCACGAAAAUAUUCAAUCCCGAAGAGGCAGGGCAGGCGACGAACUCAUCGUAACGUUAAACACGUCGAUACAGCACCAGCCACUCGCCCACUCCAAUUCAGCCGUAAUCACGUGACAAGCGUGGUUACCGAUUGCUAAACAAUCACCGAUUGGAUUCAUGUCGCCCUCUACUCUGAAUUCCUGAUGCGGACUGAUUUGAUUUCAAACCAAAACGAAACCAACCAUAAUUGAAGGGCAUCAAGGACAUGAAACAUGCGCAAACCAGUGACCCGAACACUUAUAUAACACGGAUAAAGGACGCAGGUACAUCACACCCACAAGCAGGACAUGCGCGCAUCUCCUGCUUGCUCUUAUUACAGGCACGGGCACGAGCAUCACGUUGCUACUACAGCUACUACCAGUCCUGAUGCACGCCAUGCCUGAUACUACUACCAUAAACCCAGUAUUAGCACAGCCACACUACUACUUCCAAGCAGUAUUAUAUCGGUCGAUAAGCAAGGGAGCCCAGCGGAGCAGAGUGAUAGGAGUAUCAGUGCCGGGCUCUCACAAACUUAUCGGCAGUGGGCUGACGGCCGGCCUCAGGCGGCGGGGGGCGGCUUCUCGACGUCCUCAAGGGGGCGGAACCACACCUUCUGGUCCAGCACCGAGCCCGCACCAUUCGCGGCGGCGUCCGGCGCGCCGGCGGCCUUGUUGGCGUCCACCGCCGCGGGGCCGAACACGCCGGUCUUGGGGUGGGGGCCCCAGUACUUGUCGGGGUUGGCGGCGCCGCCGAUCACAUCGUCCGGCACGAACGCCGGGCGCACCUGGUCCUCCAGGUUCUUGUCGUACGCCGAGGCGUGCACGGCCCUCCUGCACAAGGUCGCAUCCAGUCAGAACUCAGAAUGGUGGACGAGCAAACGAGUGUCUGACGAUCCUUGUGACAAACAUGGUUUUAACAAGAGUGCUUAAGAUCCGAUGAAUGAAUAAUCGUUCUGCAAGCAACGAUGAUACCACAAUCCCAGGACAUGUCACGACAAAACAACGACAGAAACCAGGACAACCCCGGGAUCCCGAUACCAAGGCAGACUGAUCUCGUUCGCUGCAUUGUGCGCACCGUGCGACAGGUUCAAGUUCUCCUGAAUCAAGGUUACUGCUAGCACUUGUUUCAUGUUCGCAAGAAAUUUUGAAGACGCACGAGGCGUUGCAUGCCAAAACCUUAGCAAACUCUUUUAAAAAAACCCUUAGCAAACACGAAGCGGCACACCAGCCCAUGGCGAUGGCGCACGUGCCCCCGCCUCCGCCUCCACCUCCACCGCUCCACGCACGGGCGCGCGCGCGCGUGCACAUGGGCGGGCCGUGAAGAGGAUACGCGAGCGAGCGAGAGAAGGCGAGGGCACGACACGACGGCCGAAGCAGCUCGCUGUUCGGUGGGUGCGGAUAAGAGCGAGGCGGGACCGGAUCGAGUCCCAUCCGUACCGCACCACGCCCCGGUCACCCUGCACCGUCCGAUGGGCUUGUCACCUAGCAGAAGGCCCCGGCAACGGACGGCCCCGAUCCGGUCGUCGGCCCUGUGCAGAACAGCCCACAGCAAAUCCAGCGAUGAUGGGAUCGAAAGGGAAUCGUACGGGCCGGACGCGAAAGGAUGGGCCCGCCGGACGUCCGGGCUUCUGGUUCUCGGGCCCCACCGCCAGACGGAGACCCACUUCUGCCUCAGACCUCAAGAGAAAGAAACCUUUGAGUGGAAACCAAGAGAAAGAAACCUUCGGGUGGAAACCUGAGCGACGGAUGGCGGGUGGAGCGACAACCGACAACUACCGCGCACCAGACUCAUCUAUCCAUCUCUAUCUCCAAUUCGCCACCGAGAACUUUUCCGAAAGUGAAGCGUUGGGCGCGGCUUGGUGUACACAUCCUGUGUGCGUGGCUGUGUCGCCACUGCUGCUUCUCAUCUUCUUUGUGUGGGUGCGCCUGGAGCUGGAGUGGAGUGUGGUCAGUGUGGGGCCUUGCCUUUUCCUCCCUAGCAGAGGCAAGAGUUUUUUUGCGGAUUUUGAUGGACUGAACUGGGCAGUAAAAAUAUCUCCGUGGAUCUCACUUGAUCGAUCGGGAGUCUGCUAGUUCGAGCGUGCAAGAUGAUUAGGUGAAGUGCCAGCCUUCCAGUUUCCAGGUGCUCUUGCCUAUUGUGUUCUCACACGGUCAGAUGAUCACUAAACAGCUGGGCGAUGUUCCCAACGCAGAGGAUUGCCGUAUCUAGAUCAUGUAAGAAGACGAUCCUUCAAGUUUAGCAGUAACGUCUAGACAUGUAAUCGCAUAAUAAAUCGACAGAAUACAAGAUUAUCUGCUGAAUCAGUGGUUAACCACAAAAGCUAAACAUUCGUACUACCAUGUCGGAAGAAAAGCUGCAGGGAACGCUAUGCAAAGCACCGAAAGCCCGAAAGCAAAUCUAAAGGAUGGCCUAAAAAGCACAUCUCUCUGCUACAACAAGAUCAUGGACGAACUUAACAAGAACACUCGCCUACAGAAAUACUCCUACUCCCUUGUCGGAGGAAAAGCUGCAAGCAACACUAAGCAAAGCUAGGAGGCCUAAAAACAAAUCUCUCUGCAACAACAAGAUCUUGGGCGAGCUUAGCAAGAACAAUCGCCUACAAGAACUAGGCGAAAAUAAAUCACACGACAAUAACCGCAAGCGGGCAUGCCAGGUGGCCGUCGUUCGUCAUGUACCUCGGGGAGGCGGCGGCCUUGCCGGCCAGGACGCGGCUGACGAAGCUUCCAGCGAUCGCCCGCCCCUUGGAGCUUGCCGCUGCUGCCAUGCAAGGACCGACCGUUCGGGAGGGAAGGGAGCGCAGAAGAUGAAUCGCCGGACGGACGAACAGUCCUGUGCUGCGACUGCGAGAUUGGGGGAAGAAGUCCAAAGGGAGUG
rnacentral:lncRNA from 1 species